rnacentral:lncRNA from 1 species
CCCAGAUGACCUUAAGAGGAGCUCGAAAUGAAAGUUUUACAGAGUACAGGUAACUCACAAGCUGUGAGCUGUAAAUGAAAAAUCUGUCUCAGGUUAAGCCCAUUCUUCCUCAACUUCAUGUUGUAAGCAUCCCCUCAGUAUAUGUUGAUGGGCACAUGAGCAGUUGCUAAAAAACUAAAGGUUCGUAUCCAAGUGAGUUUACAAUAGUCAUCACACUGCUAGAGUAGGUACAGGACAAUGUGAAAAUAGAUUCUGACUCAAAUUAUUAUAAAUUUUGGGUUAUUCCAAUUCCAAUAUAUAUAUAUAUAUAUUAAAUUGUCCAGCGGGUUCAGAUGAUUUAAUUUUUCCCCUCUGAGGGUUUGGAAGUUUGAUUAUCAAUUUCUAAGAGUUCACAAUAUGUGUUGGGCUGUUCCUAUAAAAUAUUAACUAGUAAAGCUGGUUCAGAUAACCUACCUCUCUUAGGGUUAGAGUGAUUUUGAUUAGAAAAUAUAUCCUUCAACAAAGGGUGCUAAUCCUUUAAAAUUAGAAAAUUUUUGAAGAGAAGCAAAUCCUACCUACCGUGUGGCUACUAAGUUCCCCAUGAUGCCCCCACCAAUCUCAUAAUGUUUGGCAUGGGAAAAUCCUGUUUCUAAAGCAAGCUUCUCCAACUCCUUCCCUAAAUGACAGAACACAACACAACACAUAUUUCAAUCAUCCACCAGAUAGCAUGAUGUGCAUAAGCAAAUGAGGUGAAGUAAACCUGUUAAGAAUUCCUGAACUGGGCUUUUCAAAUAUGCAUACUCAUUCAGCAAGGCCAUAACCAGUUGCAACAGGAACGACUACAUUCUCAAUCAUCCAUUCCUUGAGAAAAGAGAAACAAAUAAAUAAACAUAACUCUAUUACAACAAAUUGAAGUGAAAAUUGAAUUUAAUGCCCAAGCUUGUAUCAUAUUAUAAACCCCUUCAGCCAAAGCUUAAUUGGCAUGAAGAUAGGGGAUGUCCCACAUGUGAUUCCAUACAUCAGAAAAAUGAAAAUUACCUAAAAGGAAAAAAAAAAAAGAUUGUUUGAUGUUUCAGGAUGAGGUUUCACCAAUAUAAUGAAUAGAGACAAUAUUUUGUCCUUCAAGUUGAGACUGGCCAAAAACAUACAUGACGAGCACAAGCUAGAAUAGCAUGUUUAUUGAGUGAAAAGAACUUCAUUGAUUUCUGAUAUUCAUCUGAGCAAUGAUUAUCCAUUAAGAAGGAAGCUGCCUUGGAGUUGAUAAGAUUUUGGGAUAGUAUAGAAAGUGAAAGACCUCCUUGAAAGGAAGACAAGAGGAAUCAAAAUUUAGUUAAGGAUAAAUACAACCAUGUAGCUAUCUAAAAAAAAAAUCUUGUGGAGGCAAAAAUCUAGGGUUCUUAGCUUAAGAUAAGGAGAUACCAAUACAAAAUUCUUUAAUCAUAUAGUUAAUGCAGGCAAGAAUGACAAUUUCAUUAGUAGUCUCAAAAUCAAUUGGGUUUGGCUUGCAAAAGAGGAGGAGCUUAAGGGUGGAAUCAUGUCCUAUUUCAACUCUAUGUUUGAAAAACCCCAAGUGAGGAGACCUAACAUGGUAGUGUAUCUCUUUAAUUGCAUUGAUAGAUUAGAUAGAGCAGUUUAGAGAGCUCUUUUUAGAGGAGGUGGUGUUAACUUUAUCAAAGAUGGGGGAGAUAAAGCACCAGGAUCAGAUGCAUUUUCAAUAGCCUUUUGAUAAUUAUCUGUCCUAUAGUGGGAAGGGAAUAUGCAGCUACUCAAGGAACCUCAUUCUAAGUAUUCUAUUUAAUGUAGCAUUAAUCCUACAUAGGGUUUGGGAAAGGGGGGGUAAUGACAUUAAGGAUUUGAUGCCAACUAAUCUCAUGGGAAGAUCCUUGAAGCAGCUCUUAUUACAAAUGAGGUCACUGAUUCAACGAAAAGAAGCUAUAGGGCAAGUUUAGUUUUUUAAUUGGAUAUUUAAAAAAGAAAAAGAAAAAAAGAAAAGGCUACAACUAAGUGAAUUGGAAAUAUCUCUUUUUAGGCUUGGAAAAGAUGGGUUUUGGUCAUAAAUGGAUACAUUUUUUGUUAAUGGCACUCCCACAAACUUUUUCAACACUUCUAGAGGGUUGCAACAAGGUGAUUGUUGUUCUCCCUAUCUAUUUGUGAUGGUGAUGGACGCUCUCAGCUAACUAAUAUCCAAGGUGGAGAACAAAGGAUUCCUUAGUGGUUUUAAGGUAGAGAGUAGACUAGGAGAAGGAAUGAAUGUCUCUUACUUAUUAUUUGCACAUGAUACUCCUUUUCUUUUUAUGAGGUCAACAUGGAUCAAUUGAGGCAUUGGAGAUGGAAUGUAAUAUGCGUUGAACUGAUGUCAAGUCUGAAAAUAAACAUGCAAAAUAGUGAACUUCUUCCCUUGGGGGAAAUGAACAAAUUGGCUUCUCUAUUCGGGUGCAAGAUGGGAAGACUCCCUACUUAUCUUGGUCUUGCUUGAGGUGUAUCUUAUAAGUCUCUUGUCAUGUGGGAUUUGAUAGAGGAGAGACUCAAAAGGAGAUUAGCCUCUUGGAAAAAGCAAUACCUAUCUAAGGGAGGAAGAUAAGUGCUAAUAAAGAGUACCCUCUUGAGUCUUCCAACAUAUUUCAUGUCCCUUUAUGUGAUCCAAAUAUAUAUAAAUAUAGAUAAGGAUUAAAUUGAAAAAAAAAAAUUGUGGGAAAUCAUUUGGAAGAAAAAAAAAAAGGUACAUCUAGUGAGUUGGUUGAUUGUUUGCAAGGAUAAGAAGUAUGGAGGUCUAGGAAUUAGGAGAUUAAAGGUUUUAAGCCCUACUAAGCAAAUGGUUGUGGAGGUUUGUCCCUAAGCCCAAUAGCUUGUGGAAGAUCAUUCUAGGAAAAUAUAGGGAAAUGAAUGGGGUUUGAAGCACAAAAGAGGUGAGGGGGAAUUUUCGAACGAGUUUAUGAAAAGAAACUAGAAAAGGAUGGGAAGACUUUAAACUCAAGACAACUAUUUGGGUCAAAAAUGGUAAGUAAAGUAAAUUAUUGUCAGAUAAGUGGGUGGGGGAGAACAAGUUGAAGAGGCUAUCCCUUUGUUGUUUAGAUUAACUUCUCUCAAGAAUACUAAAGUUGUAAAUUUAUGGGAAAUGAGAGAAAGUGGAGGCCAAUGGUCAUUGCAACUUAGAAGACUCCUUCAAGAUUGGGAAAUUGAAGUGGGGAUCACUAGAAAAGAGAGAUUCAAAAGGAAGUUGGCUGCUUGUAAAAAACAAUACUUGUCCAUGGGAGGAAGACUUACCCUUAUUAAGUGCACUCUUUCAAACCUCCCGAUCUAUUUUAUGUCGCUUAUUGUAAUCCCAAAGAAAGUGAGAAUCAAAUUAAAGAGAAUUCAAAGGGAGUUUUUGAGAGGAGAUUUGGAGGAGAGGAGGAAGAUCCACUUGGUAGGUUGGUCAGUUAUUUGUAAAGAUAAGAAGCAUGGAGGGUUAGGGUUAAGGCACUUGGAGAGAUUCAAUCAAGCUUUGUUAGGAAAAUGGCCGUGGAGAUUUCCCCUAGAGAGGGAGAGUUUUUGGAGGAAAGUCAUUGUUGACAAAUUUGGAGGUGUGGACGGGGGUUGGACCAUUAGAGAGUUCAAGGAUUCUUAUGGGAUGGGCCUUUGGAAAGACAUUAGAAAAGAAUGGGAGGAUUUCCUUCUUAGAACUAGUAUCCAUAUUGGAAAUGGUAGACACACGAGAUUUUGGUGAGACAUUUGGGUUGGGGGUUCUAAGCUAAAGGAUUUUUUUCCUACAUUGUUCAAAAUUGCAGCCCAUAAAUCUGCUUCAGUAGCUGACCUAUGAGGGAGGCAAGGAAACGGAGACGGAGACGGAGACGGAGACGACUGUUGGGAGAUUGGGAAUUGAAUGAGUUGACUUGUUUUUUGGAACAUAUUUAUGUGGUAAAGGUUCAAGAAGGGAAGGAUUCCAUAGUAUGGAAGAAUGAUGAAAGGGGAAAGUUUAGUGUCAAAUUGUAUUAUAGGUCUUUAAGGGCUGAGAAUAGCUUUUUAUUCCCAACUUAGAACUCAUUUUUUUUCUUGGGAAGCAGUUUGGGAAAAAAAUUUAAUAGUAGACAUGUUAAUGAAGAGGGGUUGGUCCAUGGUCAAUAGGUACAACCUUCGUAAAGGUAGGGAGGAAUCGGCGGACCACAUUCUGAUUCAUUGUAGCAAGACAAAGGAGUUAUGGACUUUACUAUUAUCAUCUUUCAAACUGGUGUGGAUGUUCCUGACUUCAGUGAGAAAUAUUUUAUUGGAAUGGAAAGUUAAGGGACUAAGGAAGAAGAGGAGAGUAGUUUGGAGAUUGGAUCCUAUUUGUCUUUUCUGGUGUAUUUGGGGAGAAUGAAACUGAUAAAUGUUCCAAAAGGAAGAGUUGUCAGACCAAAGUUUGAGGAACCUCUUUUUCUGUUCACUUUUAGAGUGGUCUCAGCAGUUUUUGGAUUUAGACUUUUUCUCUUUUCUGAAUUUUUUAGGUCAUUGGCAUGGUGGCAAGCUUUAUCUCUCUCUAGGUUUUAUCUUUCUUUUUGUAGCCUUGUUUUGGCUUUUUUUUGUACACUGCCAGUAUACGUAGGGUGUGCCCCUUGUUUUGGCGUUUUACCCCCCCUCCCAAACUUAUAGGAUGUUUUGCACAUUACCCCAUCGAAUUCAAAAUCGAGUAAUGUACCUUUCAUUCUUUAUAAUUGCAUGCAAUGUGCAUUUUUUAAAGAUGACGUUAUUUUUUUGGACAGAGAAGCACGUGCUCUCCGAAUGAGUAGGGGUAAAAUGGUCAUUUUCUUAAUAAGUGAAGGCAAAAAGGUCAUUUCAUUUUAACCUUAAUCUACAACUCUCCUCUCUCCUGUCUCUUCUUCCUCUAUUGCCUGGUGAAGCCCCAAGUCAAAGCCUUCCUCCCCCAAGGAAGAUAAUGCAAGGUUGACAUCGAAGAGAAGACAUGGAGUUCGGUGGUAAUUUUUUUACUUCCAAUUCUUUAAUGGGUAGAAGCAUGUCAGGAAAGAGGGUUAGGCUUUUGUUUUGAUUUUUUAGAAAAUUUUGGGAGAAUAAAACUAGGCCAAAUUGAGGGUUAAGGUUUUGUUUGAUGUUUCAAAAGAGUGAGGCAAAGUUUGGGGAAAAUUUGGGGAUUUUAGGGUUAGAGAAAUUAUUUGGUGAUUUUGCAAAUUUCCACCCCACGAACAAGGAGGAAUAAUGGACAAGGAGAAAUUAUGUGGGAUUUUUAGCAGCAACUUUGUGGGAUUAGGAUUUUAAGGCUUCAAUGAGAAGGAAGAAUAAGGGAGAAGAGCUUCGGCUUGGGGCUUCAUUAGCAGCAACAGGGAAAGAAAUGGUUGAUCGAUCGGAAAGAGAAAGGCUAUAGAUUGAGAAAAAAAUUAUCAUUUUGCCCUUGGUCACGCAAAAAACACAUGCCUUUUGGUCCAAAAAAAAUAAUGUCGUUUUUAAAAAAUGCACAUUGCAUGCAAUUAUAAAGGAUGGAAGGUACAUUGCUCGAUUUUGAACUUGAGGGGGCAAUGUGCAAAACACGUUAUAAGUUAGGGGAGGUAAAGUGUAAUAAACCAAAAAAAAAAAAACAAAAAGGGAAAUUGAAGUGGUGACCCAAUUCUUUUGAGAACCUACUUUUUUGGUUAGGAAACAGUUAUGGAAAAUGAUCUUAACUAUAGAUAUUCUGAUGAAGAAAAUGUGGACAAUUGUAAAUAGCUAGUUGUAGCAUUAGUUGAUCAUAUCUUGAUAUAUUGUGAUAGGACAAAAAAACUAUGGAUAUUUCUAUUAGUAGUCUUUGGUCUAAAAUGGGUGUUUCUAGCUUCAAUGAGAAAACUCCUCCUUAGAUGGAAGUCUAAGGGAUUGGAUAAGAGGAAGAGGAAGGUUUGGCAUGUGGCUCCCUUGUGCUUGUUCUGGAGCAUGUCAGAAGAGCAUGAUCAAAGGAUUUUCAAGAAGAACAGUAAUAUCAAAGGUUGGAGGAGAAAUUCAUUAGAUCCCCAUUGGUGCAGUCCCAUGUUUCACUGUAAAUGGAAAAUUACACAAUGUUAGAACCCUUAGAUAACCUUAAUUAUAGUUAGAUAUGUCUUUAUGGAGGUUGUUUUGGAUAAAUGCUUUUAGCAUGUCCUCUUUCACACUCAGUAAUAUACGUUCUAUUUGUCCAUCAAAAGAUUUUAUACUUGUUCAAACCUAGAAUAAAAAGGUUGUCCUAAAAAAAGAAACAUGAGUUUAUAAGGCUUACACUAUGUUUUGACCCCCACCAAAAAAAAGAUUAGAAACAUAUUUCUACGCCUUAGAAUCCAUGAUGCAAAAGUUGUCUCAGACAAAGAAGACAAGUUUAUAAGUCACACCAUAUAUUUUGAUAUAAUUAUGUUGCUAGUGGUCAUUUACCAAGGGUUACAUGCCCUAGAGUACAUUAUCCCAAAAACAAACCCCAACCUCUAAGCAUCAAUUUUCUUUUGAAAGUUUAUGGGCCUCACUUUCUAAUAGAUAAGGCACCAUAUCAAUAAAGCUUAAGAUUAGAUAUUUAUUGACUAUUGCCUUCUAGGUUUUGGAGGUAGCAUUAAGAGUAAGACACAUACUUGUUAUUCUUUGGGUGAUUUGUCUGGAUAAAAACAUCAAGAUCUUUGAAGAUCGAUAUAGACCCUACAGUUCGUAAUUCAGGACUUGAUAUGUUUAAGCCUCAACAUCUCUAAUCUUUCAAGGGAUUUAGAUGAACUUGAUAUGUUUGGAUUGGAGAUCCACUUGCUUGUUCAAUAGGUCAUCUCUAGAGGUUUAACCAAAAUGGGAAACCCAUCUAGAGGUUCACCUCAUGCUAAAUUUUGAUAGUUUGCUCUUUUGGUAAUUCAGGACUUCUUGGGACUGAAAGUGUAUUCAAAAUUUAUAGGGGCCAUAUGAUUAAGGCCAUCAUUGACCAUUGAGGCCAAGAUCCUCACUUUGUUAUAAGGCCAAACCCUUGUGAUCUCAACGGGUUACAACAAUCUUUUGGUUAAAAAAAACUCGACGAUUGUUAUAGUUACUCUCUAGUAUUUCAUAGUACAAGAGAGUGUUAACCCAAGUUUAUUUAAACUUAGUUUUGAUGAUAACAAAACAAAGGCUUAAUCUAAUGUUUGAUUUAAGCAUAAUACACAAGAAGAUUGGUUAUGUAAAUAAAGAAGAAGUCAUAUAGCCAAGAAGCUUAAGAAGAAGUUAUUAAAGGCGUGAAGACCUCAUUUAGGCAUCUUUUAGCCUUAGGAUUGUUUAACUCACUUUGUGCAAUCAUAAGGGCAUCCUUUUAAAUUCUUUAUGCACUUUUAAAAUCCUUCAAGGACCUUUUGAAAACAUUUUUUUAGAGCUUUCCAAUAUCUUAAAAAUUCAACAAUGGAAGGUAUUCUUCAAAAAUCAAAAUAAAUGCAUGGUUGAUGUACUUGCAAAUCAUGAAUAUUAAAACCAAUGUCAUAAAUACUUUUUGAGUCAUGUUUUCAAAGUUUAAAAAACUAUAUACUAUAGUUCUAGACCAACAGAUCAACCUAAUCCCCUUUUUCAUUUGAAAAUAAAACAAACAAAACGGUCAAUGGAUGACCUAUUUGGUUGAUCAUAUGGUCAAUUAGAUGAUCAAUCAACUACAUUAAAUACCUAAUGACUAGUUAUGUGGAUCAGUGAAAGGUGAACAAGCCACGGCCAAUAGUAUGUAACCACUAGUUUCUCACCAAAAACUAUAUAUAUAUAUAUAUAUAUAUAUAUAUGACCUUAUGAAAGCAUUUAGAGGCCACCAACAACUUGCAAAUUAUUAUUACAUUGAAUCCAAACUUUCUUUAAGCAUCUAUAAUGCAUUAAAUCCAAACUUAUAUACUCUUUGUUUGCACUCAACAUCUUCUACUUGUAAAUCUACAAUUAAAGAGAGAGUCCUUGUGUCCUCUUUCACUUCCAAUUCUUGUCAACGGUUGAGAGAACCUUGAAAAAACUUUUAAAGCGUAAGAAUAAGAGAAUAGGAAAGACACUACAUUGUAAGAGAUCCCUUCGUACCUAACAAAACCAACUGUGUACUUAUAAGGUUUGGCAUUAAGACUUUGUGCAAGUGAAAAUUCUCAAGGUUUGGAAAGGUUUUUGGGAGCAUGGAUGUAGGUGGAGAUUUGCCAAAUCAUGAUAAAAACUUUUUUCAUGUUCUCUUACUCUAUCUUUUUACUUAUUGUCUUUUAACUAUGACAUUGUUCUUAUUUGCUAGCAUUUCUUCACUGGUGGCUAAGCAUUUUGAAAAUUGACCAUCACUUAAUUCAACCCCCACCCCCUCAUCCACUGUCCCACCAGCCCUAAACCCAAUCUUAGGUGGUUUUUCUUAUACAAAGUGAACUUCAAUAAGAGGGCCCUCGGUCAAAAAAAUGAAUCUCAUUAUGACAAGUAGUGCAUGAGAACACUCAAUCAAAGAAAUGAAUCUCAUUAUGACAACUAGUGCAUGAGGAAUCAUAAAAAAGAAUUAAAAAAAAAAAACAUCAAAACGUCUUAUGAAUGUUAUACAAAGCAACUAACUUCACCUCUUAAUUUAAUUCAAAACAUAAUUACUCCCAAAAUUGAAACCUCUUAUCUCAACAAUAUCUUAAUUGAUGUAAUAAAUGGUUUAGUGCUUUUAUUGAAAUCAAGGAUGGAUACCCUUGACCUUGAAAUUUUCAUAAAAAUAAAAGACAAACCUUAUCAAAUAACAGAACAAGUUUCACCAAAUCCCUUAUCUCCACACUCUCACAAGAACAAAAUAGAGUCAUUCUAGAAAGAGAACCUGGUUUCAAGACUCGAAACAUCUCUUGCAUGGCCUUGCAUCUAUCAAACACAUUUCGUAGCCCAUAACCCAUGGUAAUGGCAUCGAAAGAACAAUCAGAAAAGGGCAACUCAAUUGCAUCGCCCUCAAUCCACCUACAAUGUAAUGCAUGGCAUCAUUACCUCAUUUUGUUGGCUGGCAAUACUUGUCAACUUAAACCGAAGAGGAAUGAAAUUAUAAUGGAUUAUAUGAAAUUAAUAUAUAGACAAAUGGAAAGUUUUUGGAGGCUUAUUCCAUGAUUUGUAAACAUGAAAUGCCUUUCCAAAUUAUUCAUAAGCACAUUUUAGUUAUUAGACUCAUCAACACUAGAUUUACCAAUGCUCACUCAAUGUUCUUGUAGCAAGCUUUUGAGAGCAAGUGUUGUCGCAAUGAAGCAACCGAUAAUUGCUUCCUUGAGAAAUCAAAACCUAUCACCUGCAAAAUUGAGGUACAGAAGAGAAAAAAAGAGAGAAAACCUAACAUCAAUUUCUUUCACAACUUUAUCAUGCUAUAGGCUAAACUUAAGCUAUAGUGUUGGGAUGCUGCGUCACAAUGAUUUCUAGCACAUUUUUUGUAUAAAAAAUAACAUAGCAUGGAAUCUACAUUUAGUAAAGUCCGACAAACUAUUUAAGUUACAAGAAUAAUGAGCUCUUCUUUAUUAAGUGAAGCCUCAAUUAGUACUCACAGCUAGAAAGGUGCACAAACCAUGGUCUCGUCUAAAUCUACCAUAACACCCCUUUUAAAGAAAAGUGUUGUGCUCAAUCAUACGAAGGAAGUACCCCAAUUGCUUUUCCAAAUAGACAUGAUCAAUAAUCACAUUUGACUAAUUCAAAAAAUUUAUGCCCAUGCCAUUGAGUCCAUAACUUAUGAGCUAAAGUAAUUUUCUUUAAGAAAACAUCCUUUGGGAGAAAUCAUAAUGUGUUCUAUCAUUAGAACCCUAUUUGUGAAAUCAAUAAAAAAGAAAGGGAGAAAUCAUAAUGUGUUCUAUCAUUGGAACCGUCUUUGUGAAAUCAAUAAAUUAUUGACAAGAAUUGAUCAUAACUUUUUGGAUGCUUCUAAGCUCAAUGCACAUGGGGCAUAAUGCAUAAGAUUACAAGGAGUAAUUAAGUAAAAUUCAUUUAAUUCAGUGAAAUAAUUUUCACUAUUUCUAAAAAGUGAUCAAAUCAUAGUAAUGAAUAAGAAGAGAAGUGUAUUUCCCAUUUUGAUUCUCUAUUUCAAACUUCCAAACAUUCCCUAAGUUAUUUCACAUAAGUAGAAGAGUAGGUGUAUAUAGCCAUAGACACAAACAUUUGAAACUAUAAAACUAAAUUUUAACAAUAAUAGUCUAUACUAAGGGUCUGUCCAACAUAACUUUUUUCUUUAUUUUGUAUAUUAAAAAUAAUUAAAAUAUAUAUAUAAACAUUACCCCUAAAUACUACCAGAAGAAGUGAUAUAUUUUGCUAAUUCUUCUUUUUUCUUAGAAGCAAUUGAUUCUUAAUUUUCCAAGCAAGACAAAAGCCACUUAUAUUUUUGCAGCAACUAUAAAUGUUUUCCUUUUUUUUUCCCUUAGAAAAAGAAAAGUUAUUUAUGUUUCUUUUUUUUUUUUAAUAAUUUGGCUCUUUUCAUUUUUUUAGCAUAUUUUAUUUAGCCUAUCAAAAGAAGUGAUAUGUUUUGAAUCCUUUGAUAGUUCUCUCUCUCUCUCUCCUUUUUUUUUUUUUUGCAAGUCAGACCAAUAUAAAGAGUUUCAAACUUGUUUUAUUAAUUUACACUCUCUGUAUGUGUGUAUGUGUUCUUUUUGUUUCAUUUCUAGUGUUUUAUUAAGUAAUAAUAAUUCAACAAAAUUAAAUUAAUUAAGAGAUAUUGAAAAAUAUUGAAAUUAAUAAAUAUAAAAAAUCUGCAUCUGAAAAUAAUAACAAAUGCGUGAUUUCAGAUUUUAAAAUUUUUUAACUUCAUCAAUAAAUUUUUGAAGUAAAUGCUUGCAAACUGCACACACCGAGAAAAAGGAUGGAAAUAAACCUUGCCAUCAGACCCAACUCUUUCUGAUAGUAGAAAUGCCAAAUCCCCACUUCCACAACACAAAUCCAAAAAAUGAUGGUAGAAAUAAAUCAUUCAGCUGUAAAUGUAAUUAAGCAAUAAAAAAUUAAAAAGACAAAAAGCAAUGCAGAAAAAUAGAAACCCAAAAUUUGAUGGGAAAUGGUGAUGAGGGGGAAGGCGUACAUUAUCGUAAACAGGAGCAAUGCGGCUAAACAGCGCCUGGCGUUCGUUGGCACAUCGAACCGGUAGAGAUCUGGAGGGUAAAGCGAUAGGAUUAGGAUUGGAGGAUGGGCGAAGAAGGAAGUGAAGUGAGGCCAUAGGAGGUGAGUUUAUCUCCUCUUCGCCCGAUGAAAUGAAGCAGAAAACUGAAAACUCUAAUCUAUAUGCUUCCUCAAAUUAAAUCCAAUCACAAAUCCCGAUAUGAUGGAAUCCGGUUUUCCCUUAAGCCUAAUCCACAGUUCACAUUAGGGCUUGGGGCUGAGGUUCAACCGUCAAACUUACUUGCCAUGGGAAGUGCGCUAUUUCCAGUUUUCCUUUUUGUUUUGGACAACAGAAAAAACUGUUGCCGAAAAACAGGCUCUUAGAAACGGCUCUUAAAACCAGCUUUCUAUUUUAGAAAAAAUAUAGCAAUAUUAAACGGUUCAUUUCAUAAAACAAUUUUUAAAAAUAAAUUAGCAUCUAUCAGAAUUAAAGUCAUUUUCACCUGUUUUUAAAAAAUAAGAGAAAUAAAAAAUAAAUAUAUUUUAAAAUUUUAUUAAAAACAAAUAAAGUAACAAACUAGAACAUAAUUUUUUUAUCUUCUUUUAUUUAUUUUUAUUUAACAAUCAAUAUGGAAAAUCUUUGAUUUAUUAAUAAAUGUAAUAAUUUCGAACUCAAUUAGUAUCAAACCUAUAAAAAAUAAAUUGGGACUUUAUUGUUUCUCUUCUAUAUACAAUUAUAUUCUUCUUAAUUUUCUUACAAUACAAAUGAAUUCUAAAUCAAAUGAAAUUAAAUCAAACUAGAAUUAAUGUUUUACAUUUUUUUAAUAAAUUUACUAAUUUUAAAAAAUAAUUCAAAAUUCAAAAUUUUGAUCCAAUUAACCAUAUAAAUAAUCAAAACUAGAACAAAAUAUUCCAUAUGUAAUUAAGUAUGAAUUCUAAAUCAAAUCAAACUAGAAUUAAUGUUUUACAUUUUUUAAUAAAUUUACUAAUUUUAAAAAAUAAUUCAAAAUUCAAAAAUUUGAUCCAAUUAACUGUAUAAAUAAUCAAAACUAGUACAAAAUAUUCUAUAUAUCUAAAUUCAUUUUAAAUAUAAUAUUAUUAAUUAUUAUUAUUUUUAUAGAACUAUUAUUCAUUUUUAAAAAAUCAAUUAUGUCUUUGUGAAGAUAUUAAUAUCUAUAUUAUAUUUAUUUAUAUACUAAAAUAGUAUUAUUUUUUAGUAAAAAAAUAUUAUAUGUGAUGUUAUUAUAAUUUUAUUAUUCAUAUUUUACUAAAAAUAUUUUUUUAAUUAAAUUAAAUUUUAUUUAAUUAAUAUAUUUUUUACAAAAUCAAAAUAAAAAAUUAUUUUAAAAGAUAGCUAAAAUUCAUUUAUCUAUAUGAAGUUUUUGGUUUUUAGAAGUGUUUUUAAAAAUAAUUCCUUAUAUGCCCUGAGUCUGUUCACCUUAUAUGACAAGUUUUUAGACUCCAUCGAUGAUAGGCAAAUAGAAAUGUUUAAACACAAUAUAAGAAAAUUGGUGAUAGAUUGAUGAAAAUUCAAGGAAAAAUAAAGUAAAUAUAGAAAAAAAAUAGAUGGAAUGAAAAAAUAUAAGAAAAAAAUUAAAAUUAUUAAAUUAUUUUUAUAUAUUUUUUAAACUUAUUUUAUUUAUUUUAGUUUUUAUAUAUAGAGAUUAAAUAAUUUAAAAAUAUAUAAGUUUUUUAGAAAUUUUAUAAAUUAUAUUAGUAAACUUAGCUCGACCUCUAUUCAAAUUGAAUUUGAGUUAAAUAAGUUGAAAAAGAAUAACCUUGACUGGGAUCCUAAUUUUAAAAAUGAUUAUCCAACGUCAUGCAAACAUUGAGUUAUGAUUAGAUUAGGUUUAGGCGGGCUCUAGUCAACCCACCCAAGUCCAACUCCUAUUAUUUGGUUAGCUCCUUUAGUGUAAUCUCCCCUUCUUAAAAAUUAUAAGCUUUUUGGACCUUAUUUGGUAAUUCUUUUUAAAAAUAGUUUUAUGUUAUCUAGAAAAAAAAAUACAUGUUUGACAAUCUUAAAAAACAAAAAAUAAUUUUUUGGUUUAUGUUUGAAUACCCCGAAAAAUAGAAAACAAUUUUUUGUUCAAAAAAUAUGGUAUUUUCAUACAUAUUUUAAUUGUUUUCAAUUGAUUUUUAAAAUUUAUUUAAAAAUAAUAAUUAUAUAAAUAUAAAAAAUAAUUAAAAAUAAACGUUACAUAUAAAAGUUAUUUUUAAAAUAUAUUUAAAAAUAUGAAAAAUUAUUUUAAAACAUUUUAAGUUCUCAAACAAACUUUUAUUCUAUAAAAUGGGGUUAAACCAUUUUUAAAAAUAUCAUUAAAUAAUUUUAAUAAACUAUUUUUGAAAACACUUUUUGAACAAAAACUAAAUUUUUUUUUUCUAAUGACAUUUUUUGCCCGGUAGCUACAUGAGAUGUUAACUAUUAAUGUUGUAGUUAUGUUAAUGAUGCAAUGGAAUUAAUAAUUCUAAAUUUUAUAUGCUUCCGUCAAAGUCGUGCAAAUUGGAUGACAUUUUGAAGUAUGAUUUUGGGCAACUCAAACGUCAAAGCCACGGUCAAUGCUCAAUUACGCCUUGAUAUUUGGGUCACCUCGAAUUGGGGAUUUUUUAUAAGAGUACAGUAAUUUUAAAAAGUAAUUCUUAAAUUAUCGUAGUAGGAAAAAUAAUUUCAAAUUUAUGAUAAUUUUUACUAAAUAGGAGGAAAGGAGAUUUAUUUUCUUUAUCAACUUGAAAAUCGUCUUUUCAAAAGAUGAUUUCCAUCAAAAUAAAUAUUAAAAAAAAUAUUAAUCACUCAAAAAUCAUCUUUUGAAAAGAUGAUUUCCAUUCAAACAAACAUAUAAAAAAAAAUAAACCACUUAGAAAUCAUCUGUUGAAAAGACGAUUUUCAAAAUUUAAUAUAUUUUAAUACCAUUAAUUAUCCAUAUAUCUAUAUAUUAUAAAAAGAAAUAAUACAAUUUAAUAUAAAAAUAUAUUAUAAAUCCAUUUUAGAAUUAAAAAAUUAAUUAUACUCAUACAAUUAUCAUAAAUAUGUAUUAUAAAAUUAAUUAAUUUAAUUUACUAAAUUUAAUAUAAGAUAAAUAAUAUUUAUCUAUUUUUUUUCUUUCACUUUGCAAUUAAAAAAAAACUAUUAUCAAUUUAUGUAAAAAAAUGAGUUUAAAAAAACAAAUUUGUUAUUAAUUUAUUAAAUAAUUAUUUACAAAAUAAACAAUUUUGUUUUGUUUUAAUUUUUAAAUUAAUUUUAUUAUAUAAAUUUUAAGAGUAAAAAUAUUAAUCUUUUAAGUUAAAAUUUUAUGUGUUGUCAUAGCUCUUAUAACUUAUUAUAAUUCAUCACACCAAUCUGAAUACCGUUUCUUACCCUCAUAGUUAGCAUGUGUUGUCAUUUCCAUCAAUUUAAUACUCCACCAAUUUACUCCAUCAAUCUGACCGUUUGAAACUCAAACAUUAACCCCCUAUCCUACAUACUACACUCAUCUUAUCUUUUUCCAACUUCUUAUAUAAUAUAAAUUACCUUCAACCUUCUUCUUCAUUCUCAUUUUCUCCAUCUUUCCCACUUGAAACUCGAUUUUUCACUUAUCGGUUUUUCACUUCUACCACUUCUACCCCCUAUCCUACAGACUACACUCAUCUUAUCUUUUUCCAACUUCUUAUAUAAUAUAAAUUACCUUCAACCUUCUUCUUCAUUCUCAUUUUCUCUAUCUUUCCCACUUGAAACUCGAUUUUUCACUUAUCGGUUUUUCACCUUCUAUCACUUCUAUUUAUAUCACUUGUUCUCUUUGGGAGACUUUUGAGCAUAUCUCUUCUCUUUUCUUCGACACUUACGUUGCUUAUAAGGUAAUAUUUUUGCUUUAUUUUUAUUUUAAGUUAUUUUGUAAUAUAUAGUUUUUAUUAUUAUAUAAGUUUUUAAAUUUAUUUGGAUUAUGUAAUAUUUGUUUGAAUAAUAUUUAUUGGAAAUUAUUAUUUUAAAUAGAUUAAAUCAUUCAAAAAAAUAAAAGAUAUAUUAUUUUAUUUGUACGUAAUAUUUUUGUCUUUAUUUCAUAUUUAUUGUGUAACACAUGAUAGAUAUUUGUUGCUAUAUCUUUUUUUAUUUAUUUAAAUUUAUUGGAUUUAUGGUAAUUUUGUUAGAAUAUUAUUUGUUGUAAAUUAUCAUUAUAUAAAGAUAAAUUAAUUAAAUUAUUUUUAAAAAAAAAAUGAUAUUAGUUUAUUUAAUUAAUAUGAAAUAAUAAGAUUAUUGCUUAUAUUUAUCAAUCAAAUAAUAUGUUCUAUAAAAUAUUAAAAUUUAAAUUUAAAAAUAAAAUAAAAUAUUAGUAAAAUGAGAAUGAAAAAUAAUAAUAAUAGAAUAAUUAUAUUUCUAUAUAUUUUGCAUCAUAAAAAUAAUAAUAAUAGAAUAAUUAUAUUUCUAUAUAUUUUGCAUAAUAUAAGAUUUAAAAAAUAUUAAAAUUUUAAAAAUAGAAAUACAACAUUAUCUGAAAUUAUGAAUUUAUCUUAUAUAUUUUUUAAAAUUAACAUUAGUUUUAAAUCAUUGAAAAAAUUGUUGUAAAACAAUGAGAUGUAAAAAUAAAAAUAUAAAUAAAACAAAAAUGUUAUUUGAAUUAUUUAAAUAGAUAUUUAAAUGUAUAAUAUAUAUAUAUAUAUAUAUAUAUAUAUAUAUAUAUAUAUAUAUAUAUAUGUAUAAAGUAACUGUGUAUAAUAUAAAAUAGUAACUGUGAGUAUUAAAGAUAUAUAAUAUAUAUUUAAAUAUUAAAAUAUUAUAUACAUUUAAAUAUCCAUUUUAAAAAAAGAAAAGAAAGAUAUAAUUGUAAAAUGUUAGAAUAUAUAAUAAAAUAAAAUAAAUAAAUUUAGUAAUGGUUGUUAGUAUUAAAUUAUUUUUUUGCAUAUAAUAUUAUUUAAAAAAUAUUAAAAUAUAAGAAAUAUAAGUAGAACAUUAUCCUAAAUUAUGAAUUUAUCUUCUAUAUUUUAUAAAAAUUAAUAUUAGUCUUAAAUUAUUGAAAAAAUUCUUGUAAGAUAUUGAGAACUAAAAAUAAAACUAAAAUAUUAUUUCAUUUAUUUAAAUGGAUAUUUUAAUGUAUAUAAUAUAUAUAUAUAUAAAGUAAUUGUGUAUAAUACAAAAUAGUAACUGUGAGUAAUAAAGGUAUAUAAUAUAUAUUUAAAUAUUAAAUGUAUAUAAUAAAUAUUUAAAUAUUAAAAUAUUAUAUUUGUUUAAAUAUCCAUUUAAAAAAAGAAAAGAAAGAUAUAAUUGUAAAAUGUUAUAAUAUAUAAUAAAAUUAAAUAAAUAAAUUUAGUAAUUGUUGUUAGUAUUAAAUUAUUUUUUUGCAUAUAAUAUUAUUUAAAAAAUAUUAAAAUAUAAGAAAUAUAAGUAGAACAUUAUCCAAAAUUAUGAAUUUAUCUUAUAUAAUAUGUAAAUGUACAUUUAAAAUGUUACAUUAUAUACAUUUAAAUAUCCAUUUUAAAAAAGAAAAGAAAUAUAUUGUAAUGGACAAUGCACCAUAAUAUUAGUAAAAUAGAUUUGCAAAAUACAUAUUGUAUAUCAAUUAUUAUCAUAAAGUUUAUUGAUGAUGAUACUUCUUUGUUGAUCUUUUGAAUAGAUUUGAUAAUGGACGGUUACACCAUAGUAUUGUGUUAUACUAGGGGUGAAAUUAUUGAUUGUGAAUUUGGGGUAUGUUAUAAUCAUUCUCCUAAGAAAGGUGUUUCAAUCAAUAGUAUGAUAACAUUUGAUGAGUUAGAAACAAAAUUGUGUCAUGCUCUGAAUAUUAAUUGUACUUACACUGAGUUAAAUAUGGUGUUCCGAUAUCUAAUCCCCUUUCCAAAUGGAAGGGGUGCUGUUAAUUACGUCCCUUUGCCUGAAGAUAGAGAUAUAUCUGGACUAAGACUUCGUUUGACUUGGUUGAUAGAGCAUUUUCCUUCAUUGCCACCUGAUGCUGAUGUGGAGUUCGUGAGAUGCUAUGCUAGGGCAUUCAUCUUAUAGUUGAUUGAAAGUUUUCUUUUUGCGGAUAAAUCGAACAAUAUGGUACACUUAAUUUUUUACCAUUACUUGAGGAUCUUGGAGUUACCAGUACUUACAGUUGGGGUAGUGCUUGCCUAGCUUGGCUAUAUCGAGAGAUGUGUCAAGCAUCUUGUAUUGAUGCACAUGAUGUAUCGGGUCCUUUCAUUUUGUUACAGUUAUGGAUAUGGGAUAGAUUUCCCUUUAUAGCACCUAUGCGCUUACAUUCAGCCCUACAUGAUGGAGUACUGCCACAACUACCUUUACGCACGCGGUAUGUAUUCAACCUUAGUUAUAUCAUAUGUAAACACAUAUAUGCAUAAAUAAACAAUUAUUCAAACUUUUAAUAUAUAUUCUUUUUGUAGUUGGAGAGAUGAGUUUUAAACUACUUCAACGCCUAUGCAUGUGUUACCCUAAUAUAGGUAUCUACUUGAUCGACUUAUGCCAGAGCAGGUGAGAAAUUCAUUAUUUUUAAUAAUUUUUUAAAUAAUUUGUAAUCAAAAUAUUAUUAAAUAAUGUGAGUCAUAUUUCAAAUUUAAUUGCAGAUUAUAUGGGAGCCAUAUAAUGAUGAUGUCAUCUGUGGACUUCCAGAUUACUGUACUAUUGCCUCUGACUUGUGGUCGACUAUUUCACCCCUUAUCUGUUUCCACAUAGUGGAGUGGCAUAGACUUGAUCGUGUUUUGAGGCAGUUUGGGCUACUACAACAUAUUCCUAAGCAAUGCGAUACAGAAUUGAGAUUACAUAAAUAUGAUUUGAGAGGUCAACAUGAUUUGGAUUGGAUGAGUAUUUAUCACCACUAUAUUCAAAGGUGGGAGGCUGGGUACGAUCAUCUUGCUAGAACUGAGGCAACAUGUACUUGUUACGGGUAUAACCACCCAUAUAUGGUGUGGUAUCAUUCUAUCACUCGCCUUUUUCUGACUUCAAAUGGACCUUCACGGGAAAUAGUGGUAAUUACAAUGUCUUUUUAUUUAUUAUUUUAUUUUCUUCUAAUUAGAAAAACAUCUAACUUUUUAUUCUUAAUUCUUACAGAACCGUAGUUUGCAACAUAUACAUCUAUGGACUGGUCCAGAUACACCGAAUAUAGGUCAUCGUGAUGACAUUCAUCAAUUAUGUGCAACCACUUUAAAGGCUAUACACGAGGUUGAUAGGUUGCUUAUUCCCUCUAAUGUUGUUGAUAGAAAUAGACAAUCAUCGGAUGAGGAGGUAGUGAUGAGAGGUGGUGAGGUACAAACUAAAGGUGGUGGAGUGUGGACUAGAGGUGGUGGGGUACGAACCAAAGGUUUAGAGAUACACAAGGCCGAUAGGUUGCUUAUUCCACCCUAAUAUCGUUGAUAUAGAGAGACAAUCAUCGGAUGAGAAGGUGGGGAUGAGAGAUGGUGGGGUACGAACUAGAGGUGGUGGGGUAUGGACUAGAAGUGGAGGUGUACAAACACGUGGAGGCCAUAUUUCUGAUGAUCCACACUUCCCUAUCGAUGAUGCAUCGCUAGAUUUUCCAUCAUCAUCGUCUCUACAACAUUCUGCCUUCACUUUUUCUAUACUACUUGACCAGUCACUACCUUAUUCAUCAGUUCCAUCCAUUGAUGAGAGGGUGAUAUAGGAAGAUGUUGGGACAUCAUUCAUGCAGGAGCUAUUGCAUUCUUAUAUUGAUGGGCCUUCUUUUCAUAUACCUAUGUCUUCUAGUAUCGAGGUGCCAUUUACUUCACCUACAACACCACUCAUUGCUUUGUCACCACAAUCAUUAGGACAUCCAUUUAGAGAUGAUUUGGCGACACAAAUGCAAUACUUUCCUACACUACUUAUUGAACAACAGGGAGAGGCUCAUGUUCAAGAUCAAGGACAUGGUUGAGGAAGAGGUCGAGGUUGAGGACGAGGAUGAGGAAACGGAGCAACAUUAGAUGGUCCCUCAGAUCAAUCCGAGUUGGAAAGAUGUUACCAAUGCCCACAACGAAGAAGGAAGCCUCCUUAUGUGGCACACAUUGAUGACUUUUAUAUCUUUUAUCGAACAUAAAUUGAUGAUACAUGUUGCUCUUUUGUUGCUUGUUGGUUUAUUUGUAUUGAUGAUGCAUACUAACUUUUAUCGGUUGUUAGUUUAUUAGUGACGUAUGUUAAUUUAUCGUCUACUAGUAUUAAAGUUGUCAUCUAGUAAUAUUGAAUUUUAAUAUUUUAGUUUUAUUGGUAUUCAUCAUUAUUAUUUUGUUAGUUGUUACGAUAAUUGUUGGUUUAUUAGUUUAUAUAUAUGGACAAAGUAUUACUUUUUUUAUUCAUAAUAGUAGUUGAUUUUUUAUCAUUUAUUAUUUGAAUACGUUUGAUUGUUUAGUAAUUGAACAUAUUAAUACAAGUUAUCGAUAUAUAUAUAUUUUUUGUUAAUGGUUCAGAUGAAUAAGGUUAUUAGUUUUUUUGCAUUCACGAUAAUAAUUGAAUUUCUAUCAUGGUUGAUAUUUUAUUAAUUGUUGGGUUAUUUGUUGGUUUUUUAACAUUUACAUAAAUAAUGUUAUUGGUUUUUUAUAAUCAUGAUAUUUUUUUAUUAUUAUUUUAUUCCAUUUUAUAGUGAAAUUUGAAAUAAUAUUUUUAAUUUUAAAAUUUAUAUAAUAAAAUUUAACUAAAAAUGAAAACAAAAUAAGAUUAUUUAUUUUAUAAAUAAUUAUUUAAUAAAUUAAUAACAAAUUUUUUUUUUUGUAAAAUCAUUUUUCACAUAAACAAAAAAAAAAGAUAAAUAUUAUUUAUCUUAUAAAUAAAAAACAAUAUCAAACUAAAUUAAUUUUAUUAGUUGUAAUUAAUUGAAUUAAUUUAAAGAAAAAUUGAAGAUUAAGAACAAUUAAAAUUAUUUAACUUAUUUUUUUUUUAUAUUUUAUUCAUUUUAUAGUGAAAUUUUAACUUAAAGAUUAAUAUUUUUAAUCUUAAAAUUUAUGUAAUAAAAUUAAUUUAAAAAUUAAAACAAAACAAAAUUAUUUAUUUUGUAAAUAAUUAUUUAAUAAAUUAAUAACAAAUUUGUUUUUUUUAAAUUCAUUUUUUCACAUAAAUUGAUAAUAGUUUUUUUUAAUUGCAAAGUGAAAGAAAAAAAACAAUAGAUAAAUAUUAUUUAUCUUAUAUUAAAUUUAGCAAAUUAAAUUAAUUAAUUUUAUAAUAUAUAUUUAUAAUAAUUAUAGGAGUAUAAUUAAUUUUUUAAUUCCAAAAUGGAUUUAUAAUAUAUUUUUAUAUUAAAUUGUAUUAUUUAUUUUUAUAAUAUAUAGAUAAUUAAUGGUAUUAAAAUAUAUUAAAUUUUGAAAUUUUGGUGGAAAUCAUCACUUGAAGAGACAACUUCCAAUUAUUAUUAUUAUAUAUAUUUUUUUAAAAUAGAAGAUUUCCAUUUGUUUUUUUUUUUUUAAAAUCGUCUCUUCAAGAGACUAUUUCCAAUGAAAAGAUAAGUGGUUAUUUUUUUGGAAAUCGUCUUUUCAACAGACCAUUUUUUUGGUGGAAAUCGUCUUUUAAUUUUUUUUUUUAUAUGUUUGUUUUGGUGGAAAUCGUCUUUUCAAAAGACGAUUUCUGAGUGGUUAUUUAAUAUAUUUGUUUUGGUGGAAAUCAUAUUUUCAAAAGACGAUUUCCAAGUUGAUAAAGAAAACAAAUCUCCUUCCCUCUUACCUGGCAAAAACUAUAGUAGAUUUGAAAUCAUUUUUCCUACUAUAGUAAUUUAAGAAUUAUUUUUAAAAAUUACUGUACUCUUAUCAAAUGUCAUGAGUAUAAAGUAACCAAUAUGGGGGAAAAUACGAAAAGAAUGAGAUAAAUAAAAAAUAAAUUUACAUUUAAUAACUUGUUUUUAUAUUUUAUCUCAUUUAAUUUUUAUAUAAAAAUAAAAAUAUUUAAAUAUAUAAAAUUUUAAUUAAUUUUAAUUAUAUUUUAUUUCUUUUCCGUUAUGUUUUAUUCUUGGAAAAUUUGAGGGAAAAUGCAAAGGAAAGAAAAUAGAGAGAAAAAGUAAAAGGAAAGAAAAAGUGAAGGAAAAUAAAAAAUAGAGUUAAAGAUGAUAAAUUAUUUUUAUUUGCUACUUCAAACUUAUUUUAUUUAUUUUAACUCAUUAAUAUAAAGAUUAAAUAAUUUUAAAAUGCAUAAGUUUCUAACUAAUUUUAAUUAUAUUUAAUUUUCUUUGAAAUAUUUUAUAAGAUAACUAAAUAUAAAAAAGUUAUUUUUCUUUACAUUUUUUUUUCUUUUCUUUAUACUUUCCAGGACCAAACAUAAUUUCAUGAUCUAUAUAAUAAAAAUCAAAUAUGAAAAAAAAAUUCUCUUAAUUUUUUUUUCUUUAGCAUUUUUCGUCAACGGAUCAUUGUCAAAAAGUCCCGAACCGUGACUUUAAACCAUUAGUCACUCGUGGUCAAAUACAAAUAGGGUAUAACUGUAAAUUCAAUAGUUUAAGCCUUAAAAUAUGUUGUCAUUCUCAUAACCUAGGAUUUUGGGAAAUGACUGAUUUUUAAUAUUUAAAGGAUGGUCUCAUGGUCCUAUGGAAAGAGACCUAAAAUUAAUAUUAAUUAGGACUUACACUGCAUUUCAGAAGCUAAAGGUUGUUCUAAUCAGGUUUUAGUAAAGCUGACCGCCUCAAUGUUCGGAGCCGCAGACCGCGUUUGACUUGUGCGUCCAUUUAUCUCUCUAUGCUUUCAACUUCAUCGUUCACACAACUCCGCUAUCUGCAGAUGUCAUGCACUAAAAGGUAAGCAUUCAAAUCUACUCCUAAUCAAUUUCUCAUGCUUUUUCUUUUAUUUUCGUGUUUCGAAUUUAUUAAUUUGCUCCCGUUUUCUUGCUCGUUUACUAUCGAAAAACAUUUACAGCUUGAUGUUCGAUUAUGAUGAUGUUCUUCCUUAACUGCAGCAUCUUUUUCCAGUUGUGUUCCAUCCGACUUGAUAUGUUCUUGCUAUUCGAUUGAGUUUGGUGUUUUUCUUUUCUAUGUGAUCUCUGUUUCCUUGAAUGUGAUUGUUCAAAUCCUCCUCGUUCUGCGAUUUUAAUGGUGGACCUAUGUGUGCAUUACCAGUGAUGAUGAUGGGAUGCCUUGGAUCACUGAUCACUCAGUUUCAGUGUUUUGAGCCUGUUGACCCCAACCGUUUGUACUUAAAAUUCUUAGGGAGAAUUACCCUUUACCAAGAAGGGUGGGUAGAUUUACAAUAUUACAAGCAAAGAAAAUUUUACAACAAAUACAAAAUAAAUAAAUAAAAAUUAUAAUUAAUUGAAACAUAUUCUAUAUAAUAAAGAACAAUAUUUAUUGUAUAUUAGACAUGUUAAGGAUAUGUUAAAGAACCCACAACUAUCCAAUUUCAUAAGAAAUUUGAAAAUUUUAAAAUUUUACCUUAUUAUAAUAUAUCAUAAUGUUGUUGUAUUUGUAUUGUAAUUGUAGUAUAUUUUUAUUAUACCUUUAUAUUUUUAUAUAAAAAGAAAUUAAUUUUAUAUAUAUAUUUUGAUACAUAAUUGGAUUACUAUCAACAAAUUCAUGUAUUUAAAUUACAAUAGUGUAUUUUUGUUGUAUAGUAAGAAACGAAUUUAAUAUUUUGUCAUUUUGGUAUAUUGUAAUGUAUCAUAAUGUUAAUAUUUUUUCAUUGUAACUAUAUUGCAUUUAUAUUGUAAUUGUACUUUAUAACUGAAGUAAUGGUUUUUUUUACACAAUCUUUAUACUAUUAGGCAUUCAACACAUCAUACCAAAAUAAUACUUAUACAAAAUUCAUAAUUAAAGACAAAAUGGUCCCAUACAAAAAGGAUUUUAGUUUUCAAUGAAAAUCCAAAUAUGUUCAUAAAUACACAAACAAAGUGGUCCAAAACAAGUAUGAAACAAUUGAGAAAAUUUUUUCUUCUGCCAUGUCAAACAAGUCUCAACAACAAAACUAAAGUGUAAACUUUUUCACUGGAAAUCAAUAAUAAUCAUAUCAAAUAACCCACUCGAAAAAUAAAUUAAAAAUAAAAACACAUCUUCAAUAUGACCAAAAUAAUAUAAAAAAAAUUCAAAAAAAAAUUUAAAUAACAUUUUAUACAAAAAAUGUAAUUUCUUUCUCAAAACCUUCUUCGAUAUUUCAGAUCUAAUAUCUUAAAUCUACAUUGUUAAAAUUAUUAAUAUUUCAUUCCUUCAAUCCGAUUUUUAAAUUAUUAUUAUUAUUUUUUUGCAUAAACUGACGUUUUUUUUUUUGGCAUUUAAGAAAAAAAAAUCUUACAUUUAAUGAAUUUCUUGCUAGAUUCACAAAAAAAAAAAAACAAACAAACAAACUUUGUGAAGAUGGUUUCGUAUCAUAACCUAAAGUGUUGAAGUUUUUUCCUCUUUCCUUUUUUAUCUUCUUCAAUAUCGAUAAGCUGCAGCUGGGUUAAAGAAAACUUUUUUUUUUUUUUUUUUCUGUUGCUUUUCACUUAUUAAAGAUAUUCUUGGCAUUUAAAUAAAAUAAGGCAUUUGAAAGAAAUAUCACAAUUUCACCCUAUCCUUCAUAAGAAUUAUCAAAUUUACCCAUCCUUCUCCGACAUUUUUUUUCCCAUCUUAGGAUAAUUCUCCCAAAUUUUUAGCAAAUAAAAUAUAUAUUAAUUCACUGUCCAAAUUUAAGUGAUGUGACUUACCGUCACAACCUUUGAUCUGAUCAACUCACAUGUACUGAAAUUUACUGAAUAUUCAUCAGUGAAAUCUCAACAAGUCCAAUGUGGAACAUAUUGCUUUUUCAUCGCCCUUUGACAUUGAGUAAACCAAGAACUACCAAGCCAUUGAACCCAAUCAGUGGGCGCCCAAGGAUCAAUGCUAAUCAUAUUUCUUUCUAGCUAUCAAUGAAGACUCCUUUCUUCUUUUCAAUUAUGUUGUUUCGUCUCGAGUGCACUUCAAAUUAUUUCAAUUAUCUCAAUGCUACUCUCUUUUUGAAUGACAUCUCAAACCAGACUUCCAAAAAUGAAGACGAAGAAAGCCAACCCAGCAGCCCCAUCCCCAUCCCCAUCUCUUCUCCUCCUUUUUAUCAUAUAAUUCUAUCGGUUAUAGAACUAUCCACCGGAGACCCCAGAUCACGAAUAAUCCAAAUCAUGUGUGUGAGAAACAGCUAGAGCACGAUUUAACUAUCUUCGUCCAUAACUUUGUGCUUAUGAUGAAAAAUAUCAGUGGUUUUGGCGUGGUUAUUUCUGGCUCAGGACCUGAUACUAACUACGGCCUUGUGCAAUGCUAUGGAGAUCUGUCUGUGCUUGAUUGUGUAUUAUGCUAUGCUGAGACGCGAACAGUUCUUCCCCGGUGCUUUCCUUUCACUGGGGGUCGCAUUUACCUUGAUGGUUGCUUUAUGCAAGCUCAAAAUUACAGCCUCAUUGAGGAGUAUACAGGACCAAGUGACUAUGCUUCGUGUGGAAACGAAACCGAAAGAACUCCACGUUCCAGGAGUCUGCGAGGCAGGCUAUAGAGCAAGCAAUUGCUCAUCCACCAAACAAUAAUGGGUAUGCAAGGAGUAAGGUGAUAGUGCCGGGAACAACAAAUGAGUCGGCCUAUGUGCUGGCUGAUUGCUGGAGGACUUUGAACGCAAGCUCAUGUAGGGCGUGUCUGGAAAUGCAUCGUCAUCAAUACUGGGAUGCUUGCCUUGGUCUGAAGGGCGGGCACUGAACACAGGGUGCUUCAUGAGGUACUCAGAUACAGAUUUCCUCAACAAGGAAUCAGAUAAUGGAAGUUCAACAGGUAAAUUACCGUGCUUUCUUCUUACGUUCUGUAGUCAUGUUUCACGCAAUAACAUUCAUUGUAUUUGAUUAUGCCACAUCAUAUGUUUAAGUGACAAAGCUUGCCGACAAUUACAGGGACCAUAACAAUAAUAGUAGCAUCUGCUGUAAGUGCUGUGAUUGUUCUUCUAGUAGUGGGAGCAAUUGGAGUUUAUAUCUGGAAGCAAAGAAAAAUCCAAAAGAAAAGGAGAGGUAAAAAGAUUCUUGAAAACAAAUUUUUGUUUGAGAACGAUAAGAGUAUCAAACAUACAGUCCCCGUCCAACACUUCCCAUCACUCAAAAAGGACACCAACCCUACAAGAAAUAUGGUAGUCAUUGUGCUGUUUUAUGGGUUAGGUUACUGGAAUGGACUUCUUAUACCCCACCUGUUGGGGUUUUCCCGCUUAUCACUUGUGGAGUCUCUACAUAGGCUUGAUGUCUAUAGUAAUCUAAGCCUCCUCAAAUUUGAUAUUCCUAAAAUUCAAGUGAUGAAAAUUUUUGGCAUCUCAUUAUGAUCGAAGUUGUGCAUAUUCCCUUGCCUUUUCCUAUUGACUUAGGUUCCAACGAUGCUAUAAAAUUAGUUAAGACCCUCCAUGACAGUAGCUUGAACUUCAAAUAUGCUACACUUGAGAAGGCCACAGGAUCUUUUGACAAUGCCAGUAAACUUGGACAGGGAGGAUUUGGAACUGUUUAUAAGGUAGCCUAUUAUUAAUUUAUUAUCCACAUCAAAUGUACUAUGCAGCUUUUUUUUUGUUUUUUUUUUUCCCUUUCAUAAAUGGCUUCUAUAAAUAUUUUACAUGAAGUCAGACAACAUGAUUUAUUGGAUUUUAUCAGAGGUUUACUCGUUACUUCCAUGACAGGGAGUUCUGGCUGAUGGAAGAGAGAUUGCCGUGAAGAGGCUUUUCUUUAACAACAGACACAGAGCAGCAGAUUUCUAUAAUGAAGUUAACAUGUAAAAGACAAAAUAUUAUUAACCCCUUGGUGAAAAUAGGGGAAAAUUGAAUUUAAUGCCCAAGCUUGUAUCAUAUUAUUAACCCCUUCAGCCAAGCUUAACUGGCAUGAAGAUAGGGGAUAUCCCACAUGUGAUUCCAUACAUCAGAAAAAUGAUAAUUACCUAAAAGGAAAAAAAAGAUUGUUUGAUGUUUUAGGAUGAGGUUUCACCAAUAUAAUAAAUAGAGACAAUAUUUUGUCUUUCAAGUUGAGACUGGCCAAAAACAUACACGAUGAGCACAAGAUAGAAUAGCAUGUCUAUUGAGUGAAAAGAACUUCAUUGAUUUCUGAUAUUCAUCUGAGCAGUGAUUAUCCAUUAAGAAGGAAGUUGCCUUGGAGUUGAUAAGAUGUUGGGAUAGUAUAGAAAGAGUAAGACCUCCUUCGAAGGAGGACAAGAGGAAUCAAAAUUUAGUUUAAGGAUAAAUACAACCAUGUAGCUAUCUAAAAAAAAAUCUUGUGGAGGCAAAAAUCUAGGGUUCUUAGCUUAAGAUAAGGAGAUACGUAUACAAAAUUCUUUAAUCAUAUAAUUAAUGCAGGCAAGAAUGACAAUUUCAUUAAUAGUAUCAAAAUCAAUUGGGUUUGGCUUGCAGAAGAGGAGGAGCUUAAGGGUGGAAUCAUGUCCUAUUCCAAGUCUAUGUUUGAAAAACCCCAAGUGAGGAGACCUAACAUGGUAGUGUAUCUCUGUAAUUGCAUAGAUAGAUUAGACAGAGCAGUUUAGAGAGUUCUUUUUAGAGGAGGUGGUGUUGACUUUAUCAAAGAAGGGGGAGAUAAAGCGCCAGGGUCAGAUGGAUUUUCAAUAGCCUUUUCACAAUUUUCUGGCCUAUAGUGGGAAUGGGAAUAUGUAGCUACUCAAGGAAUCUCAUUCAAGGUAUUCUAUUUAAUGUAGCAUUAAUCCUACAUAUGGUUUGGUAAUGACAUUAAGGACUUGAGGCCAACUAAUCUCAUGGGAAGAUCCUUGAAGCAGCUCUUAGGCAAGUUUAGUUUUAAAUUGGAUAUUAAAAAAAAAAAAAAAGGCAUACAACCAUGUGAAUUGGAAGUUACUCUUUUCAGGCUUGCAAAAGAUGGGUUUUGGUCAUAAAUGGAGAAAAUGGAUACAUUUUUGGUUAAUGACACUCCCACAAACUUUUUCCACACUUCCAGAGGACUGCAGCAAGGUGAUUGUUGUUCUCCCUAACUAUUUGUGAUGGUGAUGGAAGCUCUCAGCUAACUAAUAUCCAAGGUAGAGAAGAGAGGAUUCCUUAAUGGUUUUAAGGUAGAGGGUGGACGGGGAGGAAUGAAUGUCUCUUAUUAUUUGCACAUGAUUCUCUUUUUCUUUUUAUGAGGUCAGCAUGGAUCAAUUGAGGCACUGGAGAUGGAAUGUGAUAGGCGUUGAACUGAUGUCAGGUCUGAAAAUAAACAUGCAAAAUAGUGAACUUCUACCCUUGGGGGAAAUAAACAAAUUGGCUUCUCUAUUCGGGUGCAAGGUGGGAAGACUCCCUACUUAUCUUGGUCUUCCUUGAGGUGUAUCUUAUAAGUCUCUUGUCAUGUCGGAUCCGGUAGAGGAGAGACUCAAAAGGAAAUUGGUCUCUUGGAAAAAGCAAUACCUAUCUAAGGGAGAAAGAUUAAUGCUAUACAGAGUACCCUCUUGAGUCUUCCAACAUAUUUUGUGUCCUUUUCCAUCUCCAAAUAUAUAUAAAUAUAGAAAAGGAUUAAAUUGAAAAAAAAAAAUUGUGGGAAAUCAUUUGGAAGAAAAAAAAGGUGCAUCUAGUGAGUUGGUUGAUUGUUUGCAAGGAUAAGAAGUAUGGAAGUCUAGGAAUUAGGAGACUAAAGGUUCUAAGCCCUACUAAGGAAAUGGUUGUCAAGGUUUGUCCCUAAGCCCAAUGGCUUGUGGAAGAUCAUUCUAGGAAAAUAUAGAGAAAUGAAUAGGGGUUGAAGCACGUAAGAGGUGAGGAGGAAUUUUGGAACUGAGUUUAUGAAAAGAAACUAGAAAAUGAUGGGAAGACUUUAAACUCAAGACAACUAUUUAGGUAAAAAAUGGUAAGCAAAGUAAAUUAUGGUAAGAUAGGUGGGUGGGGGAGAACAAGUUGAAGAGGCUAUCUCUUUGUUGUUUAGAUUAACUUCUCUCAAGAAUACUAAAGUUGCAAAUUUAUGGGAAGAGAGAGAAAGUGGAGGCCAUUGAUCAUUGCAAUUCAAAAGACUCCUUCAAGAUUGAGAAAUUGAAGUGGUGACCCAAUUCUUUUGAGAAGCUACUUUUUUGGUUAGGAAGCAGUUAUGGAAAAAGAUCUUAACUAUAGAUAUUCUAAUGAAGAAAAGGUGGACAAUGGUAAAUAGAUGUAGUUGCUUCAAUGAUAGUGAAGAAUCUUGUUCAUAUCUUGAUAUAUUGUGAUAGAACAAAAAACUGUGGAUAUUUCUAUUAGUAGUCUUUGGUCUAAAAUGGGUGUUUCUAGCUUCAAUGAGAAAACUCCUCCUUAGAUUGAAGUUUAAGGGGUUGGAUAAGAGGAAAAGGAAGGUUUGGCACGUGGCUCCCCUGUGCUUGUUCUGGAGCAUGUUAGAAGAGCAUGAUCAAAGGAUUUUCAAGAAGAACAGUAAUAUCAAAGGUUAGAGAAUAACUUCAUUAAAUCCCCAUUGAUGUGGUCCCAUGUUUCACUGUAAAUGGAAAAUUACACAACCUCUUAGAUAACCUUAAUUAUGAUUAGAUAUGCCUUUAUAGAGGUUGUUUUGGAAAAAUGCUUUUAGCAUGUUUUCUUUCACGCUCAUUAAUAUAUGUUCUAUUUGUCCAUCAAAAGAUUAUAUAAUUGUUGGAAUCCAAAAUAAAGGGGUUGUCCUAAACAAAAAAACAUGAGUUUAUAAGACUUACACUAUGUUUUGACCCCCACCAAAAGAAAGAUAAGAAACCUAUUUCUACCCCUUAGAAUCCAUGAUGCAAAGGUUGUCUUGGACAAAGAAGACCAGUUUAUAAGUCUUACCAAAUACUUUGAUAUACUUAUGUUGCUAGUGGUCAUUUACCAAGGAUUACAUGCCCUAGAGGACAUUAUCCCAAAAACAAUAGAUAAGGCACCAUAUCAAUGAAGCUCGGGAUUAGAUAUUUAUUGACUAUUGCCUUCUAGGUUUUGGAGGUAGCAUCAAGAGUAAGACCUCUAGUGAAUGGCAUAUUUGUUAUUCUUUGGGUGAUUUGUCUAGAUAGAAACGUCAAGGUCUUUGAAGGCCGAUAUACACCCUAUGGUUCGUAAUUCAGGACUUGAUAUGUUUAAGCCUUAACAUCUCUAGUCUUUCAAGGGAUUUAGAUUAACUUGAUAUGUUUGGAUUGGAAUCCACUUGCUCAUUCAGCAGGUCAUCUCUGGAGGUUUAAGCAAAGUGGGAAACCCAUCUAGAGGUUUACCUCGAGCUAAAUUUUGACAGUUUGCUCUUUUCGUAAUUCAGGACUUCUUGGGACUAAAAUUGAUGGGGGAAAGCCUUUUAAAGUUUAUUCAAGGAAGAAAGGGAAGACCUAAGUAAACUUUAAGUAGGAUUAAUAUUAAUUAGAAUUGAAUAGGGAUUGGUAUUUGUUGGAGUCUAAUUAGGAUUAGCUAGUUGAAUUAUAAUAUAAUUAGAAUUUGAGUCAUGAUAGGUUAUUAGAGUCCUAGUAGACUUUGGAUGUUAUAAUUAGAAUUAGAAUCAUAAUAGGUUAUUAGAGUCCUAAUAGACUUUGGAUUUCUUAGAGAAGCUUAUAAAUAGGCUAAUCAAUGUAAAUCAAAGGAAUGAAUUUGAUGAAUAAUAUUAUACUUUCUUUUAUUGCAAGGUUGCAACCCUCAAUGGUGAGACUCCUAGAAGGCCUUAGUGAGACUCUAAGGUUUUCCAUCUUUUAUUCAUUGUUUCUUCUUUCUCUUUAUUUCUUAUCUUAUAAUUUUCUCUACCGUAAAGUUUAUUCCUUGUUCCUCUCCUUACACCCUAAAAAUAAAACCCUAGCCCACCUACCCUUGAGUGUAGGCAACCAUCCUAGGGUUGUCCUACAUCAAAAAGUGUAUUCAAAAUUUAUGAGGGUCAUAUGAUUAAGGCCACCAUUGACCAUUGAGGCCAAGAUCCUCACUUUGUUAUAAGGUCAAACCCUUAUGAUCUCAAUGGGUUACAACAAUCUUUUAGUUAAGAGAAACUCAACAAUUGUGAUAGUUACUCUCUACUAUUUCAUAGGACAAGAGAGUGUUAACCCAAGGUUUAUUUAAACCUAGUUUUGAUGAUAACAAAACAAAGGCUUGAUCUAAUCUUUGAUUUAAGCAAAAUACACAAGAAGAUUGGUUGUGUAAAUAAAGAAGGAGCCAUAUAGCUAAGAAGCUUAAGAAGGAGCUAUUAAAGGCAAGAUGAAAGGCAUGAAGACCUCAUUUAGGCAUCUUUUAGCCCUAGGAUUGUUUAACUCACCUUGUGCAAUCAUAAGGGCAUUCUUUUAAAUUCUUUAUGCACUUUUAAAAUCCUUCACAGACCUUUUGAAAACAUUUUUUUAGAGCUUUCCAAUGUCUUAAAAAUUCAACAAUGGAAGUUAUGCUUCAAAAAUAUAUAAUCAAUGCAUGUUUGAUGUACUUGAAAAUCAUGAUUAUUAAAACCAAUGUCAUAGAUACUUUUGAGUCAUGUUUUCAAAGUCUAAAAAGCUAUAUGUUGUAGUUCUAGACCAAUAGAUCAACCUAAUCCCCUUUUUCAUUUGAUAAAAACAAACAAACAGGCAACGGAUGACCUAUUUGGUUGACCAUAUGGUCAAUUAGAUGAUCAAUCAACUACAUUAAAUACCUAAUGAGAAAGAUGGACAGGCCAUGGCCAAUUGUAUGUAACAACUAGUUUCUCACCAAAAACUAUAUAUAUGACCUUAUGAAAGCAUUUAGAGGCCACCAACAACUUGUAAAUUAUUAUUGCAUUGAGUCCAAACUUUCUUUAAGCAUCUAUACUGCAUUAAAUCAAAACUUUUAUACUCUUUGUUUGCACUUAAAGCCUUCUACUUGUAAAUCUACAAUUAAAGAGAGUCCUUGUGUAAUCCUAUUUCACUUCCACUUCUUGUCAAAGGUUGAGAGAACCUUGAAAGAGCUUUUAAAGUGUAAGAAUUAAAGAAUAGGAAAGACACUACAUUGUAAGAGAUCCUUGGGUACCAAACAAAACCAAGUGUGUACUUAUAAGGUUUGGCAUUAAGACUCUAUGCUAGUGAAAAUUCUCAAGGUUUGGAAAGGUUUUUGGGAGCAUGGAUGUAGAUGGAGAUUUGUCAAAUCAUGAUAAAAACUUUGUUUGUGUUCUCUUACUCUAUUUCUUUACUUAUUGCCUUUUAACUAUGACAUUGUUCUUAUUUUUUUGGUAUUUCUUCACUAGUGCCUAAGCAUUUUGAAAAUUGACCAUCACUUAAUUCAACCCCCGCUCCCUCCUCCACCGUCCUACCACCCCUAAACCCACUCUUAGGUGGUUUUUCUUAUACAAAGCGAACUUCAAUAAGAGGGCAAUCAGUAAAAAAAAAUGAAUCUCAUUAUGACAAGUAACGCAUGAGAACACUCAGUCAAAGAAAUGAAUCUUAUUAUGACAACUAGUGCAUGAAGAAUCAUUAAAAAAUGACAUCAAAAUGUCAUAUGAAUGUUAAAUGCUGCAACUAACUUCACCUCUUAAUUUAAUUGGAAACAUAAUUACUCCUAAAACUGAAACCUCUUAUCUAAACAAUACCUGAAUUGAUGUAAUAAAUGAUUUAGUGUUUUUAUUGAAAUUGAGGAUGGAUACCCUUGACCCUGAAAUUUUUAGAAAAAAAAUGACAAAUCAUAUCAAAUAACAGAACAAGUUUCGCCAAAUCCCUUAUCUCCACACUCUCACAAGAACAAAAUAGAGUGAUUGUAGAAAGAGAACCUGGUUUCAAGACUCAAAACAACUCUUGCAUGGCCUUGCAUUUAGCUAACACAUUUCGUAGCCCAUAACGCAUGGUAAUGGCAUCAAAAGAACAGUCAUAAAAAGGCAACUCAAUUGCAUUGCCCUCAAUCCACCUACAAUAUAACGGAUGGCAUCAUUACCUCAUUUUGUUGGUUGGCAAUACUUGUCAACUUAAACCGAAGAGGCAUGAAAUUAUAAUGGAUUAUAUGAAAUUAAUCUAUAGACAAAUGGUAAGCUUUUGGAGGUUUAUUUCAUGAUUUGUAAACAUAAAAUGUCUUUCCAAAUUCUUAAUAAACACAUUCCAGUUAAUGUGUUCUAUCAUUGGAACCCUAUUUGUGAAAUCAAUAAAAAAAAAAAGGAGAAAUCAUAAUGUGUUCUAUCAUUGGAACCGUCUUUGUGAAAUCAAUAAAUUAUUGACAAGAAUUGAUCAUAACUUUUUGGAUGCUUCUAAGCUCAAUGCACAUGAGGCAUAAUGCAUAAGAUUACAAGGAGUAAUUAAGUAAAAUUCAUUUAAUUCAAUGAAAUAAUUUUCACUAUUUCUAAAAAGUGAUCAAAUCGUAGUAAUGAAUAAGAAGAGAAGUGUAUUUCCCAUUUUGAUUCUCUAUUUCAAACUUCCAAACAUUCCCUACGUUAUUUCAUACAAGUAGAAGAGUAGGUGUAUAUAGACAUAGACACAAACAUUUGAAACCAUAAAACUAAAUUUUAACAAUAAUAAUCUAUACUAUGGGUCUAUCCAACAUAACUUUUUUCUUUAUUUUGUAUACUAAAAAUAAUUAAAAAAUAUAAACGUUACCCUCCCAAAUACCACUAGAAGAAGUGAUAUAUUUUGAUAAUUCUUCUUUUUUCUUAGAAGCAAUUGAUUCUUAAUUUUCCAAGCAAGACAAAAGCCACGUAUAUUUUUGUGGCAACUAUAAGAAAGCUUUAUCAACAAAGAGAAUUAAAAGAAAUGUUUUCUUUUUUUUUUCUUUUUCCUGAGAAAAAGAAAAGUUAUUCAUGAUGUUUUUUAUAAUUUGUCUCUUUACAUUUUUUUAGCAUAUUUUAUUUAGCCCACCAAAAGAAGUGGUAUGUUUUGAAUCUUUUUAUAUUUCUCUCUCUCCCUCUUUUUUUUUCUUUCCUUGAAAGCAAUAUAGAAAUUUGUAUUUCUUCUUCAAAAAUUUUUAGGCAAUUUCCAUGCCAGACCAAGAUAAAGAAUUUCAAACUUGUUUUAGUAAUAUGUGUGCGUUUUUGUCAUUUCUAGUGUUUUUCACCAUCUUCUUAAAUCAUUUUGAUAUCAUAAAAAUAUAAUUUGAUAUUCAACACACAUAAAAAUGAGACAAAGUAAUCAAUUAAAACAUUUCCUAGUUAUCUCAUAUUAAAUAUAAUUAUUGAUUAAAAUAGUCAUUAUAUUUUAAAAAUGAUUUUUAAUACCAAUCUGAAAACGUAAACUUUUGUUUGCAUAUUCAAGGCCUACGGGUUAAAGUAAUAAUAAUUCAAUAAAAUUAAAUUAAUUAAGAGAUAAUGAAAAUUAUUGAAAUUAAUAAAUAGAAAAAAUCUGCAUGUGAAAAUAAUAACAAAUACGUGAUUUCAGAUUUUAAGGAGUUUUAACUUAAUCAAGAAUUUGAAAGAAACCUUGCCAUCAGACCCAACUCUUUCUGAUAGUAGAAAUGCCAAAUCCCCACUUCCACAACACAAAUCCAACACAUUGUCUCCCCUCUUGGCCCUGACCCAGAUUUUCAGAAGCAAUUAAAAAAAAAAAUGAUAAAUCAAUAAUAAAAGAAAACAGAGAGAGAAAAGUGAAAUACAAUAAUUACCCGCUCCAUGAUACCGCCAUUCUUUUCCAUAUCCGGUGCUGCCCCAAACUCAAGAAAUCAUUCAGCUGUAAAUGUAAUUGAGAAAUAAAAAAUUAAAAAGACAAAAAAGAAUUCAGAAAAAAUAGAAACCCAAAAUUUGACGGGAGAUGGUGAUGAGGGUGAAGGCGUACAUUGUCGUAAACAGGAGCAAUGCGGUUAAACAGCGCCUGGCGUUCGUCGGCACAUCGAACCGAUCGACAUCUGGAGGGUAAAGCGAGAAGAUUGGGAUUGGAGGAUGGGCGAAGGAGGAACUGAAGUGAAGCCAUAGGAGGUGAAAACAGAAAAACUAAAAACUCUAAUCUAUAUGCUUCCUCAAAUCAAAUCCAAUCACCAAUCCCGAUAUGACGUAAUCCGGUUUUCCCUUAAGCCUACUCCACAGUUCACAUUAGGGCUUAGGGCUGAGCUUCAACUGUCAAAUUUACUUGCCAUGGAAAGUGCGCUACUUUACAAUUAUGAAUUAGGGCUGAUUAACGCACAUAAUGGAUCAAAGUUCUACAUAUUUAGCAUAAUUAAUGCUACAUGAAAUAUGAAAAACAAAAAUAUCAUUGAAUGAAAUAGAAAGGAAAAAAAAAAUGAAUAUGUUCGUCGGUCUCGUUCUAUACUCUCCCAUUUUGAUCUCUAAGUCUCACAUUUAUUUCACAUUUUUUAUUUCUUUUAUAAAAUUAUUUUAAUGUUUUUCAAUUUCUUGAAAAAUGGAACCUCGACGUAUUAAUAAACGUUUAAUUAUAUCUUUUAAAUUUUAAAAUUUUCUAAUUUAAUUUAAUUUUUAUAUUUUACAAUUAAAUAAGUUAAAUUUUAAGUAAAAACAAAUAUUUUAUAUAAUUUAAGUUUAUUUUUAUUUUUCCAUUUUAUUUCAUUAUUAAAAAUAUAACAUUAGUAACACUAUUGAAAGUAAUUAAUAAAACUUGUAUUAAAAUAUAAUAUUAAUAAUAGCAUUUUUAAAAUGUAAUUUUCAUAUUUGAAAGAGAGCAAUAGCUGUUUUUUUAGAUGUUUUACAUAUAUUUUAUAAUUUUCAUACCUUAUAUAUUGUUAUCAUAUGAAAUAAAAAAUCAUAUUGAAAUCAUUUAAAAAUAAUUUUAAUGUUUUCAUUUUAAAUUAUAUUUUAAAAAAUAAUUUAAAGUUAUAUAUUAAAAUAAAUUUUUUAAAUCAAGAUUUUACUUUGCAUGUGGGUUUAAUUUAUUCAUUUUUAUCAUUUUAAAAAAUAAAUCACUAGAGAAUAUAAAAACAAAAAAACAAAAAAAAAACAAAAAAUAAGUAUGGUGAAUUAUAGAUGAUACAACAUAGUCACACACUAUAAUUCAUUUUAUACAAUUUCCAUAUCUUUCGGGUAUUUUUAGUAUUACAAUAAAAUCAUAUCAUUCACUUCAAUUAUAAAUAUUUGUUAACUUUUGAACUGAAUUUUACACUUUUGUUGAUAUUAGGUUCGUUAUUUGCUUUAACUAUCCCUAAAACAUAAUUGUCACUUAUUAAUAAUUUUUCUUUACAUAUGAUUAUGUUUUUUGAAUUUUUUCAUAAAAAAAUAUAUUUUUUAAUUAAGAAAAACUUUUAAUAUAUCAAAUUUACUAACAAAUCUAAUUUUCUUUCUUAAAAAAAUAAUAAUUUGAAACUCAAAUAUUCACCUAAUUAAUACAAAAAAUUUAUGAAUAAAAUUUGUUCUAUAAUGACUUUUUUUUUAUUACUUAAAAUUAUAUUUUUCAAUUUAUUUUAUUAGAAGAAUAAACUUUAAAUCAAGUAAAACUUAAUACAUUAAAUUUGUUAACAAGUAUAUUGAUUUUAAAAAUAAUUUAGAACUCAAUGAACAAACAAAUUAUGGUUAUAAAUUCACAAAAUAAAUUUGUUUCAGGGUGACUUUAUUGUUUCUCUUCUCUAUAUAACUUCAUAUUUAUAAAAAUAAAUUAUUAGAUAAAUGAAUUUUAAAUUGAGAGUUAAUGUGUUUGAUUUAUUAAUGAUUUUAAUCAUUUUCAAAAAUAAUUUGAAACUCAAUUAAUAAAAAAAAAGUAAUAGACAAAAACUGAUUGAAAAUAAUUCAUGACUUUUCUCUUCUAUAUACAACCAUAUAUUUCUUAAUUUUCUUAGUACACAAAUGAAUUCUAAAGAAGGUGAAAUCAAAUCAAACAAGACCUUCUAGGCAUGACUCCCGCAUUGCAAUCCUUCAUUUUAUGGCUCCACCUAUAGCCACGCUUUGUUAUGACUUAUUUUAUAUAGUCACCUCAACUUCUACCUAUAGUCAUAGUGAGCACCCAUGACCAUGGACCUCCUUUAAUAUAGUGUGCUUAUGGUUUAUUGUUGUAAUUUUUUUAGUAUUGAUUUUAUUUAAGUUUGAUGAUUAAAAAGUUCUAAUUCUAAGCACACAAAAGGACCUUGUAUGCACGUAGGUCCAACAUACAUGUACAACCAUUCAAAGAAGGAAGAUACAAGAGCAUUCAUCAAAAUAUAUCAUAAUUUAUUUGAAGUUAUUAUAAUAUUUGAAGAGAGUGGGGUGACUAACUCUUCAAAAAGUGCUAGACUAUUAUAAUUGAAUAUUAAAUUUUUUUACCAUGCCCAUAUGUCAUACCAGCACAUUAUUAAUAUAAUAUAAUAAAAAAAAAAAUCUAUGGGUUCGAUUUUUGAUAAGUUGUCGAUAUCUUCAACCCAUAUCAACCCUAAUAUUUUUCUUUAACCCCCUAAUCCUAACACGUUCAAACCUUGCUUACUUAAACCUUAAGUUGGGCACAAGUUAAACGAGUUGGUCUAUCGAAAUUACAACCCUAAUUAUAAUAAAAAUAGAAAGGAAUGAGUAUUUCACUUUUAUUAUGAAAUGAUCACUUUCACUUUAAUAUUUGUUUAAGAUGAAAUACAAAUGAGAAAAAAAUAUGUAUAUUUGUUUUAAUAUUUAUUUAAAAUAAAAAAUUAAUUAUAUAAGAUAAUCAAGCACUCUCACAUAAAUAAUUAAUUAAUCCUUUUUUCUCUAAAUGUUGAAGUAAUCUGUCAUUUACAACCAAUUACAAGUUUACAUUUAGCUAAUUAAAAUGAAAGGUUGGGAAGAGUUAUUUAUGUUCUUCAUAAAGAAUAAUUUUUUAGAAAUUAAAAUUUUCUUAUUUUCAUUAUAAUGUACGGUAGUGUUAAAAAUAAAAUAAAAUAAAUAGCAUAUAAUCCACUCUGUUAGUUUUUUCAAUAUUUUUAGGUCUUUUUCAACAACAAAAUUGAAAAUUUCUUUUUGUUAUCAAUCAAAGUAAAAAGAAAUUUGUUAAAAAUUAUUUUUCUCUUUGUUUUCAGUGUUUUAAAUAUAUAAAAAUAAUAAUUUUUAUUCUCUUAAUUUCCCACUUUCUCAAUAAUUAAAAAUAUUAGAAUCAGCCUAGAAAGUACAACCUUUGAAACAAGUAAUGUAAUUAAUUAUAUGAGUGAUUUAUUUUGCACACAUUUUAUGGAUGUUUAAUUUAAUUGAACAUCAUCUUUGUAAGUAUUUAGUCUUAUCAAGUAUACCAAAUAUAGCUUGGGUUUAUAGAGGAUAUAUAGAAUGCACAAACCAUGAGAUUUCUUGACUUAUUAAGUUGUCAUGAAUAGGCUUUAAGUUAUAUCAUGAAUUUCAACAAUUUAGUGAAAGUUGUAAUGCAUCACAACUUAUCAGUGUACAUGUUUUGUACAUUAAACAAUACUUUAAUGUCAUGUCUUAAUUCAAUAACAUAAAGAUAAAUCCAAAUCCAAAUCACACAAAGAGGAAUAUGAAAUUCUAAAGUGAUUUGAUCAACUAUUGUUACAUUCACGAAUGAGAAAGAAUUGUGUUACUAUAAUAUAUAUCACGUAGAUAUUUUAGAUAAUAUAAUAAAGUGAUUCUCUUUGAUCUACAAAUGUUGACAUAAUUGGUUAAACCAUAUUAAAACUUUAUAUGCUUAUUUAUAUGAUUUUGCUUUAUCUUUAUAUUAUUACACUAAAAUAUGACAUUCCAUUUAUUUUUUAUCUUUAGGUUAUUGCACUAAAACAUGACAUGUUUCUUGUACAACAUGUGGUAUCAUAGUUUUUAGUGGCACAAUACCUUGCUUGUCCUUUCACCAAUGCCAAGUGUUGUACCAUGUGUGCCAUUGAGCUCAUGGAUUGUAUAGAGGCCCGAUGUGUGUCAAGCCCCACUUAGCACACAUCCUUGUUGCAAUAUGACCCAUGUUUGCCAAGCAUCCUUCUUAGCCUAUAACCCAUAUUUGUUAUAUUGUUGGCCUCCAUUUAUUAACAUUGUUGAUUCCUUCCAUCUAAGACAUGCUUGACCUAUCUCGUGUGCCACAAUCAUAACCCAUGGGUUAUAUCGUAUUCAUGGCAUUACACUCAUGCAUGUGUGCUAGCAAGGUUCAUCAUUAUACUUUGGCCUUGUCUAAGACCUCAUGUUGCGCCCUUUAAAUUGCAUGGUUAUUAUCAUCUAAGUUCUAUCACCACCUUUAAAGAAAAUGUGAAGUCAAAGUUCAUUAAAUCUUUGGUGAAUAUCCAAGAAAUGGGAUGAAUUGAUUGUUCAUCUACUUCUACAAAUUUUGAUAAUUUUAAUAUAAAUAAUAAUUAACUACUCAAUAAGAAAAUUAAAAUAGAGAAGGGAAUAUAAACACAAACUGGAUUUUUAUAAUGGUUUAACAAUUGUAUAUGUACAUUCCUUCUUGUUUCAUCUAAGUUUAAGGUUUCCUCUACUAAUUCAAGGCUUUCUUCAAUUGAAACUUUCAAGUCUUCGUACAAUUGAAUUCAAAAUUCUAAUAGUCCUUUACACUCACUCAAGUGAUCUCUCACACUUGAAACAAACUUCGCAAUAUUGAAAAAUUAAAAUUAUAACUAGUCCAUUUUCAUGCAAUCUCAACCUAGUGCACAUCAACCUCACGUUUAUAAAGUCCUAAAAAUAAUGCUUAUACUUGCAUAGAUUCUUUUGGUGCAUGGUCUUCUAAUUUUGGAUUAAUUUUAUCUUUCAAAAAUCAAAAGCUUUAUCAAAUUAAUAACCUGCUUGGACAACACUUAAACACACAAUUACAUGUUUAUCAUUUGUUUGUUAUUAUCAAAAUUCAUGAUAGAAAACCUUAGGAGAGUCACUCUUCCUAAAAAAAAAAAAUUAAGCCUUCUCAAAUUCUAAUGCAACAAGACAUCAUAGGUGCUUCCACAAACAUAAUGGAUUUUGUUUGGUCAUAAACAAUUUUUAAAAAUAUUACAUCAUUUAAAAACUCUCUCAAUGCAUCAAUUUUGAAGAAAAAAUCACAACUCCAUGAAAUCUCAUACUUUAAUUUUGCCUAAUCUCUCCCAAAUGGUAUCUUAUGUGGGCAUGUUGCCAUGAUUACUAAGCCAAUGCUCAAACACUCAUAGCACUCCGCAUGCAUUGACAUGCUAUCAAGUCUAUCAAGACCCCUGGCUUUUCUUCUUGUCUAAGUUAUGACAUGUCUCUCUCCCUGCAUGCCAUACGUUAUCGCAGACACAUAUCCAUCCAUAUUUAAGCUCAUUUGGAAGGAAAGGUAAACAGGACAAAAAAAAAAAGAUGCGAUUCAAUAGUGUAAAAUCCUAUUUCAUUGGUACCAACCUUUCACGGGACAUAUUGGUCACAUAAUCCAAACUUAACCAGAAUACAAAGUUUAACAAACCAUGGUGCUACAUCAUUUCCAUUCCAUGUAGCAACAGUAAACUCGUAUUUUCCCACCCCGCAUCUUAUGAACUUCGCAACCCACUGAAAUUAUACUGGGAUAGGUAAAAAAGAAUUGCUCCACCCAUUCCCAAAGGUUCCAUUCCAUGGCCCAAACAUAUCCUAAAUUCACUCUAAAUUAUCCAAAAUUUAUCAAUUAGGUUUUCAACAGAAAUGUAUAAAGUUUGAGUUAACUUGAUAUUUCUUGCAAGUAGAAGUAGACGACUAAAAGAAUUUCCACUAAAAAGAAAAUGUUUCUCCUACCGAAAGGCUAUUCCAAACUAUAUAGAAAGGAAGUAUGCAUUCAAAACAAAUGGGCAUUUAUAAUGGAACAUGAAUAAGAUCCACACCUUGAGAUUUUCUAGUGUUCCCCCCGCAUAGUAUAACUUACCAAUCUAAACUUCCCAUGUGGUGAAGAAUAGGGUAUGGGGAGUCAUCAAGGCAAUUUAGGGAAGCUUUUUAAGUCGAACAAGUAGCCCAAAUAUUAGGUGAGCUAGGUGGAACCAUUCAUGGUAAAUGAAACCCACAGGAAAGGAACAAACUACAGGAUCGAGCCAGCCAAAAUUAUUUUACACCGAAUUUUUAAUUGUUUUGUGAAUUUUGUUUUGUUUAAUAGAAGACUAAUCAUUUCUCUCUCAAUUUUAGAACACAGAAGGAAAAGCAAAUCUCCACCUGCAGUAAGUUCUUUAUGUUAAGCACGUGAAUAUACAGACAAAAAAAAGGACUAUAAAGGAGUCCUCGUACCUGUUAUCACCGUGAUAACCAAGUUGCGCGCAUGACAAAUUGUAUACAAGAGCAGAUUUGUUGGUUUCCAUCAGCAAACAUGAUAUUAGAUAAUGAUUAUGAACUCCUUCCAUGUCACAAACAUAUACCAAAGGGAAUAAAUAAGUAAGCAUGACCAGAUAAUUAGUCAUUCAAACUAUGUAAGCAUUUCAUUAUCAGUAUAGGUCAAGUUCGAGAAUAUACAUUAAGCAAAAUAGGGAUUUUUUUUUUCUUUUCAGAAAACAAAUAUUUCAACUUCACCGACAUCAUAUUUCAGGAUAUACACAUGAGCCCAACACAAGCAUUGGAUUAUGAGUAGGCACAUUUAAGAAUAUACAAGCACCUCAGUCAUCUGUAAAGAAUUGUCCUGAAUGGUUAUCCAUAACAGCAAAUUGCAUGUUCUCUGAUGGUUUCCAGUGCCGCUUUCGUUGAUUUAUAAACCAAUUGUUAAUUUGCUUCUGGUCCAGACCCGUUGUUUCAGCAAGUGCAAUUUUAUCAGCUUCCUGGAUUAUUAUAUAAGAAAAAGCGGUAUGGUCAAAGACUCAGAAAAUAGUAUGCAUUCCCACCCUAUAAAGGAAAUGAAAACACAAAGUGCAGACUUACAAGCACAAUAGCAACAUAUAGGUAAACCAAAAGUACAAGAUCCAUCACAGCAGCAAAGCAAAAAUACUGCCCAAAAUUAUUUGGAUGACCAUUAGGAUGUCAAAUGGAAAUGUACUUGUUCCAUUCUGUUGUCCAGGAGAAUUAAACCAGCUCAAUCAGUUUUCUGAAGUAUUUGCAAGAAGUCUAAUAUGUAAUGAGCAGUUUCAUUCUCAGGACUUGAAGUAAUAACUUCUUCUGUGAUAACCUAGUUCGACCUGGUCCAUAGGCUAUUAUAUUGUCCCCACUUUAAGUGCUGGCAACAAGUGGCAGUCAGUGAGCUAUCCACACAGUUACCGCCUAGAAAAAGGAAGAAAUGAAAUCAAGCAAAUUUUACUAUAAAUUUCCUUCCAUUUUAGCUGACUAACCUCUGGAAAUAAUUUCUAAAACGUGGAUGGGUUGGGUUUGUGGCUCAACAGAGAAAAAAAAAAAAAAAAAAAAUCAUUUCCAUGGCAUCAUUACCACUCUCAUUCGGGACACCAUUACGACUCCAACCCCUUUAAACCUAUAUAUAAGAUGACAUUUCUUCCUCUUUUAAAGAUGGGUCAUGGUUCAAUUGUGAAAAUGAGCCAAACCAAAUACAGCACUCAAAAGAUUCAUUGUCAUCGGUAAACACUCCGGAAGAACAAAGAGUUCAAGAACAACAUUUAAGGUGGUACAGCAUAGUUAAGGCGGAGACUGACUGGAAUAUUUACCGUUGGGUAUGGCCAUUUAUAAUGAAGGUUCCACCACUCAAGUAGUGUUUGCCUUGCUUCUUUUGGCAGCUUUCCUUUUUUCUUCUUUUUUGAAAACUCCAGCUUGAGGGAACUUAUUCGACCACCAAACCUCCGUAAGAGCCUCUCCUUAAGUUCUUGGUCUUCACCCCUUGGUUGAGCCUCUUGUACCUCCUCUCCUCCACUAAAAUCCUCAUCAGAUGACACAACAGCUUCAUCUGGCCAGAUCAUUGCACAAGUAAACAUAAUGAAAACAACUUAAUAACCUGGAGAAACUGCAGAAAAAGCUUAAACUUUAAAAAAAUGGCAAUACCCUCAUCCACCCAACACAGAGCUACACCUAUGACCCAAUUUGAAUGAUGUCUCAAGAUAAACAAUUAAACUCGCCAAAAUUCCAUAGACUAGCAGGGAAUCAUCUUUGAGCUUUAAGAAGGGAUUUAAAGACCAGUUUAAUUUUCUAGAAGGCAAUCAUGCACGCUGCACUUGGACAUCAUAUUCUCAAAGCAAAUUAAUUUCAAGUGGCUUUUCAUCUCUAGUUUCAUGAGUAAUGCUUAUGUUUCUCAUAUAGUUUAAAAUUGACUAUAGUUUUUUCAUAAACACAUGUAUUAAAAGAGGACACGUCAAGAUUAUAUCAACAAAUUAUAUCACUGGUAUUUAUGUGCUACCAUUUAUCAAAUAUGAUAUAUUAUUUUAGAAUACAAACUAGCAUAAACGAAUCAAUGAAAAUAGUAACUGAAUUAAUUCAGUUUUAGCUUUCCUGUUUCCAUUUGAAGUUUACCUAAGUAGAUCCAAAAUGGGUUAUGAACAAGUUUCCAUUAAACAAAAAAAAGUAUUGCAGCUACUUUUGUCAUUGAAAAGAAGCAAGCACCCACUCAAACCCACCAUAUCCCUCAAAUCACAUUCAAAGAAGUCGCUUGCAUCAAUCAUCUACAUGACAUUUUCUGAUACAGUAGAGACAGGUAAGGUUUUGAUUUAUUUAGUGUCCUUAGCUCUUAUACCAAUCAUUCACAUAACUUCUAAUGGAUGGACGAGUCUUUGUGAAGCUGUGUAGUAUGUGGCUAUUGUACUAAAUGUAGAUUUAUGGUAAAGCAUCAAAAGUAAAGCUUAUGAUAAUAGCUGCCACUACCCUAUACAGCCAGCAUCUCGAUCUUCCAUGUUAAUGAUGUGUGAAUCAUUCUAUUGCAUGUUAAGGAUGCAUGAAUCCUUCCAUCAGUGUUUCCAGCCAGUCCAACGGUUAAUAAUGGAUGGGAACUUGGGCAGUGGAAAGGACAUUAAAAUAAUUGGCACACGUGAGAAAGUAAUCAGUCACAAAUUCGAUUAGGGUGCCUAAAUUCUGAUGAUGUAAACUUCGUAUUGGGAUUAAAAAAUUAAGCCAAAAGAGAGCCUAUUUGAAGAGGAAAUCGAAAAGGUUGAUUACUUUAAUAUUCAAUUAAUCCAUCUUCAAUUUACCAUGAAUAGCACUGAAGAAAUCACAGCAAAUAACCUUCAGCAAAAUAACAUGGAGGGUUAUACCUAAACUUGCAUAAAUGAUAAUAUCUGAAAGAAAAUAAUAAUAAUAAUUAUUAUAAUAAUAAGCAAAGAAAAAUAAAAAAAUAAAAAAGCUUAGCAUGCGUGGUUUGACUCACAGAACACAAAACCAAACAUGGAGGACGAAGAUGGAAGGCCACAUAGCUCUCUGACCGCCAAACCAGUUGCAAAGAUUAAAAUUAUAAUUAUUUAAAAAGAAAGAAAAGGAGGAGAUAUUGCUCCGUCGUUUCUGAGUCAGUGUCUACAUUAUUGACGAGACGGUACGGCCAUCAAAUCAAAGUGGCAGAAAGCCCAGACUAGCACUGUGACAAACUCGGCAAUCUAGGUAACACGACCACUGUGGCACUGGCCACUCUUCAACCCAGCCCAUACUCCCAGUGGCAUUAGGUGUGAUCAGAGCAGAUGAAUCGGUUUGACACGAGUGCAAGCCUUUAAAUUAUAUUACAUCUUUUUCCAUUAAAAUUUAGGAAACUGCCAUGAUACCAUCCACAUGAUCUGGAUUCUGGACCUCUGAAUUGCAUCAUAAAAUCUGAACUAUUAUUAAAUGAGAAUAAUUAUUAUAAUAUUAAAUAUGUCUACAGACCCAUCAAAAUAAUUUACCAUUUAUUAAAAUAUAAAACUAAGGACUAACCAUAAAAUGUAUGGACUUAGAACCUAGAUAAAAUCAAAAGGUAAUAAAACCAUUUCCAAAUAUAAAAUAAUAUACCUUUCUAAAAACACGUCAAUUUUCUUUGGAUUGAUGACGACCUUUUUCCAUAAGAUAUUGACAAAAAAAAAAAAAAAUUAUCAUACUGUCACCAAACCCCAAAAUUUAUUCCAGAGGCACCUUGCAUGGGUGGAAUAAAAUCUUGGAACUUUAGCUGACAAGCUCCUAGAAAUGCUAGCUAGUAGUAACUUUAUGGUAAGUAGGUACACAUAGAACGAAUUGCACUACUCCAAAAUUAAUGAUAAUAGCGCUCAUUUUUUUUUCUUGUUUCGGAAAGAAUUAUAAAAAGGCACAUUCGAUUAUUGUAAGUUGCUAAAAAAAAGUCAAAAUUAAUUAAAGUUUUAUUUAUUUUAAACUAUUUACUUUUAUUGAAAAAUGUAAAUAAAAUAAAUUUUUAAAAAAUACGUGUAAAAAUAACUUACUAAUUUUACAUCUAUUUUUAUUCAAAUAUUUCAAGACCCAAAAGAGAAAAAGAAUAGAAUUAAAAUAAUACAGAAAUUAUAGGCCACCACGUAUUAUCAUUAUAGAGAUGGAACGUUCUGUAAAUUUUCAAAAAUGUCAGUCACUAUAAAAAUAAUUUUAAAAAGAAAAUUUACACUUUCCCCUCACAAAUUUGAUUCUCUACGCUCUACGCUGCCUAAGGAUUACAGAGAAAAGAACAAAACAAUUAGAAAAAGACUCUACGCCCAAGCUGCCGAAAAUGAAUAUAGGGAAAGAAACAAGUGGGGGUUAGAGGGACCCACAGAAAACUCCAGUUCGCAACUAGAAAGUAAACACGUUCACAUACAUCAUCCGGCACAAAGACCCAGAAGUGAACAAAUGUCCAUGGAAAUGACAAGCACUACGCAGCGGCAGAAGCUGGGGUGGGUGGGAGAGAGAUGGUGUUGAUGAGGCCCCUAAAGCUGAUUCACAGCGGGAGUCCAUGUGAAAUCCGAACACCCGCUCUAAGCGGAGUGGGCCUCGUAAAGUUGGCCUACACUACCCCCAUAACGCCCUUUUCCUUGACGUUCCAUACAACCUCCUCUCACUCUCCACCCCACAUCUAAUAACCCGGUGGCCCCAUAACGCGCUUUGGAAGGGUUUCACAAGACGGAGACCAGUUCUUUUCUCCCUCCCUCUCCCAUCACAUGCUUCAGUGUAUCUAUAGUCCAGGCUUCUUCUCUGAAACUUUUCUUGGGAAACCAUCACAACGCCCAUUCCAAUCUUGUUGUGUUGUAUCACUCGGGAGAAUAAAGACCCUAAAAGCAUUUACGAGACUCUUGGACAAGCUUCUUUUCUUUCACUCAAUGGUCCUCUAAAUGCAAGCCUAUUAUAACUGGAGAAAGCAUCUCUAAAGGCAAGCAAUGACAUGGCGCUUCGAAAUGCUCGUGAAAAUUCAUCUAGCAUUAUUCAUUCUCAUUUCUCUUAUCAACUGAUUCUUGUCAAGCAAAUCUGGCCUAAGGACUCGAUAAUUAUUCUUGCCUGUAAUUUAAACUCAGCAAUAGACUCUUUAUGCAGCAAAGAGAAAAUGCACAGGGCAAGAGCUUUUCCCGUUGUGGCCUUAAAAAAACUUGAAAUGCAAUGCAACUAAAGAAGCAUCAUGUUUGAUAUGGAAAACAAUGAAAAUAAAUUGACGCAGCUCCGAACCAACCCAGUCAAUUAUUCCCAAAAAAAUAAAUUGGGAAAAAUUGAAGACCAAAGGAAUGAGUAAGAAGCAAAGAGAUCCAGUUAUUGAACUGCCAGCCCUCAGACCAACUAGGAUGAGCAAACCUUGCUUGUCACCAUUCCAGAAGGAACGGAUGAACAUAGGACCUAACAUUUAAUGGUACAUUUUUGUAAUUUAAUGUAAUGCCAAAUCCUGGAUCCUUGUUAUUCAUUUCGAAUUCAAUAAUGUUCCUGUCGACAGCUGCAGACUUUUAAUUGACUAUAGCAGCAGAAAUGCUAGGACUAAAUAAUACGAGAUCCACACAAUCAGUCCUUGAAAAUGAUAAGUUUCAGGGAUUCUCUUCUUUUUCCUAAAAUCAUUGCAGCAAUUCCCCAAGAUCUGAGGACUUAACAAGAUCACAGUAACUUUGAACCCUAUGUUAAAAAAUUAUCAUGCUUCAAAAGUUGAAGGGCAAAAGCAAUAGACUAACAAUUAACAAUCCUGAGGAGAACAGUUUUGUUAAAGCACUUGUCGAAGAAUGCAUCUGAUGGAGAGUUAAACAAACAUAGAAGAUGGCUGCACAACAGACCAGAAAGAGAAGCAAAGACCAGCAGCCUGGCAGAUCACCACCUUAUUCAAUGGAAGCAUGUGAAUAUAUGCCAACAAAAUGUCCUAUGUGGACAUCUGCAUUGGUGGCACGUCUAAAGAAAUAUUAGAUCUGCUAAAGAGACUGGGAUAAGAAAGAGCCAGUGAGGCAUCCGAGAAGACAAAGAGAACACGAGGCCAACUAACAAUUGUAGUAAUAACAUUACUGGAAAAACUAAUCCGUAGUUUGAAACAAAAACAAUAAUAGUUGCCAACCAUAACCAACCUCAUUACAGUGAUAUACAAGACUACAUCCUUUUUUAAAUCAAUUCUUUAUGCAAAAAGUGCAUUAAGUUAUUUCGUUCAGUACCUUUUGAACAUCUAAGGCUGUUUUACACAUGCCAAUUGCAUGACAUCCACUCCUUGUAAAUGGAAACAACAACAGCUUUUCUCUGAUAUAGAUUCUUAAAAUUGCACCAACUUCACGCCAAGCUAAGAUUUGUAGUUUAAACCAAUAAAGAAAUUACUAAAUCAACAGUAUCAAUGACAAAGGCUGAUUGUAGGCUAAGUGUACUUUGUUUACUUGUUUAUUGUUUCAACCAUUAUUUAAUGAUAGAGACGGUAACACAGAUUAAAAGGAGAUUCAAGAAUUCAACAAAAAUAAAAAGAAGAAUUAGAUGUCAAAGAAGCAAAAGUGCGGAAGCACAUCAUCAAGCCCCAAAACAUCAGUCCUUUUAGAAAGUUGCAGAGAUCAAUGUUAUCACGUGAGUAGUGAGAUUCCUAUUUCAAUCUAUUAUCAUUGAUGAUGAGGAUGAUUAAGGGUAAUAAUGAACUAAACUUGGCUUUGGUUCAAUAAAUAUGCAUGAUUUUUUAAAAUUAUCCAAUACAACCUUCAAGAAGAUAUCUCUAUGGGAGCAAAUAUUACUUUUACCUAUUAGACAAUUCCCAAUGCCCAUUUAAAUUCUCCCACAUACUCUAUGCACAACUUAUGCAUGCUCUAUUGGAACUUGAAAUUCUAUAAAGUUACCAGACCAGAUCAUUACAGGCCAUUACCAUCACCAUUUAAAGAAUAAGCAGGCCCUUUUAUUUUACAACAGACAACUUAAAAAUAGAUGCAAUACAGCAUGAAGACUACAUCCAUGUUUUGAUUUUCAAAGCUUCUAACUGUUUUUCACCCAUAGAAAGAGCACAAUCCAAUUAAUUAAAAAGGAUAACAUACAUGAAAUGUAAACUAGAAAAUGCACAUACAAUUAGGUUAGAAUUUUUUAUGUAUUAUUCUAGCUUUUAGGAUAACUUUAAAAUGAUAGAAUUUUGUGAAUACAACGCACACACACAUAUGCAUGCUAUUUAACUAGCCCAACAACUCUUAACAUGGGAAAUAUCUCCACCACAACAAUCAAGAAAAAGAAUCUCACACUAUUAAUUAAAUUAAAUAACUUUAAAUCAGCACUUGGAAAGGAUUUCCUAUGGAGCAAACAAAGACAACCUCCCCCUUUUCCCCAACACAUGCCAAGGAAAUGGAAAGCAAUUUUAACUCCCAUGUGAAAUCAAAUACAUAAAUUUUUUUUUUCAUCCUGCCCUACCUAGAGACCUUGCAAAUCUUUCUCCAUCAUGGAACUUUCUAUUACAGAAGUAUACAAAUUUUCCUUAUAUUAGAAUUUCAUAUAUUCUCUUCACCUUAGAAUCUCAUAUCCUAUGACUUCAAAUAAAAACCACAAAAGCAAGGUAAUAUCAUUUAUGGAUAAGCCAACACUCUAUCCCCACUUUUUAAGAAAACUAGAAAGGUGGUAACUCUUAUUUUGAGGAAAGAUGAUACUGUGUAAGGUCAUACAAUAUCAUAUCAAAUAAGAAGAAUAAAGAAACAAAUGGAACACCAAUGAUCUUAUUUCCCCUAAAACUAUAUUAAAGGCAUUUUUCUAGACAGGAGUUUUCAUGUAUAAUAAUGGUUCCAUUCAAAUUCAAUAAAUUGAUCAAAUAGAGAAAGUAAAAAAAAAAAAGGGGUCUCUCAAAAAAAAUUUGUAGCAUGCAAAAAUGAAACAAUGAGGGUGUUUACAGUUUCUUUGGUUUGGUUCCUCCCACACUCAUAGUUAUGUUUAGCCUAAAGUUCAAUUACUUGUGCUAUGUGUCCAUCAGCAGGAAAAAUAGGGACACCUGUUUGGAGUCUUUAGCACUACUUUUACAUUUUAUCAAAACUUAAAUUUCAAACCAGUCUUGUCAUAAAAAGGUAUGCUAGUUACAGUGACAUGGAUUAAAACAAAAUAUAAAAUUAUAAUCUGACAAUAUCAUAAAUGAGAAAAUCCAUUGCUAAUCUAAAAUUAGAAGAGGAAAAGGACUGGAAGAGAGGCAAUUAAGUCAGAUUUACAGUUCUGGCUAAUUGCAAACCAACACCUAUGCCUCAAAAGUUUUAACUCGUUUUAAAAGAAACCAUUCAUCUUCAAUGUAUUUAAACUAUCAAACUACUAUUCAGUAUGUCAUCAAUGAAAUCUGAAACGUCAAAAUCAGAAUCUCUAAUACUUUCUAGCUUCAUUUUCUCUGACACGGAAAAAAAUAAAAAGAAAAGGGAAUUGAAGAGAAAACGAACACAACAAACGAUAUGAACUGGGAAUUGCAAGUAAACCUAGCCCCAUAUACCACUGAACUGAAAAGGCACAGCCCCAAUACUGUUAUAAGGUCCAUUGCUGCAGUGCCAUUUAACUUUAUUAUUUGUUUAUUAUUUUAUUUAUUUGAUCAAAAUUUUCCCUUAAUAAAUGAUAUAACCACAAACAAAUAAAACUCACAGAUUAUUCUUCUUUUUUUUUCAAACCAGAAGCAGUGAAGUGAGACAACCUUCAUUAAGCUAAGACAUGGGUCUCUUUCAUUUCUAGGGUUUUUUGUUGUUGGUUUCUUUUUUAUUAUUGCCAUAUCCAAAAACAGGAGUAUUCUCUGAGCAUUAUUGGUGUUCUCAAUAGGUGGGUUCAUUGUACAAACAGCAAGAGGAUAGACAUUAGGACUAGGACUGGGACUAGGAGGAGUAGGAGGGCAAUGGCCAGCCCUCCAUGGUGUUCAUUAUGCUAGCUUGAGCCGGCAACUCACGCUAUCGUGUUUCAUGAACAGCCCAUCUGUCUAAGCGAUUACAGUGAAAAGAUUUAUGGUGAUUUUCACAUGAGUUGCUUAUACAGCUCAAAAAUCAAUAAUAUGUGUGUGAAAACAUAAAUAAAAAAUAAAAUAAAAUCCCACGAUUAAAGCAUCCGACGGAAGAAAAACUUACCGGGAAGGCUUCGUAUGGAUGCAUCGUUGCAGAGAUUGCCCAGCUGCAUUUCAAUCUUGUUCAAGAAGGUCGUAGCUUCAUCAAAAGGCCUUGCGAGAUCUGAUUUAUACUUCUCCAACAUAUCACAGUAUGUUUCCUAGCGGGAACGAGAGAAAAAGAGAGGAAAAUUAGAAAUUGAAGACAAACGGUUAGAGAGAGGGUGAGAGAGAAAGAGACCAUGAACUCGUCGAGCUCAGGAUCGGCUCCUAAGCACGUUGAAACAGCGUCUCUCUUACAAACGUCGUUUUCUCGCCGGAUUUCGUCUAACAGACACGCAAUUUCCGGAGGCGCCCCUACCUGAAAAGGCAUCCAAUAAAACCGAAAGCUUAAAAAGCGAAGUACAAAUGAACACAAAAGCGACUAGAAUUUUCCUCCGAGAAAUUACAGGAAAGUUAGAUCAGUAAAUACAAAGGACUUUCGCGGCACGUUGCCAGGGAAAUAUAGCGAAAUUGACAGGAAAAUAAUGACAAUUUUGAAAGGUUUUCAAAGCAAACGAAAAACGCAAUUCAUUAUACACUUUUCUUUUCCAAGAAAACAGAAAAAGGCUUAGAUCUCCAAAGUUAAAACGAAAGUCAAAAACAAUAAAUCCGCCAUAGAAGCCAUAAACGCAACGUACGACGGCCAAAUCGGAGUUAUUUGGAUAAUGUAAAGCUCAUUAACUUGAAAUCGGAUGACUAAGAGAAAAGCGCCAUCACUGUACAUAAUUCAAUGCUCUAAACAAACUUGGUUUCUCUAUAGGCGACUGGAACCACAACCAAAACUUCGAAAACUUGAAUUCGAGUUUGAAAAACUAAAAACACUUGAAACAACUCAUGAAGACGCCCCAUCUUAAGCCUCAUCCUCGGAUUCAUCACCAUGAAAAAGAAGUUUCACCUUCUGACAAUCGAUGUAAGCUUCGAGCAAUCUCGGGUAGCAAGGAUGGGAAGCGAUUUUGGCUUUGAUCACAGAAGACACAUCUUCUUCUCGUUGAAUUUCGGGCGUGAUCGAAGCAGUCUCUGAUAUAGCAGAAGCCACCGAAAUUAGCUCGUUCGAUCCAAACACGGGAAUCCGAUAGUCACGAAAGGCGGCUGCGGAGGAGAAGAAGCUCUGGUAAUCCGCCGGCAGUAUCAGAUUCUCCGGCGACAUCAGCACCUUGUCGGAGUAGUCGGACGUCGAAUUGAGACCGUACACUUCCUCCAUGAUUCUCUUCUAGAAGAACGAUGAGAAUUGCAGAAGAUUAAAAGGCCAAUAUCACAUGAACUGUGGAGUAGUAGAGAACCUUUGUAUUAUAGUUGUUUAUAUUUAUAAUUUUAUAUACAUAUAUAUUUCUUUAAAAUAAAUUUAAUUCCCACCCCCAUAAAAAAAUAAAAUAAAAUAUAACAUAAAGUUAACUGGAAGCUCGCAUUUGCUGUAAUGCAGAAAUGAAGUGCGAGUGUGAUUUUCACACGCGGGUGCCGAGAGGCAGAGCUCUGAGAGCCCCUCAAAGCUAAUCCGGUAAUCCCUUUUCCUAUUUCUUUAUAUAAUAGUUUUUAUACACAUCACUUCCCCCGUAAUUCUUUUAUUUUUUAUUUUUUAUUUUUUAUUUUUGUAAAUUAUUAAAUAAAAUAAAAUCCCCUUCAAAUGUCUACGCAAAGUCAUCGCACAAGCAUUACUUUCUAUGGCAAAAAUGCGCUGUCUCCACUCUUUUAUAAUAUUAAAAUGUAAAGAGCAUGAGGGCAUGUUUGGAUGUUUUGGGAAUAUCGAAUGACUUGAAUUGUUUUUACCUUCAAGCUUCAUCACAUACCAUCCACAAAUUCUCAAUAUUCUUUCCAAUCUACUCACAAAGUUUAGCCAAAAAUGAAACAAUUGAGAGAUGAAUAGAGGAAUCAGCAAUAAAAUGAUAACGCUGCACCAUACAAUUGACUUGAAACAUGAACCUAAAAAGAAAUGUCAUUCGCAAUAAAGUCAAAUGUAGGUGAUGGAUGAUUAAGGUUGAAAGGGCAUGCAAAGCAUAAAAGGGGGCAUUCAAAAAUUUCAUCUGAAGUCCAAUGUCCGAAUGUGCCCUAAUCAUAACCCUCCCUGUCAAUUAGCAGCAUCUUUGUUGUGUUUCACGGGUAUGGCUUGUCCUAUUUUUUGCCAGCAGAUGCGUUCCAUGCCAUCUCCAUCUUCUGUGCCUUUGCUUAUAUUUAAAUUUCAUUUUUAUAGGAUUUUUAAUUUAAAAUAUUUUAAAUUUUACGCAAACAUAACCCUUAAAUAUAAUCAUUUUAAAACUAUGAAAAUGGAAAAAUCAUUGAAGAAUAAUAGACAAAUAAAGAUUCAUAUGUUAUAACUAAAUAUUAAAAAACAAUAAAAUGGAAAAAGAGAAUAAUAAUAAUAAAAAACAUACGCAAAUGAGAUAAUAUAAGAAAGUUGGUUUAUCAAACAUGUGCAAACCAAUAUGAACUAAUACACGAGAAUUUAGAAAGUAUUGACCACGUCUUAUACAACUCUAAACUAGGAACCUUUCAAAGUUUGAAAUUUUGAAUUACAACUCAAAUAGUAACAUCAACAAUUCAAUAUAAUGAUUGAUCGUUGAACUAAAAAUUGGGAAUAUUUUAAAUGUUUCACAUUGGGACAAUAUUCCGCGCGAGACUUUAGACUUUAAAGGUAGAGUCCGAAGUCAUAAAUGCAACAUAGAACAAAUUUUCAAUAAAAAAAAUUCAGAAAAAGACUUUUAACUACUUCGUUUGUAGGAUCAAGGAAAAAUAAACUAACGCCUCCAUAAGAAAUUCUAUUCUCACUUCAUAGAUGAACAAUUUCUUCGAUUUCUUAACCAACCAUAUAAGGCAAAGGAUUGGAUCGGAUGAUUUUUUAACUUCUAAUAGAAUUUGAUUCUUAAAAUUUGGACGUAAAAGUUGUGAAUAUGUGUAGUUGAUGAAGUUUUUUGUUUUCAACUAAGUUUUAAAAAGACUACAAAAUCUAGGAUUGGCAAUUCACUCAUAUUUUGCAUAAUGAAACAUUACUCCCUGCUACCCCACCCUCCAUAUUUUUCAAACUUCCAUCUAUUCAAUCCACCACUGAUGAUAAGAAUCAAAGAUAUUCCGAAUAUUAUAUCACUAGGAUUGCUAUUGGAAUUGAAUUUUUUAUAUCAUACAUCAUACAUACCAUCAUAUGCAUGUACAAAUAUUAUAUUCCUUCGAUGUAUAAAAUUUUGAUAAUUUAAGCAACAAAAACCUAACCAUGUAUCUAAGAAAAAAAAAGGAACAAAAAAAAUAAAUUAUAUUAUAAUCCUGUAUAAGAAUUCAUCUGAUAAUGAUUUUAGGAAACACUUUAAUUUUUCUAACUAUUCAAAAAAUUUAUCAUUCAAGUGUUAAAAAAAUUAAAUAUAUUAGGAACAUCGUUUAAAAUUAAUGUCAAACACGUUCUCAAUAUUUUAUAUUCUAUUAUACCACAACAACUUAAAUCAUCUUAUUUGAAAUAUAACUGAAAUUUAUCACUUAAUAUUGAUUCCCAUUAUUUUUCCUAAUCAUAAAUAGCUCAUUUUCAAUGGAAGAUCGUCAUAUUAACAUGUCAAUGUGUUUUAAUGACUAAUUUUUAGGAAAAACCGAAUUGUAUAAACAAAAACGAAAUAAAACGUAGAAAAUCAUAUAAAUACAAAAUUAAAAUAAAGUGGUGGGCAAGCCCAAAGAGAGGUGAGGAAGAAAGGUGACCAAAAUAAAGGUUGCCAACAGAGGAAUUUCUUAAGUUAAUAAUACAUUAGAAGAUUCCAAGGAUGAAUAAGGUUUGUGAAUUACCAUGCCAUCUACUGUGGCCCACAGGAAUCUGGUUGUUCCAUACACCCGAUUCAUUCAUUAAUAUUCAUCUCCCACUCCACAAUUAUUCUAUAUACUUCAUAAAAGAUUUUUUUUUUUUUUUUUUUUUUUAAUUUCUCACUUUUUGCUUUCCUUGACAAGGAGAACCCCAAGGUUUCUUCCUCACGCUUCAUCUUACAAUUUUGUAAGUCAUGUCAUGAAAAAGUGAUAAAGAAUUUAAGUAAUUAACUAAAGUUAAUUAGAUAUCUUUAUAUAUCUUGCUUUCUAAAUAUAUGUGAUAACGACUUAAAGUUAUAAUAAUUUAAUUUAAAUUGAAUAAAAUUUAUAUUUUAUACACACAUGCAAAAAGCUAAAAAAGAACAGAUUCAUCCUCUCAUCUAAUUUUUAUACACAUUUAGGGUGAUUUUAUUUAAACCCUAUUUGCAUUUGGUCCUUACUAAUUUUCUAUGCUUUUUCAAAAAAAUUUCAAACCAAUUUCUCUUUUUUUUCCUCUCUUCUAUAUAAAAGUUAAAUUAUUUUAAAAUAAGAAAUUUUAAUUAUAUUUUUAUAAUAAAUUAAAUAUGAAAAAUUAUCUUUCUUAAUACUUUUUUUUAAAAUAUUAUUAUUUAAUGAGCUUAUUAUUUAUCAAUAAAAAUAAUAAAUGUGUUCAAAGAAUAAUACAUACACCCCUAAAAUAUUCUAAAAAAAAUUAAUUAUUAAUUAUAAAAGAUAAAAAGAAUUCCAAAAAUUUCAUAAUUCAAAGAAAUAGUUGAAUGGUUACCAAAAAUGUUGGAAUUGGAUAAAAUUGAAUUGUAAAAUGUAACUCAAUAUUAUAUUAUAUAUUUUUAUUUUAUUUUUACAUAUUUCACCGGUUAAUCUUUUCUUGGACCUUGAGGUAUGUUUGGUUUUGGAAUUUUUUUUUUUUUAGAAAAAAAGAGAAUAAGGAGAAGGAAAAAAAAAAAUAUAUAUAUAUAUAUAUAUAUAUUUAAGAUUAAUAAAUUAUUUUAUUUGUUACUUUAAAUUUAUUUAAUAUAUUUUUUAUUUUUAUAUAAAUAUUAAAUAAUUUAAAAAUAUAUAAAUUUAUAAUUAAUAUAAAUUAUAUUUGAUUUUGUUUUAUAUUUUUUUAUGUUAAAAUUAAAUGUAAAAAAAAUUAUUUUUUUUAACACUUCUUUUCCUUUUUGUUAUGGGAUAAAUAUAGCCCAAAAGUUACUAUAUGUAUUUUUUUUUCCUUCUAUAAUAUAAUUUAUCAAACAUCUUCUUAUCUCUUAUUUUUAGAAAUACAAAAUUCAUAUUCAUUAUUUAUAAAAAUAAAAUAUUUAAAUUUUUAUAUUUUAAAAAUGAAAAAAAAAACACACAACACACAAUUAUCCCUGGGCCUAAAAUAUUUUAUUUAAUCCACGACCAAUUUUGAUAAAAGAUUAAUUUUAAUAAAAAUAAAGCAUAAAUUCUGACUAGCUUUAAUUUAUAUUAUUUACUGUAUUUCUAUUUCAGAAAAUAAUGAUGCCACAUUUUCCCUUAACAGACUAUUUGCAAAAAUGCUAAUAUAAAAGUUAGUAUUAUUUAAAUAAAAAUAAUAAUUUUUAAAUUCGAUUAAGAAUUUUAUUAUUUAAUUUCUUUUUAAGAAUAAUUUUUAAGGGGAUAAGGUAAAAUCUAUAUAUUUUUUAAUAAGAACGGGUAUUUUUAUAUAAAAAUUUUAAUUUUAAAUAAAAAAUAUAUUCAAAGUUCAAACUUAGAUUGGUCUAGGCAGGUGAUGGCUAAGAAUGGAGCAAGUAUGCUUUUCAAAAUUUAGGGCCCCCAUGUACAAAUAAAAACAAAAGGAAGUCAAGUAUUCACGGGUUUCGACUCUUUAGGCUUUCCAUCUUUCUCUCUCUCUCGGUGGAAGCAAGCAAAGCAAGCUAAGCUUAGGGGUCAUUACAGUUUUGAUGACUGAUUGAUUGAUUUGAUGACUUUGAUGGGAUCAGUGAAAACUGCAAAAGGAAGCCUCAUGCCAGUCACCCAAACCCCCUCCGUCCCCCACUCCCGCUCCCCCCAUUGCUCUCGAAGUUCACAAAAGCACGUAUUUUGAGGCUCUAAUCCUAUGCAUUCUUUACAGGCGGUUUGUGCAUGCCCAAACACGCCUUAAGCCAAGCAAAACAAGCAGUCUUAAACACAGGGAAAGGAAAAGGGGGGUGGUACCUGGAGAGUGGAGAGUGGAGAGUGGAGAGUGACAGUUUUUGGUAGAAAGUUGAGAUAUGAAAGGCAGAUCAGCGGCUGGAUCCAUGCCUUGAUACUGGAUGAGCAGAGCGAGUAGAGGCUGAGCCGCUGCUGUACUCUUCCAUCGCUACUCAUCAGCCAUCAACCCCCCAAUCCCAUACUUCUUUUCUUUUGUAUUUGGAAGUGUUAAAAGAGCUGGAAGCGAGCCAGUGAGAUGUGAGAGAAGGGAGAAUUCCGUUUACUUCUCCAGGGACUCCAUCCUUUUAUAUACACAUUGUUUGGCAACGCUGCCUCCCCUCCAUGGCCCAUGGCUCCAUCCAUGGCUCGCUUCGUCAACAUCUUAUAUUAUUAUUCCAUCUAUCUUGUCAUAUUCGCUCCAGCCCAUUGCUUUAAUCACAUAAAGUAAGAGGAAAACCAGGGGGAAAAGAAAAGUUUAAAUUCUUAAAAGACGUCUUAAUCAAUCAUACAAGUAACAUGUUAAUAAAUGUAAAAUAAAAAAAUAACUAAUAACUGCCCGUCUAACGAAUAGUUUGAUUUAGGACGAAGACCAACAGAUCCGACCUCCCCCACCCCAGGGCCGAAGGCGCAUUCACCAUAAUUAAAGAAAAAACAUAUGCGAGAUGGUGCUCCACGUAAAACCCUCACAAUUCGACCAUGGGAGUCAAAAGCCGCAGAAAGAUGAAAAGAAAUAUAAUAAACAAAAUCCGACACGUGUUGUAGGCAACGCCCGCUAAGUAAAAAAGAAAUGAAUUAGGAGGGCGUGAUUAGUCCAAACUAAGGCUACUUAGUACCAAAUUGUCGGAACAAAGUGGAUAGGCAGCGCAACAUAACCUUAAUAUGGGGCAUUUGAGAAAGGGAAUGUCUUCUUUGUUCAAUAAUUGAAAGUCAAACACACGUGGUGGGGAGGCUUACGUUCAAAGUGACCAUUCCCACUGUCUAAGAUAGAAAGAUAGAAAGAGAGAAAGAUACCCCCUCCCCUUCUCUCUCUCUCUCCCUAUAAAUAAAGCCUUGUUUGUUUGACAAAGUUAUUUUAACUAAUUCAACAUCUUAUCAAGAUAAAAAGUCACACCAUCCCGACAAAUGUUUUCUCUAUUGCACAAAUUCACUCCUUAGGUGGCCGUUGGCCUCCUAGUCCACGUAAAAAAUAUGAUCAUAGAAUAGAUUUCACUUUUGUUUUUCUUCCACAUGGAGCAGGUUUGACCAUACUUAUUUGCCUGUUUUUCGAGAAAGUAUGGUUAACUCUCUCUUUCGCAUUUUUUUUGCUUUUGGGAUUGUCUAGUAAAGCACAGCAUUAAGCAAAAUUUUAAUCUCGUAUCAUCUUCCUUUGUUGUUGUUUUGUCUCUUCUUUUUAUCGUAAAUUUUGAAUCAAAUCCGAUGUGAUUAGACAGUUUCCAUGGUUUGUGUCAAAAACUUCAAAUAAUCAAAACCAUGGUUUUCACGAGUGUACAAGGAAACCAAGGGUCUGUUUGGAGAAAUAUUACCCAGGUGGUAGGUGCUACACAGCAUAUAUAAUUUUUGUUUUGUCCAAACAUCACUUGUCAUAGAAAAGGUGAUGGUAAAAGAAAAUGGAAAGAGAAUAAUUAGGGUAUUCAUGUGUCACGUAGCUUUAGGUAGGCAAGGGGUCAAAGUUCAUGAAAUUGCAUGAAAAACAAGGGCAGAGGAGUGGAGUUUGUGGCCAGGCUGCGGUGCAUUGAUAUGGCUUCACUGUGCAAUUGGAAGUCCCACAAAAGUAUGAAAGAGACUGUUUGUGGUCAAAAGAAGAGGAUUCUCUUGGCCCAUUUUGGGAGAAAAAAAUAAUAAUUUGUCAUGCCAUUCUGGGAGACAGAAAUGGAAGUUGCAUCAACUUGGAGGGUUGUUGAUUAUAAGUGAUAUCUUAAUUAAUAACAACAUUCCCAUUAUCUUUUUGACCUAACACCCCAAUUUUUUUUUAAAUACUUCCUCAUAGAGAAAAGCAUAUCAUAUAACAUACUCAGGGGUAUUGUGAUUUGCGCUGUCUCAUUAAGAUAAGUCAAAUUAAGAUACUACCGACUUAUGUACUAUACCCAUGUAGUGUUAUUGGAUAAGACCGCCCCCGGUCCACGUCUCGAACUUCUUAAUCGGUCGAUUUGGUCCUCCAACAGUGCAGUUUGGCCCAACUCCUGAGGCCUAGAGUUUCAGGCUUAUUGGGCCAAAUGACAUGCCUAAUGAAAUCAGCGGGGAGGUUGAAUCUGGAAACAGUGUUGGGCCUGGAGAAUCUGGCCUUUACAACAAUUCGAGCCUUUAAAAGUUGUCACCAUUGAAAUAAAGACAUAUCUUUUGGAUACGAUUCUCCUUUAUUCAAGUCAUUUCAAUCUUCCCACAGUUUUUCUUUGUCCCCAACCACUAUUUCUGAGUCAUUUUUUAAUUGUUGUUAAAAAAAAAUCAAAUACUUUCUCUUAGGAUUAUUUAACACAACAUUUCGUGUGCUAAUUUUGAUUAAAAAAUAAAUAGAUUUGUCUUCAUGGCUCCCUUCAACAUUCGAGUAUUGUAAUUUAAAAAAAAAAAAAAUUAUGCCAAAAAAGUUGCAAGAAAUUGUGAUCGUUCUUUAUGGGUUUAGGAGGGUGAGAGGUUAUUGUCUUGGUAGGUCUUUUCAAUGGCUGGACCCGAUGGCAGACCCACAUGUUGCAUCAUUAUAUUUUAGAAAUAUCUCGUAAGAUUCACUCAUCAUUUUCAUGAGGUUUUGUCCAUGUUAUUCAACAAUCAAUUAUCAUUUUCUCACCUGUCAUAAUUCAGGCAUGGAUGGAGGUUGCAUUCGUCCACCUCUAUGAAGAUACAGCACGUUUCAAGUCGCAGAGCAAAUCUUACUCGUCCUUAGAAUGAAACGUCCUUGCAGGUUAAGCCUGAGAAAAUAAUGGUUGGGAUGAGUCAAAGUUUGUCAUCAUGUUAUCAAAGAGGCAAUUAAUUGUAAGAGAUUUUCCUAUGACCGUAUAGAAAGGUGGGGUGGGGAUAAUGAUGAUUACAAUCAUGACAACUACAAAGGUAAUUAUCCAAAAAAUUGAAUCCAACUUAAACUAAACUCAGUUGCUUCAAAACUAUGGUCAUCAACCAAUAACCCAAAAGUAUCAUGGCCACUGGAGUCAUAUCCUGGAGACUAACUUCAAUUUCUCGACAUGGACCUGCACCUUUUCCUCUAUCUUAAAGUGGCUUUGUCUUUCAUAAUAAUAGCUAUAUAGAUUAUCCUUCAAACAACAUCCUCCAUCUGCCUUCUCACUAUAAUAUAAGGAUUUUUGCGCUAUGUUGGCAUCAACAAGUAUAUGGGCAAAGUCAUGAGAUUCUCUGGAAGAAAGAUUAUAGUGAUAGUUAUUUGUUUGUUAGCAUUAAAGAAAAGGCAGGAAAAAAGAAUGAGUGGAUAGUCUAACUGUAAUUGGGUGCAUAUCUGAGGGGGAGAUCACUGCCUUUUGCAUAAAAUCCAUUCAGGGUUUUGAAGGUAACAUGAUCAGCAGCAAAUAAAGGAAGCAUGCAAAAGGAGAAAUGACAGUCUCUUUGUAAGCUGAUGACAUGGAUAGCCACACCCACAUAGGUGAUGACACGCCUAGUUUGCUUGUCGAUAAUGGGAAGAGUGUGGAAAGCCCCCCCGAAUGAACCCCACACAAGACUAUUUAAAAAAGAAAAGACUGAAAGUGACUGUAAUUAGCUUUGUUGGAUCUGCAGUUAUCGCUACGACUGUGAGUCCCUAUUAUGACUUGGUUCAAUAUAUGAUCAACCCACCGACAUGGCAGUAGGCCACUUUGGUUUGAACAAAAAGGUGGGCUUCUUAGUUGGUUUGGUAUUGACAAUCCCUUAGUGGGUCAGAAAAAGCAAGGCCAGGGGGGAUUUGGCCUUCCAGAAAAAAAAUGUGGUUUUCUGAUUAGUGGGAAAUUAGGAGGAUUUGAAGCAGGAAAAAAAAAGUUGAAGAUGAGAAUGAGUUAGUGGAUCCACUGACUGAUGCAACACCAAAAAAAAAAAAGACUCCAAUAAUCAAAAGUAAUGCGCCAACAAAAAGUUGUCUUCUAGGUCCCAAUAUUUUAUGCAUAGGCUGAAAUAAUACCCCUCUGUUGCCUGUAAAAUUUCCACUCAGAUUCCCUCCCCAUGGAAAACUGAUAUGAAAAAGAUUAUGAUUGAGGAGUAGUUUACUGCUUUAGCCUCUUUCACUGAAACCAUUUUUCAAUCUUGUACAACUACAUGAGGCCUUCACGCGCCCUAUAUGUCAGCUAGUUUUACCCUAAGCUCCAGGAAUGCAGCAUAAAUGUGAGAUUCCAGCCUACCACCACACCUGCAGGCUAUUGGGCUACCAGGUAUGCACGUGUCCGUCAAAAAAUGUGGUGUAAGAUGGGCAAGGAUGAGAUAGUCAUUCUGUAGUAACGCGUGCAAAUUAAUAUACCAUGGCAACUUGGAAAGGAAAAAGAAAAAAAAAGGGUGAGAGGCUGUUAUGGAUAAUGGAGUAAUGAUGAAUCAGUUCUGGUACCGAUCACCACUUCUUCAAUCAUCAGCUAUUUAAAGGGUUGGGACAGAGACUAAAUUCUCUACCAGCUUUGUCAAGAGCCCAUUGGAUGUCCUAUAAACUAUCCAGCCUAUCAGUUCGUUGAAUCUGAUAGGCAUGGAUACUCCCGAUAUGGAAUCCAUCCAUAACUUGUACUCUUGAAAAAGUAUGGGAUCUGGGGGUGAGGGAUUCUAAAGCCCUCCCCCCAUAAUUCAACAGUUUGCUUGUGCGGGAUCAGCCACCAUCCACUCAGGUAUCAGCUACUAGCCGCAGCGCAUGAUCUCUCUAUCUCUCUAUCUGAGGUUUUGGCUGACGCCAAGCAAACCGGCAAGUCACAGAAAGGCAUGGACUCAGUUAGGGCUCGUUAUGGUUUUAAUUUAUUUUCCUUUUGCUUUUCUUUUUAAAUGUAAUGUUGUAGUCGUUGCAUGAGAGUAUAAUAAAAGUUUGGUGUUGGUUGCAUGAGUAUUUGGCUGGCAGGCAGGCUUGUGACCGCGAGGCUCCUAAGUAAUUGACUGCUGAUGAUGAGUUUCUGUAAUCCCAUUACAAAAUGAGAAGAUCAAUCUCUCUCUCUCUCUCUCUCUCUCUCUCUUCUCUGAGAUGUGAGCAGUGAACACCCAUAUGUCAUCCAUGACGAAAUUGUAGAUGGUGGGGUUUCUGUCAUCCUUAAGUCAUAUAUAAAUUAAAUAUAAAGGAAAAAAGUCCUUAACCUCGUUUAACGAGUGAGUGAUUUAGAGAUAGAGAAGAUCUGAAACCUUGAUACCCGGUGAAAUGGAGCUCUUCCAUUUUGUUAAUUAACCAUACCAUUGUAAGCAGGGAGUAAAGAACCAUUUUAAAGGGAAGAGUCACUGAAGAAAUUCAGUCAUCACCAGUAGUGGCUGGCUGUCUUCUCUGGUGGACAGCCUCAUUGCAGAUGCUGUGGAACACAAAACAGCUCUUUUCCAUUUUGCAUCCUCUCCUCCUACGCUAGUUCAAAAGGAACCUAGCUACAUUAUUAUAUCUGUUCAGGCAAUCCACAUUCCAUGCUUUUACCUUGUGAUAAGUUGCAUUCUAUGCUUUUAUUUUGUGAUGAGAGGAGACUCUGUCUUCCUCAGACUUCCAUCCAUAUCCUCUCCACAGUUGGUUUUCAAACAUAAUUAAUGUUAAAACUGUAAUCUAAACACCAUGAACCCAUGGUCUCCAACUUCGCUAUCCUUCAUGAUUUUUUGCGAGUAUUCCAUGGAUUGUUUUCGCAUGGGCAACUCCACCUAUUCCAGUAUAACAUAAUUUAAAAUGAAUGAGAAAUCUUGGCCGCGGACAUUGUUUUGAGAAAAACCAAAGAUUAUGCUUCAUCAGGUCAUCAUACACUGGGUAGGACAAAAUUAAAAAUGGCAAUAUCACCACAAAUCAUGAUUUCCAUUUAACUAGAAAGUAAAUGAACUUCAUUUUCCACUAUUGGUGGCUAAAAUGAGAAAUAUACAAACUGAUUUUGUGGACUCUAUAUCUCCUGCACUUGCACAAGCUCAAGUGCAAGAACCUCAACUUGUCACCAUCUGGAUCAAGAUACAACUUGCAAGCUAAUAUAAGGAAGGCUCAAAAUAUGCAUGAAAUAAAAGAAAUGAAGAAAAAGAAUAACAAAUUACAUAAUGUGCUUUGUAUAAAUCUCUUCAGCUUCCCCAGGAUCCUCUUCCGAUCUGUAGGAGAGAUGCAUAUAGUAACUCGUUCCAAGUAUCUGGUACUCCAGGCAAGCACCAAUGGCUGCAAUCCUGAGAGUGCACAGCUGCAAUCUCUUCUUCUACUGUCUUGUAUUCUUUUCUGUAAAUAGAAGGGUGCCCAUCUUUUCGAUAAUCUGUAAGCCUACUUACAUUUAGGUAUGUUACCGGUGUUCUCAUCAUCUGGAGCACAGGCUCUAGAGCUCUCAUUUUUGAAGGGUACUUUCGUAUGAAAGCCUCAUUAAAGAUUGGCUCCACUUCUUUGUGACACUGUCCUCCUGAGUUCCAUUGGCCUCCUCUGCAACCACAUCAAACAUGUAAGAAACCCUUUUUCCACAGCUAGUCACAUGGUACAGAUAUGAAUUUCUUUCCCUUUUUAACUGAGCCAUUUACAUAUCCAUAAUCCACAUAUCAUCCAUCAUAUUACAGGGCCUAUAAAAUCCAAAGAAUGAAGAACAAAUUUUUGGACAAGUUUUUAGCCUAUGGUUGUAAACCAGCAUUAAAUGGCUCAAAUUAUUACUUUACACUUCCUUCCCAGAUGUUACAGUCAGUGCUAAUCACUACAGUAUUUAAAACAGGUUUCACAACUCUGAUUUUCCACAAUAUAUGAGUUCCACGCAUUGUACUGAUCUAUAUCACUUGCUUUUGCAUUUGCUAAUAUAUUUGAAGUUUACAACUGUGGAUUUGGUAGAGUCAAAUGUAUAACUAAAAAAUUCCAAACAAAGUCAAAGCUAUUUGUAAAUAUUCUCUUGUAGUUAGAUUUGCAAGAAAAGGUCACGUGAAGAGGAGAGGGGUGGGGGUUAGGUUGGUUCAAAAUAGAAAAGCCAAGUCAGUAUUGGUUGAAAACACAGUUAAGAUUAUUAGCCUUAUUUGUUAGCUAACUUGAUAUAGAUCGUUGACCUAUUACCUAAUAACCUAAGCUUUUGGGUUAAAAUGAUAGCUUAAUAAAGUGUUAAAGCCUUGAUUUCUCUAUGUUUUGGGUUCAGACCUUCCCACUUGCUUAUUCCUUAAUUUUUCUGAACUAAUGUUCAGGAGGAGGCCACAGAUGAGGCUAGACAUUUUUAGGUUUAAGCCAACAGUAACAGCUUUAAGCAAGCCUCAGAGCUAUGAAUCUAAUUAAGCUACUGUAAGCUGAACUUGAGGCAUUUUAUUAAUUUUGCUUCAUGUGUCACCAAGGUGGCAACAUUUCCAUGAUUAUAUAAAAUGCUGAAAUACACACUCUUCUCUUAACAGCCAAUAACCAUAUCACCAAGGCAUAAAGUACACUUCAGAAUUCAGUUAUUUAAGAACAUAUCAAGAACAGAAAAGUAUACUUGACUAGACUACCAAAUCAUUCCAAAGAAAAAUAGAAUUCACAAUGCAAAACUCUCAUCAUAGCAUGCCUCGUGUAUUCCCUGUUGAAAUCCAUCAUUAAAUUUGUUUGUUGACUUGCUUCAUAAAUUUUACCAACAUUGUAUGCUUCUCAAUUAUCCCUCUCUCCUGAAUCUAGAGCUUUUACCACAAGCCCACACCAUUUCUACAAUCAGUACUAUAUGUAAAAAUUAUUCAAUAUUUUCUUUUCAUUAGCAAGCAAGCAUCUCAGAAAGACCAAAACCAGGUCUACCCAAUCUUAUAUUUUGUACGAGAAUAGGUGAUGUAAAGUUAAGUUCCAUGCUGAUCAUUUAGAAUCAUUAAGAUGAUAGGACACAGAAAUUGAAGCAAACAGCAAUAAUAACUUGAGAGUAGAGGGUUUUUCACAAGAGAGUCGAUUCAGAGUGUUCCUUACUUGAAAUGGGUGAUUGAAUAUCCUCUGAAGAAAACCUGAGUCAUGUUGCUAUUGAUGUUCUUGUCAACCCACCUUGCCCAAGUUGUAAGGGCCUUUGUGUAUGCUUUAAGGACCUUCAGUCUUGGGUGCACAUAGUUGCCCUCUUGGUAAUAGUAUUCUCUGUGAAAUUAGCAAAUGCAAACCAAGAACCUUAAUUUCUUGAAAGGAAUGCAACCUAAAAUCAGAUAUGAUGGACAGCAACAUAGAAUGCAAAAAUUCUAACAAAGGUCAUUGUGAAUCUAAUUCCUGUUCAGUUUAAAGUUGGUUUCAAUUCUCAUUUUUCCUCCAGAUUACAGAACUAACAACUCAUACAAGGUUUUAGGUUUAUUUCAUACCAGAAUGUAGGUUGUAGAGAAAAAAAGGAGAAAGGUAUUGCAGCAGAGUGAGGAAACUCACCCUCUAGAUGUUUUCUCAUGAGUCCACCAAUGGCCUGUAUUGAAGACUAUGAUAUCAGCAUCAUGAAAUGUCGUAGUUGAUUUGUCCAUCUCAUCCAGUCUUAGUGUCUCAAACGUUCUGUUUCUACCGUUAAAAGAUGAUUCUUGAACAAGAAAUGGAGCAUUGACAAAAUCCACAGAACAAUUAUAGUCCUACAAAUCCAGCAAAUACAAGGCCAAUUAGGUAUAUGAAAACAAGAGAAAGAUUAUGUAACAAUAGACAAAUUUAUACCAGAAACUUGCCUCAAAUCUGAAAGCAUAAAAUCCCUUCUUUUUGAAUUCCUUUCUUCCAGAAAUCUCAUAAACUCUUUUUUUGUCUUCGACACUAUGACGGAGAAUGCAUACCAUAGACUCCCACAUGUUCCUGUUUAGAGAAUCUCCCACAAAAAUGAGCUUCUUCCCUCUUAAUCUCUCCAGGAAAUCAGUUGCAUUUAGACUGAGGAUAGCAUUUGUCAUCAAAAGAGAACUAGUUAAAAAUUCUUGUAAAAUAACUAGAAAAUAUUCACAAUACGAAAACACAUAUAUCAAAAGAGACUGAACCUUACUGCUCUCCAAAUUGUUAACAUACUAUUCUACAACUAAUGAUUCAGAAUUUUAACAUUUCAAUAUUUUGGUCUCUAAACCCAUUAGUAAAGUUAAUUCAUAGGUUCGAAGAUUGAGGAAUGCAACAAACCAGUAGUGCCCUUCUCACAAUUUUCAUGACCUAAACAAUAUGCAACAAUCAAGGUUCUUCCCCAAUUCCUGCAUUCUAUUACAUAUUUUAGCUUCAUCACUUUUCAAUGACUUUGACGAUGAUAGUCAGUUAGGGGACACUAGAUUUUAACAUCACCUUGAAGACAAUUCCUAACUUUAUUUAACUCAAGUUUCCUAUUAACAAAUUCAAAUGAGCUUCACACUUCUACCAUUCUACAGAAACUUGGUCUCACUUUGUUCAAUGAUCAUUCUUUACAGAAAACAUAGGAAAUUUAUACUUAAUAUUCAUUAUUUAUCUAUUUUAAUAUUACUCUGAAUGCAUCUGAAAUAGAUCUCACCUCGGGAUGUCACACCCAUUCGGCUGCCAUCUCCAUUUCAAAUAAUCAUCAUCCGGCCUUCCAUUAAGGUGACAAUCGAAAUCCCUAUCGAUGUAAGGACAAGACCCAGCAGGAUAGUAUGGCUUUGAAUCAUCCCUUACCCAUCUACCAUCAAAUAUAUCACAACCCCCAUAAAAACUGUUUGGCAUUUUCUUAAGUUGUGAAUGGUAGUGAGUGGCUGUAAUUUUGUUAUUCGUGGUCGCUUUUCCUGCAUCAUUCCCCGCCGUCCCGCUUUCUUCUUCAGUGGGAGGUUUGGUAUAUUCCCCACUAUAUGACAAAUUCCCUACAUUGUUAUUUUCAGCGACAAAAAUUUUCCCAUCACUGGUAUUCCCUCCAAGACCGGUUUUCCCAAUGACAGUUCCUUCUUCACCAGGGGAACUUCCAUUAUUCACCAUCUCAGAGGAAUUCCCCAAAAUUGCCAUAUCUGAAGUCAUACCUUCCACAUUAGAAUUCGAAAGACUUGCCUUUGUGGCAGUGCCUGAGGCAUCUGCAUGCGUUGUUUCUGGAAUCCAUCCUCCAUCAACAGUAAAGCUCCCAUUUUUCACCAUCUCAGAGGUGUUCCCCAAGUGGGUCUUCUCCAAAACAAUGCCCAGAGGAUCUCCAUCUUUAUCCAUCCCUGAUAGACUUGCUUGAGGGGUGCUGUCCACAACCCUUCCAUCCUCAGUUCCCUGCUUAAAAUCCGCAGAGUCGUGGAAAUCUAAAGUAGCAUUAGUGGGACUAGCAGUAGAAGAAGAAGUACUUGAAAACGAAAAGGACCAUGAAGCAAGAGAGGAAUUACUAGCACCAAAAUUGCUGAACCCUCGAAACAUUGGAACAUUGAAAGAGGUGUUGAACGAUACAAUAGUUAGAACAAUGAGUGAAGCUCCUAAGCCCAAAGCAAAACCAGAAACUACUUUCCUUUUCGGUGAUAGAAUCUGCUCCGAAAACCCAAGCUUUUUCCAUUCCAUUGGUGGACAAUCGCAUACCCCUUCAGAGGCAAGGUUUGAAAGUAAAGGCAGUGGGAUGACAGCAACAAUAUUUGAAAGAACGUGGACAGCCUAGGGCGAUUGCGAGACGGAGACGGAAACGGAGAAAUGACCUUUUUUCCCUAGAAGGCUUAUAGCAAGAGGGUACUGGAAACCGUAACCUGGUCUGAUUACAAGGAUGCCGUCUAUUGAUAAUUACUUCAAGCCCAAAAAUACCCAUUUUGGUUUUAUCUAAUUCAAACUCAUAAUCACCACAUUCUAACGCCACUCUGGAUUUGGAUGUUGAACAGUCCUUUGGACGCUGGAUGCUUUCAAAAGGGUGAAAUACUAAAAUAAAAAAUAUAUUAAUUUAUUUUUGUUACUUAAUCCAAAUUCCCACCCUGAUCGUAAUCUUCUUCCUCAAACAUCCUUAGCUGUUUUGGAAAAAUAAAUAAAUAAAUAGAUAAAUAAAGAGAAAAUAGAAAGAGAGAUUAUGGCCAAUCAUCGACUCUCAAGGAGGAUUGUUUACUUAAAUUAACAAUUGUUCUUUAACGAGAAGCCACCUCCUUAACUAGAUGUCCAACUUUAAAUUAUAAGUUCAUAUCCAAUAGUUUCCAAAUAUCAGAAUUGAAGUCAUAUAUAAGUUUGGACUCCAACAAAGUGAAAAGGAAGCUAAUGAGCGUGAUUAAUGGGGGCCAGUUCCAAGGGCAAUCUCCCAUUAUUAUUAUAUGGAGAAGAAUUGGCAGCCCCGCCGACACAUAUACUGGGCCAUGUGGCCUUCUCACGACCUCAAAAGCCCACCGAGUGGGAAUAAUUGAUGUAAGGUCGUCUUAGAAGGAUAUCAGAUAAUGAUAGACAAAACAAUCCCUUCAACUUAUUUUUAUUUCUAUUCUACCACUCUUCACAUACCAACACCAAUAAACUCAUCUUUAUUUACCCAUUUUUGGAUUUUUCAUUGUUUUUCAAAACUCUUUUAUAAAUAAUUGAAAAAUCAACAUUAUUUUUUAUUUUUAAAUUAUAAAUAAAUAAAAAUUAUAUUAAUGAUUCAAAAACUAUUUUAGAAAAUAAUUCCUAAAAAAAUGUUAAUUUAAAUAAAUAAAAAUUAUCUUUUAUAUCUUAGAAAUAAAUAAUUUAAUGAUUAAAACACUAUUAAAAUAAAUAUAUUCAGUAUUUUUUUUCAUUUUAUACUAAAAAUUAUUUCAAAGCUUAUUAUUUUUUUAAUAUUAUAAAAUAAAAAGUUUCAAUUUUCUCUUAAUCUUCUUCUUUUCUUAUUUCAAUAACUUUUUGAACAUAACUUUGGUAAUAAGUUAUAUGAAAUGUUAUAAAUUUAUUUAUUAAUGAUUUUUUUAACUUAUUUGAAUCAAUUGAAAAUUUAUCAAAAUAAAAAAAGAAAAAGAAAGAAAGAGGAUGAAUAGAGAGUUUUUAUUUUAAAUAUUCAAUUAAAAUAUUUUUCGUAUUACCUAUUAUAUCAAUAUAUGGUAUACUAAAUAUUGAAAUUUUCUUAUACAAAAAGGUUGAACUCGUUUUAGAUAAAAACAAGUAAUUAAAAAUUAUAUAGAUUAUAUUUGAAUUUAAUUUUAAAACAUUUUUCUAGUUUUUAUCUUUUUUAUUUUUAAAAAUCAUUUUUAUUUUCUAUAUUGUCUCUUUUUGAAAAUACGUGUAAUUAAAAAAUGAAAACUAUUUUUAAAAAUGAAAAUUGAAAACUUUGUUGAGUACUAGUUUUUUUAUAUCAAAAUGAUAAAAAGAAUUAAAUUUCAUUUACUAAUUAUUCUUUUUCAUUUUUUCUAUUAGUUAUUUUAAUAAUAAAAUAAAGAAAAUAUAAUAUGUUCACAAUUAAACAAAAAAAUUGACUAAUUGUGUAUUUUUUUAUAAAAUAUAAUAUAUUUACCAAAAAAAGUCGAAUUUAAGUUUUUUGUUAUUUUCUCAACCAAACUACUGAAAUAGUGUUUAAUGUACUUAUAGGUAUGCAUUCAUUGCAGGGAUAUGGAAUUUGUGCAACUAUACAAGGAAUGGUAUUCACUAACUAUACAAAGGGCAUACAAGACUACUCUUUGUGAAAUAUUUUAAUCGAUUUUAAACCACUCCUUCAUUUUUCUUGUCACUCAUAUUAUACACCCAUGUCAUACACUUUAUUUAACUCCCACAUGGAAAUUCUAAUACUUUCCCUAAUAAUGAUGUUUGGGAAAAAAAAAAAUUGACCCUAAGUCAUUCAUCAUUUUUUUAACCAAAUCAUUGAAAACAUGAUUAAUAUACACCUUCAUGGACACACAACUUAGAAAAGAUAUGAAAUCUGUACCUCUGUACAAUUGUAUUACACUAAUUGUACAAUGAAAAUGUACAAGAGCGUACAAAGCUACCAUUUGUGAAAUAUUUUAAUCAAUUUUGAACCACUCUUUUAUAUUUUCCUUAUUACUCAUGGAUUGUACACUCAUGACAUACACUUUAUUUUACUUUCACAUGAAAAUUUCAAUACUUUUCUCAGUAAUGAUGUUUAGGGAAAAAAAUUUGAUCCUAAGUCAUCUAACAUUUUUUCAACCAAACCAUUAAAAACAUGAUUAAUACACCUACGUGGACACAUAACUUAAUAGAGAUAUGAAAUUUAUGUCAUUGUACAAGGAUAGUACACUAACUAUAUAAGAGAAAUAUACUAAGUGUAUAAGGGUGUACAAAGUUAUCAUUUGUGAAAAAUUUUAAUCAAUUUUAAAUCACUCCUUUAUUUUCCUUGUCACCCAAAAAUUGUACACCCAUGUCAUGCAUUUUACUUUAACUCUCACAUGGAAAUUACAAUGUUUUCUCUAACAAUGAUGUUUGGGGAAAAAAAUUUAACUCUAAGUCAUCCAUCAUUUUCUUAACCAACCCAUUGAAGACAUAAUCAAUACACUUGUAUGGACACAUAACUUAAGAGAGAUAUGAAAUUUGCACCACUGUAGAAGGAAAUCACAUUAAUUGUACAAGGAAAAUGUAUAAAGUGUACAAGGGUGUACAAAGUUCCUAAUAGGUUUUAUACAAUUUUUAAACAACUUGGAGUUUGACAUUAGGACGAUAAUUGAUAGUUUUUUUUUUUUAAUCAAACUAUGUCAUUAAGACCUUCCCUACCAAAAUUAACAUAUGGGAAAUAAAAUUAAAAUUAAUCAUAUUUGAAUUAUUCAUUAUAAGUAAACUAAAUGAAAUAUAUAUUUUUACUAUUUUACCCUUAUAAACAUAAUUUCACUGUUAUAAGUAGAGAUUAAAAAAUCAUAUUUAAAUGGAAUUAAAAAUAAAUAAAAAUUAUUUUUGUAACUUUUUUAUUUUUUAAAAUCAUUAAUUUAAAUUAUGAAAUUAGUUUUAAAAUUAAAAAUAUUUGUUGUAAUUAUAGUUUUGAAGAUUUCAUGAUUUUUAUCUUAUUACUUUAAAAAAAAUUGUUUUAAUAAAAAAAUAUUUACUUUAAUGGUUUUAAAUAUUUAAAUCUUUAUUUUAAAAUAUUUAGGAUUAGUGUGAGAAACAAUUUGGUAAUUUUGGAAGGGAGAAAUUUUGAAUAUCUUGAAGUGCAUGUGAGUGUUUAUAUUAUUUAAAAUAAUAUGAUAAAUAAUAAACACUAUGUGUCUAAUUUACAAGUUAAAAUAAUAAUAAUAAUAAUAAUAAUAAUAUUUUAGGAGGCAUUUAAAAAUUGUUUAAUAUAAAAGACAAAUAAUGUACGAAAUAUUUAUUAUAUAUUCUAUAAGUUUGAAAAAAAAUUUUGAUGAUGUCUAAUUUGCAAGUUAGAACAAACAAAGAAAACUAAUAUUUUAUGAGGUGUUUAAUAUAUAUGAGAAAUAAUGUAAGUUUGAAAUAAACAAUAAUAUUUAUUUUAUAUUAUAUAACUUUUCAAGGUAUUUAAAAAAAUUUAUUAUAUAUUAUGUAAAUUUAAAAAAAAAAUGAAUAAUAUUUGAUGAGGUAUUUAAAAGUUAUUUACAUAAAAAAUGUAUUUGGUAAUAAUAAUUUUUAAUCAUUUAUUUCUCAUGUUAAAUUUGUUAAAGAAAAAUGAUUGGAAAAUCAUAUAACUUAGUCUCACUAAUAAAUAGAUGAGAGAAGGUGAAAGAAAGAAUGAGAAAGAUAUGUGAUCGGUUACCUUUUCUAUUUAAUAGGCAAUGAUAUUUUAGGGAAUUUUUAAACACAAUAUCCUUCCUUUCAAUUUCUACGACUUUGAAUUUAAAUAUGGGCAAUAAAAUGACCUUGGGCUAAUUAUCAGCCCAACUAACCCAAAACACAAUUCUCCCUUUUUUAGAUUAGCUUCUCCAUUUCACCAGGGAAGUCGUAUUGAGCAAGACGGUUAGGAGUAGGGAGUCGUAACCGCGAUCCCAGAUAAAACAACGCUUUCUUUGGUACGGGCUGCACACAUUUAUGGCCGAUAGGACGGAUCUGUGGGAACCUAUCAAUGGAAACGAUGAAUUGUUGAUCGAGAAAUGCAGUAGAUCCAUCGUCCAUGCCUUGGGCGGCCACCAAUUGGCCCCAUGCGCCUUUCCCCAGAGACUGUAGCGAUCGAUAGUUGGGUCAUUUUAUUUCUAGGUAAAGAAAGGAGUGGGGAGGGGGGAGGGAGCCUUACCCCAUUAUUAGUCCAUGCGACUCCUUGAUUGGGGCAUCAAAAAAAUAUGUGCAGAAUAAAUGUUCGCAAAUCCCUGAGCACAAGAAACGAGUGUGGAAGAAAAGAGAAAGAACCAUUUACACAACAAAGAUACUUAAAAGAUCAUAUCCCCAUUUUGCAUAUGAUGAGAUGGAGAGUUACAUAUAAUAUUUCCAUUACCACAAAACAGGAUUAAGGUUUGUGGGGAUGUGGUUGAGCACUUGAGCUUUGUUGAAGGUAUUAGUGUCCAUGAGGUCGUGCUGAGCUGAGUCGGUCCUAUUCCCACACUUGGACGAGUUGCAUCAAAUCUUCUGGCAGUUCCCAUCUGCUACAUUAUGAUCAAUGGGAUGUUUUGAUUUGUGGGAGAGUUAAUUAGGUAGAUAUUUUCAGAGAUAGAAAAAUUUUGGAAGAUUUACAAUCAACCCAAUCAAUCUUCCAACAAAGAACCAGAUGCUUAUACAUAUGACUUUCCUUUUCUUUACAGUUGAAUACAUGCAACUCAACAGCUAUCAACACCAAUCACAUAUAUCUCACUUGAAGCUCUCUCCAACUACUUACCAAUGUAAAAAGGGGAGUAGGGAUUUGGGGGAGACACGAGAAAAAUGGAUGUCACCUGGGACCUGAAAGCUCCAUUGCUUCAAUCACCAGGGAGGAUUCUUCUAUGUAAUCUGAAUAUCUUUGGGGAGGAUUUUCACAUGACCUGAACCUUGGAGUCUCAACCUUCUGCGAGGCCUCCCAUUUCUCUGCUAAACCAUCACCUUCCAACAUCCUCAAUAUUUCCGACAUUUUUGGGCGGUGAGAAGGAUUAAAUUGAGUGCAUAAAAGGGCAACUUUAACCAUUUCUUCUAAUUCAACCCUGUCAAAAUUGUUCUUUAAAUCUUUAUCCACCAUCAGGUUGAGCUUUCCCUCUUGAUGGAGCUUCUUUACCUGCACACAAGUCCAACUAUUAUUUAAGAUGAUUUAUUGAUCACAGGAAUGAAAGAAAAUAUAUCUAUACAGCCUUGUAGAGAAGAAUGGUUAGCAUUUAUGUAAAUCAAGGAAAAUGGAUUUUCUCUAUGGAGGGAACUGUAAGAUCUCAUACACCAAAAGACACUGGUUUGGCUCAUUCCAGCAUUCAUCAUAGCAUAAAAAAUUGCUAGUCAUCACAUAAAACAGGCAGAGAGAGUGAGAGAGAGAGAGAGAGAGAGAUUACCCAAUCAAGCAUUACUCCUUUCUGGUUUGCCGCCCGUCCAAAAUCCAAAGCCUUCUGACCUGUGAUUAGUUCAAGGAGCAAGAUUCCAAACCCAAACACAUCUGUCUUUUCUGAUGACUGACCUGUUGACAAGUAUUCAGGAGCAAUGUGGCCAACAGUGCCCCGCACUGCUGUGGUCACAUGUGACUCUCUAUGAUCCAACAGUUUUGCCAACCCGAAAUCUCCAACAACUGCUUCAAAGUCUUCAUCCAGCAAAAUGUUGGCUGCCUUGACAUCACGGUGGAUAAUUUUGGGGUCACACUGCUCAUGCAAAUAAAGUAGCCCCCUUGCUGUGCCUAAAGCUAUCCUCUUUCGCCUUGACCAGUCUAACGCUGGCCUGCCAUGGAUUUGAUCUGAGAUGAAAACCCACAAUUGAUGAAGUUAGUCCACCACCUUGCACAGAUGCCAGAUCCUGGCAAAAUCUAUUACCUAAGAAAAGAGUUAGAAACACUAUUGAAAAAUUGGAAGAUCAAAUAUAAUUUUCCAUGAAAUAAUUUCUUCAAUAGCUUAGAGCUUGGAAUAUGUCAAUUUGCUGGCUUAAUAAGCAUCAACCUGGCUUAAAACCAGUAUCAAAUGAUGGAAGGAAUGAGAAAAAGUAGUUGACAUAACAAGACAACACUGGGGGAAUACACCAAUAGUUCAAGCAAUAAGCUUAGAACAUGUUUGGGAAUUCAAGGAAGAAUAAUUUCUAUCGAACUUCAACCAUAAGCUUCUGCUUGCAGUAGACACUUUUACAAGGCUGCAGUGAAUGCAUGGGAAUGGAAUUGGUGCAAAAUUAAAUACAAUGAAAUUUGGAUAUCAUUGAAUAAAAUCUCACAAAAUUUGAAAAUUUAUUGUUCAAUGAAUGUACUGAAUAUUAAAUGGUGGUGUAACUGGCAUGGUGGUGAGGUGUGGGUGAUUGCUGUUCCAGGGAAGCCCACGGGGCCAGUGGUUGUGCAUAAUAAGGGGGUCAUAGCAGGUGUGGCAGCAUCACAGGAGGUUAAUGCUAUCAUUCUAUAGAGGUUCCAGAGGCAGAACCAGGGUGUAACCUUAUGGAUGUGGUAGUGAUCUUGUUAAGGUACCAAUGGUGACACAGGCGUUCUCAAUCAGAAAAGUACUGGAAGUGGUAAAGGUGGGUUUGAUCGUGAUAGCAGAGGUGGCCAGAGCAGCAGUGGUGAAGGAAACAGAGUUAGCAAUGAUCUGCUAAAUUAGAUUGUGUGACAACUGCACUAGUAAUAUCAACUAUCAAAAUGGUGUAGAAAUUCAAAGUGAAUUUUCUAAUUAAUCCAACUUCAGGAACCACAAAAAUAAAAUAAAAAAAAAUAAAAUAAAAAAAUAAAAUAAAAAUCUGUCCUGUGACACGAUCUUCCUUUCUUCAAUUCCAGAUAAAAGUUAUAUAAUUCCAAAUUAUCCCUUUCUAUGGACCCAAAAAGAGAGGGAAAACAAGGAAUAUUUGGAUGGGUUCAAUUCUAUUUUCAUUUUCACCUCUGAAUUCUCAUUCAAAUACAUUUUUUGUCCUAGCUCAAUUAUUUGUUGAUGACAAUUGCUUUAUUGUAGUUAUUUUCUACUGGCAUAAAUCAGGAAUUUCCAGGAAAAAAAAGAAGAGUUUAAGAAGUCCUUUUUUUUUUGGCAAUUUACAUACACAUUUUAAGUUUGCAAGAUCAGCAUUCAGCACUCACAUAAAUUUAAAAUGUUUCGUUAUAAAUCCUUUUACUGAGUACAAUAACAUUUAAAAUAUUUUGUUAUAAAUCGUUUUACUGGGUAUGAAAACCUGGAAUCUGUACUUCUCCAGAGCUGCCACUGAAACCAGCAAGAUUCUUCAGCAUCAAGACUGGAUAUGUCACCAAAUUCACAGAAAGAGUAUAACAGGACUUUGACCAAAAUAAACUAACCACUAACUACUAAAGGAUAGUCAGCUAACCUCUUAAUCGAGAUGCUACACUCCCAUUAGGCAUAUAGGGGUAAACAAGGAGCCGCUCGCUCUCUGUUGUACAGAAUCCACAAAGCCGGAGAAGAUUCCGAUGGACAGCCAAACUUAUCAUCUCAACUUCUGUUUGAAAUUGGAUUUCACCACCUACGGCAUUAUAGUCUUUCAGCCUUUUAACAGCCACCAGAGUUCUAUCAUUUAAGCAACCCUUGUAUACAAUUCCAAAUCCACCCCUUCCUAAAAUAUUCUUUGGGUUGAAAUGAUCUGUUGCAGCCCUAAGUUCCUUAAAUGUAUACCUCCUCAGAUGGCCCAAGCGUACCUCUGGGUCAUAUUGAUCUGCCAUGGAACAUGUCAUGGUUAAAGCAUGCAUAAGCACAAAAAUGGGUACAGAUGGAGAUAGCAUUACUUACAUACACAAUAAGAUUAACCACAACUUAUGUGGAUGAGUAUGUUUGUGUACAGAGGAAAAAAAAAAAGGAAACAAAUAUCCAUACUUGAAGAUGCAUAAAAGGCCUAUUUGGGAGUGAUUCUUAUGAAAGCACUUUUACCUUAUAGCACUUCUAUCAGUAACACUUUUACUAGAAAAACUUUUAUGGAGAAUUGGUUAAUGUUUGGAUAUAAAAUGAAAAGGUAUUUUGUAAGUGUCUUUGGUAAAAUAUUAUACAUAAAAAAUAAAAAAUAAAGGUGGUGUUUGGAUGUAUUUGCUAUUUUAUGUUUUUAAAAGUAGAAAGUCUUGUACAAAAUGUAGGAAUUCUUAUACUAAAAGUAGUAUAUACCUUGUGUACUUGAAAAUACUUUUAAAAUUUUAAAAAUUCAAGUAAAAAAUUCAGUUCUUCAAAUUUUUAAAAACAUUUUUGAGAAUACAAGGUAAUUUUUUUGCGUUUUGUAUAGGAAUUUUUAUAUUUUGUAUAGAAGUUUCUAUUUUUAAGAAUAAAAACUAGGAAGUUUACCUGAACACCGCCAAAGCGAUUUUUUGGAAGAAGGACCUCCCAAGUGCUAGUCCAAAAAUCAUUUCAAAUGAUUCUCUGGGAAUUAAAAGUGAUUUUUAAAAAAUCUUUGCCAAAUGCCCUUUUUUUUAACACAACCACACUACCAAGCAUUGAGAAGCACUUCUAACACUUCAAUAAUCACUCCAAACAGACUGUAAACAACAAACUAGAUAAGGAUUACCAAAUUAUAUAAUGGUUUCAAAAGCAUGAUGAUUUAAAAAAUGUUUGAAACACAAGAAAUGAAGUAAUGUUGGGAAAACAUGCAAAAACACAGAAAGAAAUUCAGAAGGGGCAUCUAUGUUGAAAAUUUUCAAGUGCUUCAUUUGUACCUUCAUUUUUUUAAAAAAAACUCUGACUGAAACUUUUAACUUAAAACAUUUUCCAACAAAACAGGUGUGCAUGCACACACAUACAGGCCUGCUCAUGGCAAAUGAUAUUGCAAACCAUUAAACAUCAGUCUCCAAUAAAGGGGACACUAACUGUAGUAUUGCACCAGGACCUACUUGUUUGGUCCUUAACGUAUGUCAGUCAUAAGAUGUUAGAUUAUCUUCAUUUGCUGAUACAGAACAAUAAGAAAGGAAAUGCAAAAGAAAUUUGAAGAACUAACCAUUAACAUCAAAGAAAAUUUGUUGGUUCCUCCUAUAUCGCCACCAAACUGACAGCCCAACAAUAAUUAUGAUUAAAAGAGCAGCACCAAAACUUGCACCAAACGCAAUAGCCACACGGUGGCUCUUAGAUCCAGAAUCUGAAUGAGCUAGCAAACCAAAGAUCCCAGAAAUGUGGAACGUGUCAUCCAAUUAUUAAGGAAAAUAAAAGGCUAACUGAUGAAAAAGCAACAUCUAUAACCUGUGAUAGCUACCUCUUAGAGCAUCUGGAGGAAAAGAAAGUGGCUCUGGAGAGAUUGCAGAACAGUUGUUUGUGGCAUUGGCACCACAAAGUGAAGGGUUACCAAUAAUUCUGUUAAUGAAAAGAGGCAAAAGGCUAGCUUCAAUGAUCAUAGAUAGCAACUCAUAAUGGAACUAAGCAGCAUAAAAAAAGAGAGUGUAUAGCUCACUUGAAGGUUCUUGCAGAUAUUUUUGGCAUGGAACCACUCAGAUUAUUAAAAGAAAGGUCACUGCAAGCAAAUUUAACUUGUUGAAUGGAUGUGUAUGGAAUUAAUUAUAAACUAGCUCUGUUCUUUUUCAUAUAACAUGCAAAUAAAACAGUGUACCAAAUGGCGCAAAGUUCUGAAGACAUACACGAGGGAGAGGCCUUCAACCUGGGAAAGAGACUCAGGGCAUGGUCCAGUAAGGCUGUUGUUGUUUAGUCGCCUGACUUGCUCAAGAGAAAACAAUGCAAAACACGUAAGAUUGGUACAAACCCAAAAAAUAGACAUGUUCUGCAUUUGUCUAAUGGCAGUUUAAGAUCAGUGAAAUACCAAAGACAUCAGAAAGUUUCUGAAACUUACAAAUAAUUCAGUUUCUUAAGUCCCCCCAAAGAACUGGGUAUUCCACCAUCAAAUUUAUUGUGGGAGAGAUCAAGUGUCUCAAGCUUUUCCAACUUCCCAAUUGAAUCAGGAAUAGGACCAGAAAUGGCAUUAUUCUGCAGCAACCUACACACAUGCAUGAUUAUCAAUUUUGAUAUUAUUGUACUGUUUAUUUCACAAUCAAAAGUCUGAGAACUCAAAACCAUCCCUGCCGCAAACAAUAUUUGAAAUUAAAGCCAAUAACAUGCAAAACUUAACCCAGCUGCAGGAGAAAAAAAAAAAAAACACUGCUUAAGCCUCAAUAAUCAUUAAAAAAGAAAAAGGUGGUAGUGACCUACACAGAUUGCAAGUUGGUGAGGUUCCCAAUCCAUGGAGAUAAGGUUCCAGACAAACUUUGACUGGGCAGCCCCCUGAUUGGAAAAUUAAUUCUCAACUAAGAAUUGAGUUCAAAUCUAGAAAUUGAAUAAUAUUUCUAUUCAUUUUCUGUUCAUAUUCCUCUAUCAAUGAUCUUGUUUGAAGAAGUAAGAGAUAGACUGAUUAGAACAUCUUACAGAGCAGAAACAUAGCCGUCGGAAGAGCAAGUAACCAUCCUCCAGCUACAAGGAUCCACUGAAUUAAUAUCCCAGUUCUCCAAAACAUUAUAUGGGUCAUUCAGAUUAUUUUUUAUAGUCAUCAAAGCUACAACUGCAUCAGAUUCAAAAAAAAAAGUGAGAAAGAAAAUCAGAACCCAGGUUUUGAAGCCAUGACUGUAUUAUACUGAUAAAACCAAAAAAUGAGAUAUGAAACCCAAAAUUUUAAUAAUGCUAAAUUGUGGUUUGCUUGAAUAUUCUUGCGGACCAUCAAAACAUUAACCAGAGGAGAAAAAGAAUCCCCAACUUCCUACAAAGGGGGAAAAGGUUUGUCCAUAACCAUUUCGUGAUAAGAAAUGAACUUUAUUCUUCAAAGGGGAAAAAAAACUCAAUUAAUAAUCUCAGAUUUUACAAUUCUAAUGAACAACAUUGUUUUCUUUCGCACAAUAUGAAGAUAAUUCAAAAAAUAAAGAAAUAAAAAAGGAAAAACUAAACCAAGAGAAACAAACCUUCAUAGUUGAUACCAGAAGGAGAAAGAGUAGCAGAAGAACCCUCCAUCAAUGUCAAAAGCAGUAAUCCGACUCCCCACAACACAUAGCCCCUGCUUUCCAUAUUCUUUCUUCAGCUCGGUAACUCUUAACUUCUUUCCACAAUCAGGACCGACUUCUCAAAUCCACCAUAACCAACAAACACCCACAUAAAAUUUCUCUAUAUCACCUUACAGGAAAAUCUUUUGCUUCAAGAAAAAAAAAAAAAAAAAAAGGCUCUCACAGUCACAACCUCAUAAAGCAAAGCCACCAUUAACACAACGGCAACUCUUCCUUCCAGCUCUUCCCUUGUGACAUACUCGAUUAGUUCCUAGUAGAACUUCAUGAAAACAAAUACCCAGACUAUACAGUCACUCUCUUAUCAAUUCCCAGCUCCCAAACAAUGGCCUAAGUAAAAGAAAACGGAUAUACGAAUCAAACUAAGUGGAAUGAGCACCAUUUGGACUGAGAAAUUCAACAAGAAGAGGAGAAUUUUCUCGAGAAACAAACACCCAUCAAGCCUGAAAUUCUGAGAUCCUAGAGAUCUGAGAAUAGCGGGUUCGAUUCCUAUACAUUUUAUCCGAUCCCCACAAAUUCCAUGUAGGCUUGCUGUUGGUUUUUAGCCCUGCCUUCUUCGUCCCCAGUGAUUCCACCACCAUAUCUUCUUUCAGCAGAGAGAAAAAGAAAACAAGAAAAUAACAGAAAAAUCACAUCUCACAGAAACAACCAAACACACAAGGGCCAAAAUAAAAGGCCAAAGUGGUCACAGAUAAAGAUGCACACACCCAGUAAAAAGAUUUUGAAAAAAAAUAAUAGAAAAUUUAUUUUGAUGAAUUUAAUUUAAUUUUCACUCAGUGAUUGGACUGAAUAGAUGUAUGGGAUUGAUCAGAGGGAACAAUGGCAUGUCCAAGCCAAAAGAAAAGUUUGCAGGUAAGUUUUCGGCAGGUCACGUGCUUUGGCUGUCUUGGCCUUUGUUGGCUUCUGCCUUCAACAAAUGUUUUUAAAAAGCAUUUUUUUAAAACAAAAAAAAAAAAAGGUGUUUUUGCAGGCGAUGGCCCACACUUUGCUAAAAUGCACCGCAUAUUUUAAAGGUUUGUAUUAAACAAACCCAGUAACCACACUAGAGCAUUGGGCUCCAUUCACCAAAAGUUCUUCCCUGCAGCUUUGCAUCAUUGUUCUGUUGAAUCCCAACUAUUUUUCCUCACUCCUUUUCAGAUAUUAAUUCUCUUUUUGCAUGUUUCAUCAUUAGCUUCUGCAGCAUGAAAAAAGAUUUGGGUCAUCAACCAAAAAGCUUGUUUUCUUUGGAUAUUUCACUCACUGCAUCCCUCUUUUUAAUUACCCCUUUACCCACACACUACUCCCUCUUAAACAUCUCCAUCACAAUUUGUUUUUUCCCUCUCUAAAAACCAAUAAAAUUUUAUUACCAGAAUCUUCUGAAAAUGCAUUUCACCUUGUUAAAAACAGACUGAAGAAAAUAUUUUUGUAGAAAAAAAAAAAAAAAGACUAAUUAAUUGCCACUUGUUUAACUGAUAUAAUGAGGCCACUGGUCCUACUGUAGGGUGUUUGGACAGUCAGUUUUCAUCUACAGUGCGCAGUGGGGAAAGAUGUACUCUGGAAUGUUUUGCUACAAUGCACGGGGAUGGCGCAGUACACACGCUCAUCGAUCAUUUAUAAUUUUAUUCCAUGUUUUAUGAUGAUCGGGAUUAAUCCAACAGCUUGUAUGCAGCGCCACCACUGAUUGAAUUUACCAGAAUAGCCCUGAUGGGCGGGGAAGGAUGAGGAUGAGCGUGUGGGAUUUUGGCACUCCGAUGCCCAACGCUAAAAUGCGCCGCGGUGGUGGCGCUGCCAACGUUUUGUUCCUUUGUUAUUCUUUGUUGGAUACCGUGAGGAAGGAAUCUCUAAAAUGCACCCACCGGGAGACAUGCCUGGUCCACGUGGCUACGUCCACGUCGACAGUGACCAAUUACAUUCCCCUUAAUUCUGCUGCUUAAUUUACAUAACAAUCAACAAUCAUACCCUUCCCACAUCAACGUAUUCGACUUUACAUGCUAAUAUUAUUUUUAAAAUUUAAAUUUUACCUUUAAAUUAAAAAAAUAAAGGAUGUUAACUUUUAUUCAAAAUGGGAAAUUUAAAUAAUAUUUUUACAUUAAUUUUUAUUUAAUUUUCAAAUAAAGAAAAAAAAAAGAGGAGUAAAUAGUUGGGGGAGGGAGGGGCAUAAUUGAGAAAUGGAUGUAAGCUUAAUUAUUAAUUCGGUAGCAUCUAGAUUUGAAUCAAGAUUAAUAAUGAAGGUGCCUUAAUGUGCUCAAAUGCAGAACCCCAAGCCCAAGGGUAUUUUUGUCGCUUUGGGAAAACUAAAUAUGCUCUACUUUAUAGUUUCUGUUUUAUAUUUAUUAUUAUAUUUUCAUGCGCAGUCCUUUAUAUAUUUAUCCCCAAAAUUCCCAUUGAUAUGCUCGGGAAUCGGAAACCCAAACCCAGGGGUAUUUUGGUCGCUUUGGGAAUUACCUUUACCCUCCUAAAAAUACCAUCAUUCGGUAUUUUAAAAAUAUUAGACCAACCCCUUGUUGGAUAUUACCUGGUUAACAAAUAUAAAACAUAAAAAUAAAUUAUAAAUUUUAUUUAUUUAUAAAUUAUGUUUAUUUUAAUAUAAUUAAAAAGUUUAUUUAAUUUUUUACUUUGGUUUCCAUAUUUAAGAAAAAAAAUAGUAUGAAAAUAAAAAAAUAUUUAAAAAAUGGUUUUCUUAUAUUUGAUUUUCAUAAUAAAAAAAAUCAAAUAUAAUAAUAAUUAAUUAAAAUUUUAUGUAUUUUUAAAUUAUUUAAUUUUUAUAUAAUUAAGAAGGGAGAAUUAUCUUUUGGGGGUAGAUGGGCCUCCAAAUUAACAAAAGGUCCAUAUAACUCUUCAAAUUGAGUUGAAUGAUAUGAAAUAGUAACGGACAAAUAUACCCUUUAAGAACACAUAUAAAAUAUUUUAUAAAAUUAAGUUAAAUAAUUUUUUUUUCAAAAAUACUAAAUUAAAUAAAAGUAGUUUUCAAAAAUAUUAAAUUAAAUUAAUGUAUUUAAAAAAAUAUUAAAUUAAAUGUUUUUUUUAAAUAUUAAAUUAAAUAAAUUUAUUUUAAAAAAAUAUUAAAUUAAAUAAAUUUAUUUUAAAAAAUAUUAAAUUACAUAAAAGUAUUUUUUUAAAAUAUUAAAUUAACUAAAAGUAUUUUUCAAAAAUAUUAAUUUUUUUCUCAAAAUCAACAAAUGACAUUUUUGGAAAUACUGAAGGAUGAUAUCCUUCAACUCAAUUUCCAUACUUUCAUUGGGUCUUGGGCUCAAUUUGAAGAGUUAUAUGGACCUUUUGUUAAUUUGAGGUCCAUCUACCCCCAAAACAUAAUUCUCCCAAUUAAGAAAAAUAAGUGACAUGAGUUUGAAAAAAUAUAUAAAAAUAAUUUAUUACAUUUAAAUUUAUUUUUUAUUUUUCUUUAUUUUGUUUUCUUUCAAAUUUUCAAAAAUCAAACAUAACCUAAAUAUUUUAAGAAAAAAUUAUCAUCUUAUGCAAUUAAGGAAGCGAGAUUAUGAAUUUAACCCAUAUUUAUUUAUGGACAUUUGAAUGUAAAAUGAAGAACUGCUUUAGUCAUUCCGCUAUGUACUUUCAUAGAUUAAAUACUAAUAUUUAAAUUGAAUUAAUUAUAUAAUUAUAUCUAGAUAAAUUAAAUAAUGAAUUAUGUAUAUGAUUGAAUUGAAUUUAUAGUAAACAUAAACUAAUGUAAUUAGAAUUAAAUAUACCAUUGAAAUUGAACUAUCUAUAUAAUUGAAUAUACAUUGACUACAAAUUAAUUUAAAUAUGAAACUAACAUUAAAAAUGUUCAAAUUAUUUAAAUUAUUUAAAUUGAAAUGAAUGAACAAUUUAAAUUGAAUUACAAUUACAUUAGUAAUUUAAUAACAUACUUGAAGUAAUUAUCGGGACUUGAUUUGUAGUUAGUACGCUACUUCAACAAAAUUGUUAAAAAUUGGUCAAUUUAUUACUAAUUUAUCGAGAAUUUUCCAUUCAUGCAUAUAAGGUGUCUAAGUUAUCUCUGCUGAUUAUAAAUGUACCAUCUUUAAAAAAAAUUCUAUGAUUUUCAACUGCCAAUUACCAAAGAAUAGGAUUGAGAUUGACUUGUUUGCUUUUUCACCCAUAUGCUAUAAUAUAAUUUUUAUAACAUCAUGAUUUCAUUAACAUUCAUUUCGUAUAUAUUAACUUUCCGCAAAGUGAAAAAGAGAGGGUAGGAAAUAAAUAAACAAUAAUAGCCUGAAAAAGCCUUUUCAAUUUCAACCCACAAUUUGGGUGGAGUUGGAAAUGGCCGUGCGUUUCACGCACCCACCACUUUGAGCUCACAUUCUUGAUCUUGUUUUGGCCAUUGGAUUUUUAUUUCUCUGAAAUAUUUGUACCUCUUUUCAACAACAUUAUUUUAAGUUAAAGAAUUUAAAAAUAAUUUUAUUUUUUAUUUUUUAAAAUAGUAACAUUAAUUAGUUUUUGGUAAAAUAUGAAGAGCAAUCAUAUGAUCAAAUGAUAAAUCACACUCCUUUUUAUUACUAAAGAAUGAUGCUAUUGCGAGUAAAUAUUAUAAAAGUAUAAAACAAACAAAAUUAUAAUUAUAUUUUAAAAUAAAUAAUAAUAUUUUAAAAAUAAAAUAACAAUCAUUCUAUAAUUUUGAGUUAAAAAUAAGGAAAAUUAUGUAAAGGCACACUAAAAAAGUUUUAGAACUUUUAUUUUUAACUUUCAAAAUGCAUGUUUUAGGAGAAAAAUAAUUCUUAAAAUAUGCACUCCAAUGGUUUCAAUAUUACCCUCCAAUUGUUUUGGAGAGAUUGCAUAACACUUGUUUUCGGCAUGGACACCACAAAGUCAAGGGUUACCAAUAAUUAUGUGAAUAAAAGAAGCAAAAGGCUAGCUUCAAUGAUAUAGAUAGCAACUCAUAAUGGAACUAAGUAGUGUAAAAAAAAGAGAAAGUAUAACUCACUUGAAGGUUUUUAUAGAUAUUUUUGGCAUGAAAUCACUGGAAUUAUUAAAAGAAAGGUCAUUGCAAGCAAAUUUAACUUGUUGAAUGGAUGUGUAACAUACAUUACCCUCAAUCAAAGAAGAAUGGUACAUAUUUUCUAUCUCAAUUGUAUUUUCAACAUAUAUUAGUGGUACUUUUUUCAUAAAGAAGUGGUACCCUGUUUUCCAAAAAUUAUAUUGAUCGGUGUUAUUUUACCGUUAUAUAAGAUGUGGAACAUGUAAUGGACAAUAACAUACUCUACAAAGAAGGUGAUACAUUCUUUAUGGAAAAAAAUGUGCUGAAAGUAUUACUGAGAUAGGAAGGAUGUAUUACACUGUUUUGAUUUAGGGUAUGGUAUGUUACCAUCUAUUACAUGUUCUACAUUUUAUGUGACGUGAAAUGCUAGAGAGUUUUUGUAUAAUAACAUUAAUUAACACAAUAAUUAGAUAAGAUGUAUCACUCCUUUAUAAUAAUAAUAAUAAUAAUAAUAAUAAAAACACUUAUGUAUGCUAAAAAUAUCAUUGUGGUUGGAAGAAUGUGUCACAUUUAUUUGGUUUAGGGAAAGAUAUAUUAUUGCAUGUUAUGUGUUCCACGUUUUAUGUAAUGUUGGAAUAACAUGACCGAGUGGAAGUUUUAGUGCAAUAACUUUGAUUGACACAACCCUUGGAAAAUAGGGUCCCAUUCAUUUAUGAAGAAAUAACACUGAUGUGUCUUACAAGUACCAUUAAGGUGAGAAAAAUGUAUUGCGCUUUUGAUUUAGGGCAAGGUAUGUCAUCAUUUGUUAUAUGCUCCACAUUUUAUAUAAUGGUAAAUAAUGUAAAAUGCAUGCAAGUUUUUAUGUAAUAACACCUAUCAAUACAACCAUUGAAAAAGAUACUAUCAUUACUUUAUGACUAAAGUACCAUGUGAGGGUGUAUUAUUUUUUUCUUGGUGUACUUGAGGCUAUGCAAUUUUUUCUUAGUACACGUGAAAGGUGCUCAAUUUUAAUAUGCAAAUUUUUUUAUUCCUAAUAAAAUUAAGUAAAAUUUAAUAAAAAAAUAUUAAAUACAAUUUUUUUAGAAAAAUACAUUUUAUUUUUUAUUUUACAUAAAUAAAAUUUUCCAAAUUUUAACCAAACAAAAGUUUAGAACCAUGGUCCAAGAUUUUAUUUUAUAUAAAUGGAAAAAUUAAACAUUUUAACCGAAUAAAAAGUUAGAAUUACAGUCCAAUUAGAAUUAUAAGUAAAAAGUUAAAACUAUGAUUAUUGAUUUUGAUUUUCACAUGAAAAUUAAAAAUGUAAACAAUAAAAUAAUAUGACAAAGUGUAAACCUUCCAUUUUGUUCCUUAACAUAUAUAUCUAUAUAUAUAUAUAAUCCUUUUUAGUGUAUGUCUAUGAUCUUUCUAGCUUGAUCAUUCAUCACGUCCCACAUUGGUCCGUCUUUGCUCAGCUCAUUGUUCAUUUUUGAGCUACAUUUUGAAGGCCAUUUAGGGGGUUAUUUCGGGUCUUACCUUGAUUUUUAGAGACUCCUUAGGUCUAGACCCGAAGUGAGCUUGUUUGGGUGUCUUACCUUGGGUUUUUAGGCUAGGUCCGACAUUUUAGGAGUUUUAGGGUUUCAGAGCUAUCCUUGGCAGCUUAGCUUUGAAUGAGGGCAAAUGUCCUCUUCCCCUUGUCCGCUUCAUAUAUUUAAAGGUCAUUUUGGCUUCUUAUGAGGGAUCCUUUUGGAGGUUUUGUGGGGAGACAUGUUUCAGAGGGGAUUCUCCUUCUAUUGGGUUUGUUUUAGAGAGAAAAGAGAGAACACUUGAGCAACAAGAAAAUGUUAGAGAGUGAGGAAAGAAACAAGAGAAAGAAGAGUAAAAAAUGAGGAGAGCUUGUUGGGACCUUGUUGGUUUUUGGGAAAGGAAGGGAUAGCUUGAAGCCAAUCAAACUUCUACUUGAGAGGAAGGCUAUCAAAUAUAUUGUUUAUUGUUCUGGUACAUUCAUGUCUUUUCUUAUUUGUUUGUUUAUUUUUCGAUACAUAUCUCGACCAUAGUACAUCAUGAUCAUUACUUGUUGUCCAUUAAUUGAUUAAUCGAUUACCAUGCUUACUUAUCUUGAUUAAUAGAUACUUAUUUUAGGGUUUAGAGGGGUGCUACAGUUUAUCAUCGUAUAUUUUCAAUAAGUAACUUGACUUCCAGAUUCAGACUUUAAAUUUAUCAAAUAAAUAAAUAUUUCAUUAGUAGAAAUAUAUAAAAUCUUAUGUACCUUAUUAUUGUAUUUUAAAGUGUUCAUAAAUUAAUAAAUAUGAAAAGAUGAGAAAGUGAAAAAAACAAAUGAAAUAUAAAAAUUUGUAAAAUGGUAAGGUGUUCAUGAGAAAAUGUGUUUUUAGCAUAUUUUAAAAAAAAAGAGUCAAAAAUGGCAUCACAUUCUAGGUAAAAUGGAGAAAUGGGGAAAAAUAACAAAUAAUGUGACAUUGAUUUGCCCGUGUCUAAGCUUUAAAAAAAGCAACAAAGCAUGAUGAAACUAUUACACCUAUCAUGUCAAGGUAAAAAAAAAAAAAGUUAGGACAGAGAGAAUAGUUGAAGGAUAAUAUGUGAAAUUUUAAUCAUUAUUAUUAUUAGUGAUGGCAUGUUUUAAGAAUUACUUUUCUCACAAAACAUACUAUUUGAAAGUUGAAAGUAAAAGUUUUUUAAAAAAUCGUUUUUAUUUUUUAUUUUUAUUUUUCCUAGUAAUAUACCUUUACAUAGUUUUCCCUUGAAAGCAAGCAAGAAUAUAUAUAUAUAUUAACCGUCCUUCAUUAUACACAUUUUCUACCCAUUAUAAUAGUGUUAAAAAUCAAUCUUCAUUUAAACAUUUCUAGUAUUGAUUGGAUCCAAUUUUGGAUUCCUAAUUAUUUUAAAAAAUUAUUAGACUUAUUAAAUAAUUUAAAACAUUAAAUUUCACAUUACUCUGAUUCUACCUACCUAAUAAGAAAAUUUUAAAAAUAUAACAAGUGUAAUCAUUCUAAAUCAAUUCUAUCCAUUGUUUUUUUUCAUAUUGAUUUAUUUUCAAGUUUGAAACUAUUUUUAAAAACUAUUAUAUUUAUUGGAAAAUUUUGGAAAACUUAUUUUUUAAAAUAAUUCAAAUUAAUUUUUUGAUAGUAAUAGACUAAUUAAAAAAAUAUAAUGCAUUCUAUCUCAAGCAUUAGAUUUGGAAUCCAUUUGGCUUAUGAAUUUCUCAUGACUAAAUUUUUGAGUUUUAAAAAAUUAUUAAGCUUAUCUUCAUAUUUGAGUUUUAAAAAUUAUUAAACUCAUCAAUAAAUUUAAUAUAUUAAAAAAAUAAUAAUAAUAAUUUUAUAUAUAAUCACGGGAUCAGAUAAUACACAAAUCCUUAUCGAGUUUAAAAAAAAAAAAAAAUCCGCCCUUCACUCAUUUAUUUAAAUUUCAAACCCGUCCUGAUAAGGAUGGGUGGAGCAGUUAACCAAAAAUCCCGCCUAUUGGCAUUUUUAGUCAGAGAUGAUAAUUUUUUAUAACAAUUAUUAUUAUUAUUAUUUUUGCAAUUUCAGUAAUUUCCAUUACACGAGUACUUUUUCUUGGAGGGCUACCACAGAGCUGUUUUUCAUUGGUCUCAAAAGCACCUCUGAAUAUGGUUUUGGAUUUGUAGGGCUCAUGUGGCCCCACCCCACCCUUCACAGGCUUUGCCAACACGCAAACCCAUUUUAUAUAUAUAUAUAUAUAUGUGUGUGUUUAGACUUAUUAGGAAAAUAAAAUUUUAAAAAAUUAAUAUAAUAUUAUUGAGGUAGAAAUUCAUUUAUUUUAGCAUACGGGAUAUUCCAAACAAAUAACGAAAAUUGAAAACCGAUUGACGGAGGCCCGUGACAAGUUGACAAUGUACAAGAAUGGCCCACCACUGUGUCCGAGCCACAUGCAAGGCCUUCUUUCCUCUGCCACAGGUCAAACAUCGUGACUCUCCAGUCCCGGCCUUCACAUUAAAAAAUAUCCAUGAAUUAAUAGGAUUAAGGUCCCGUUUUAGCACUAUUUUUGGAAAAAACACUUUUUAGCAUAAAAAUUGUUUUUGGAUAAAAAUAAGAUAUUUAAAAAUAAAAUAAAAAACACUUUUAAUAAUUCAACUAUCACUCAUAGUGUAGACCCCCUCUUUGGCUUUGUUUUUAUAUAUAUAUAUAUAUAUAUAUAUAUAUAUGCAUUUAUAUUUAGCCUUCCUGCCACUUGGGAAGCGCCUGGAGGAUGACAUUUGAAGGGGGGACCGGGCUUCUUGGAGGAGCAGCUGCAUGGAGCACGUGACGAGGCAGGUGGCCCUCUCCAUGGUGGUGGUUGGAGCUUCUGAGGUUGCUGAGCAGGGAAUAGUGGAGUAGCUGAUGGCUUGCGAGUGAAGAUAGGAAAAAAGAGAAGAAGGAAAGAAAAAAACGGGUAGCAGUGGGGAGGAUUCUUUGAAGAAAAAAAAAAGCCUGGAGAAAAGAAGAGAGGAAACGCAAGAGAAGGAGAAGGGAGACCGCUCAGGUUAGAUUACUUUUGUACCCUAGGUUCUCCAUUUUUUUUAUUAUUCAUUUUGUUCUAUUUUCAGCCAUAUCUCACUCCUUCUUGAUAUUUAGAUGUUUCCGGAUUAUUUAACGCGUUAAAUUUGNNNNNNNNNNNNNNNNNNNNNNNNNNNNNNNNUGAUUUAUGUCAUGCGUGUUUGAUUUAUUCUAUCUUUGACAUGCGUACAAGUAUAUGUACAUAUUCAUUGUUCACUGAUCCUGCUUCAUGAUAGCGCAUUUGUUACUGGAGGUCCAGGUACGCACUCAUUCUCAUUUUGAUUAUUCUCUAUGCAUGCUCUUAUUUUCAUAUGUGCAAGUUUGAUUUGAGUAUCUGCUGAUUUCCUCAUUCAUUACCACACCAGCUUCACUUUAUUAGUAGAGACCCGACUUUAGGGACUUAGAGGGGUGCUACGGUUUUUACCGUACCUUCCCGAUAAGUAACCUGACCCCCGAACCCGAUCCGGUUUUUCACAGACCGCCUUUUCCAAAAUAAGGAGUCACACUUAGGGUUUUUCUUUCUUAUUUUGUUUACCCCUUUUAAAAAUAAAACAAAAAUAAGUGGCGACUCCAAGUCAUUUUCUUAAUCAAUAUAAAUCAAAUUUUCAAAUUAAAAUUCGAGCUCGCCAUCGAGUGGGAAACGCAUCGCGCAAUCAAAAUGCGGGGUCCACAAAAUGGCGACUCCACUGGGGAUUGUUUAGAGGGUCAAGCUUGAACUUAGAAUGAAGCAAACGUGGCAUUCGAUUGGACGAUCAGUGGAUGCCCAUUUCUUGAUUGCACAUUGAGGAUAUUUGAUGCAUGCUCGGAUUUUAUAUCCACUUGAGACUUUGACACGUUGAUCGUGUUGAUUGAUUUAUAUUGAUUGAGGAUUCUGAUGCCAUUUUUUUUUCUGUGUUUCAUUGAUAUAUUCGUUUCAGACAUUGACAUGUUGGAUUAUUGAUGAUUGAUCUUAUUGCUUUGCUUAGCACGUUGACCCUGAUUUUGUCAUGAUUGUUCUGAUCACUUUACAUGCAUGCACUCACUACUAUACAUCAUUCGACUCGACAUGCUGAUCCACUUGUUGGUAUAUUAUUUUGAUCAUCUUUGAGCGUGUUGUCUUUGUAUCACUAUCCAUCUGAUUGUCGUAUUCUCGCUUAUCUUGUGUGUGUACAUUGGUGAUAUAUCUGAGAUUUGUUUGAUUGUGUGUUGCAUGACUACUCUCUUUUGCGUGAUUGCGUGCUGCUUAUCUGUGUGGGUCACACGUCUAUCCCCCUACCUCCAAAUCUCUUGGUCUCGGUCAUUCAUUUCAUUUUGGUUCUCGCUUUUGCAAGCGUGAGACCUUCUUUGUGCUUGCUCUCUGACCGAGCCAGAGAUUAGGAGUAGGGUUUAGCGAAGGGUUAUAUCGAUGUACGGGAGCAUUCUGGAGGAGACCGACAUAUCGAUGCUGAUUGGAGUUCGAUCAUUGAAGACCUGUAUAGCCCGGAGCUAGGUUUCAUGGAUAUUUGUGUGACCAGUGUGUUUCAUCUCCUGCUUUAGCUUCUUAGGGUUUCGGAUGCACCCACACCGCUCACUGUGCACUUUAGUUGACUAUUGAGUGCUGAGAGUGUGAGAGCUUUCGCUAUAGGAGCCCCCUGGGAUGUCGAGGUAGUGCAUGUGUGGAGGUGAUGACCACCUUGCAUGGAAGCACCCCGUCUCUUCGGAGGCGUGCAGAGGGUUGCGUACCGCCGGAGGGUAUGAUCGCUUCUGCUAGGGACCUUUAAAAUCCACCCUCAUCCAUCUAGAACCACCUUGACCUUGUAGGUUGAGCCGUAGAUCCUUCGAUUAGGACUCCCUCCCUACACGUGGGUGCAUCUGAGGGCCUUCAGAGCCUCUUUAGUCACAGUUUAGAUUUGACACUUCCUCUUUUUAGUCUCCAGUUGAGAGUGCUCGGAGAUCAGUAUGAAUCUGAGUAUCGGUUGGAUCACCUUUCGUCUUGUCGCCUUAGUUUGUGUUUUUCACUUGAUGAGUUUAGCAUGUUUUCUCCCUAGGGUUUUCGUUCUCAUUUCUUGGCUCGACACACCCCUUCACUUUGUUAUCACUCACAUGAUGCUUUGGGAUAUGUUCAUUGAUCAUCUUUUCGCACUGUACACCUAUCACGAGCCCAAUACCUCAUUCUUUGUUUGAUCCUUGGUUCAAUUUUCGACUCGAUGCUCAUAUUUUCAUUACGGAAAGGUGAAAGGCGCAUUUUUCAUAUCCACACUGUCUUUGAGAGAUUCGCCUUGAUCACCUUAUUAUUUUUCUCUUAUGGAGCUCGAGUUGAAGGUUGAUUCAAGGAUAUAUGUUUAUAGAUGGAGUACUGAUCUCGUGAUAGCGUGUUUUUCACACCUCUCUUUAUCUCAGAUUAUUGAUGGAGAUUCUCUGGUCACAUUUGUAGCCAUAUCGCAGUGGAUACCUUUAUGACUCCAGAGUUCUCGUCAUAUAUCCAGAUUUAUGAUUGCCACCUCAGGACCAUGUGCUUGUAUGUUGUAUUGUCGUCUUUUAAAGUUUUAUUGCAUGUCCUUCAUCCGUUUUGUUUGCAUUGUAGGGAGUCAGUUUAGGAGUCGGUUGAGUCUGGAGUCACAUUCCUGGAGGAGAGUUCGAGGACGAUUGAUCAGAGCAGAUUCAUAUCCGAGUUCAGAUAGUUCAGUUGAGAUGUCAGACGAGCUAGCUUCCACACUUGCUUCCAUUCAGGAGUUCAUGGCCGGAGUCAGUAGACGCUUGGAUCAGUUAGAGAGUUCUCGCCAGGAUCCUCAUCCGGCCGGCAUGGUCACUGACGAGACGAUUCCUCAUGCAUCUCAGACAGCACAGACUCGUCCACCUGGGGUUUCACUUAGUACUCCAUUCCAUCUGGCAGAUCAUUAUGAGACCAUUCCACCACCUACUGUCACAGUACCGCCUCCCAUGGUUCCUACUAUUGGGGAUACUCGAUUGGCCGAGCAGGAGGCCAAGGUUGAGAGGCUCGAGUCCAUGAUGAGACAGAUCAGAUUGCAGGACGGAGGUUUGACUUGGGAUGACAGAGAUGGCAUACCGGCGGCUAGCUUGCCCGCCAAGUUUCGCAUGCCAGACAUUGAGCGCUACAGUGGGAUUGGUUGUCCCAAGAUCCAUUUGAGAUUAUACAGCACUGUCAUGAGGGUGCACGGGAUAGAUGAUGCACAGCUGGUGGCCCUCUUUCCCAUGUCACUUAGUGGGGCAGCUCAGAGAUGGUUUGCUUCAGUUGAGCCUUCGAGACUCCGCACUUGGGAGGAUGUGGCUCGUGAGUUCCUGACCCAGUUCGCUUUCAGUGCCGAUAUUGACGUAUCUAGACGAGAGUUGGAGGCCACCAGACAGAGGCCAGAUGAGUCUAUUUCUUCCUUCGUCACUCGUUGGAGGGCGAAGGUGGCUGGUAUGAUAGAUCGGCCUAAGGAGCAGGAUCAGAUUGAUAUGGUUCUUCGGAACCUACAGCCGAGGUUCGCUAGACGUCUGGUGGGCAUCCCAUUUCAGGAUCUUAGGAGUUUGGUUCAUGCUGCUUUCAGUGUAGAGGAGGCUAUGGCUCGAGGAUUAUGGACAGAUACUACUCCUUCCCCUGACAGUAAGGGGAAGAAGCUGAUUGGACCAUUGACUAGAUCUGGAGAGGUUGGUGCUAUUAGUUAUCAGCACCAGAGGCCCGCGCAUCACGCAGCUUAUAGGUCUCCUACAGUCAGAGCUCCUUUCUCUCUUCCACAGUAUCAGUAUCAGUUGGAUUAUGCUCAGGAGCCUUACAUUGCUCAGACUAGCAUGCAGCCACGACCACCACAUCCGAGAGCCGCUACUCGCCCACCGCUUAGACCAUAUGCACAGAGGCCCCCGAGACAGUUCACUCCCUUGGGCAUGACUUUGACUAGAGCUUUUGAGAAGCUCAGAGACGCUGGAGUGAUUGUUCAUUUGGCACCGAGGCCUUUGCCCCAUCCUAUUCCUCCCCAUUUUCGUUCACAUGAGCACUGCUUGUAUCAUCAGAUUCCGGGGCACGAUACUGAGCAUUGUUCAGCACUCCAUCAUGCGAUACAGGAUUUGAUCGAUUCAGGGGUGGUUGACUUGGCUAGGCCAAGUGUGACCACCAAUCCCCUGCCUGCACAUUCUACACAUGCAGUUCCUCCUCCUCCUGGUCUUCAGUAGAUUGAUUUGGAUGUUGAUGGUAUUGAUGGUCGCAUGGUAUUUUGGGACACCUCGGGUUGGGGACUUUGUUUCAGUUGACGUGGGUACAUCAUUUUGCAGCGAUUUAGCUCAGAGCACCUUCCAUUUUGAUUUAUGGUCGUCAUCAGAGUCGUUCCCGAUCUGUCGGGUCCAGUGUUUAGCUCAUCAGAGUCGCUUUGUCGAGUCCAGUUUGGUUCAGAGUCGUUGUUUGUAGUUCAUGUUGAGAGUCUAGUCUUUUGUAGUCUUCUAUCGCUUCACACAUGAUGUACUUAUUUGGUUCAUUUAGUGAUAUGAUCUUUUUAUUUUGAGUAUGUGUUAUUCUCUUUUCUAAUGAGUAUGUUUUGCAUAUCUUGCGUUGAUGUGUGCUAUGCUUUUGAUUUGAGACAUAUUUUCACUUAUACAUCAUGAUCACUCUGGCUUGACCUAUCAUGGAGGAUAUUGAGCCUUUUGACCUAGGAUUAGGAUAUCGACUUAGGGAGUUCGAGACUGUGACCCGUUUCACCUUCCGUUCAGAGUAGUACUAUAUUCAUAUCCAUACCCUGACUCUGUGGACUUGUUGACUUACCCAUUUUGAGCUUGACAUGACACUACCCUUGGUACCGUUAUACUAUAUUACCAUCCUUGUUCGCCUUAGCAUAUUACAGUACCAUUCUUUGUUUCUUUCCAUCAUUUCCUUGAUCUGACCAGGUAGAGUUCGAGAUGGUUAGACCCGAGGUGAGCUUUACACGAUGAUAGAUGGAUCAUGAUGAGAGAGUGGCUUGAUUAUUUGAUGCUAUUGUUGAGAUAGAGGGGUUAUCAUGGAGCAUCCAGAUUUGAGCCAUUGCACAUGACUUUAGAGAGUCGGGAUGAUUAGACAUGGUGACUUUAUGAGAUGAUGGUGAGUGGCAUAUGACGAUAGGGCGAGGUGAUUGUCGGAGGACAUUGAUGAUUAUCACAGAGCCUCGGUGGGAGCUUUCACGUGAUUUUGGAGGAGGUGACAUGACUUUGUUAGAUGGAUGCCAGUCUUUAGUAUUGGCCACGUGAGAUCUUGAAAGCACGAUGUUCGAGGUUUUGGUCAAAGGAUGGGUGGCCAUCAUUUCAUGAGCCUAUUUACUUUAUCACCCUCGCAUAUAGAGUUAUCUAUUGCUAGCCCUUUGAGCCUCGCACGAGCAUCAUAGCCUUUUCUUUCACCACCUCAUUUACCUAUUACAUCGGGUUGGGGACCCUAUAGUGCUUGCAUGCUAUGUUUAGAUACGUCAUGAGUUCCGGGCCUGACAUACAUAUUCGAGCCUCAUUCUUCACUCUUCAUUGUGGUAUUUUCCACUUGGAUAUCAUUUCAUCACUAUUUUCUGAUAUCAUAUAUCACCACUUGUGAUAUUCGUUUUCUGUCUUUUCUUUUAUCAUUGCUUACUCGACAUUAUCCGUGUUUCACCUUGAGUGGUGGUUUUUCACACAUCACUGCAUGGAGGAUUGUCACAUUCUUUCCUAUCAUUCACCUCAUGGGCAGUGGUUCAGAGAUGUUAUUUUGAGAGGUUGUCUUGUUAGUGAGGAUUCAUGUUACAUUCGUAUGUGGAGAGGGUUUGAUCAUUUGGGUAUGUAUUUUCAUGGGAGUUCAUUCAUUAUUGAUCAGAGUAUGCGCAAAAAAAAAAAAAAAAACCAAAAAAAAAAACCAAAAAAAAAAAAAAAAAAAAGAUAGCGCAUUGUUCAUUUUAUUAUUUUUCCAUUGGGCAUGUGUAUGGACGUGCCGGUUUGCUUCAUUCAGUUUAUGUGUCAGAGAGAGUUCGUAUGAGAGCUUCUUUCUGAGAUUCUAUCUUGGUGUACAUUUUGGGUGAGAGUAUGAGUCAUCCAUUCGAUUUUUGUGAGAGAGACGAGCGACUUUUCUUUAGUAUCUCUGGGUCAUUGCUCUAUCCAUCAUUCCAUUUAUUUCGGAUGUGACUACUUUCCAUGCUUUGAUGCAGGUUGACCAUCACUCAUUUUUCUAUCUUCGCGCCUUCUUUUAUCUUUGUUUUAUCACUCCAUUUUUACCAUACCUCACCCGAUUUCUUUCUUUUCUCAUCCUUCUUGAUGUUUGACUUGAGUUCAGCAUCCGCACUUCAUGCUUGCUUAUUCGAUAUGACCAUUCAUUUAUCAUCACUUUUCGUGUGGGGACCCCUAGGUCCGGGACUCAUGACGUUUUCUACGCAUUGCAUCUCAUGCAUGAGGGGUAUGGGGAUUAUAUCAUUGGGAUUUUUGAGCCUAGUUUCCUUUCAUUUCUUUCACCCUAUUACCUUAGCCUACGUUACGUCCCGUGUCUGAAGACCACCCUGAGGUCAUUACUUCACACAUUGUGUUUGACAGCUCACACGUGGGCAAUACUUGAGCUUGGUCGGAGAUUGUUCCUCUGAGCAGGAUGGAUGGGGAGUUGAGAUGAUGAUUUACACUGGGGCAUACCCCUCUUAUCAGUGAUGGAUUUUUAGAGGCGACGUCGUAUACACUGGGGCAUACCCCGCUCAUUGAUGACAUUUUCUUUCGGGAUGGUGCCUUGCACUGAGGCAUAGUCAGUUCGCCUCUUCAUUUGGAUUACGAUGGAUCAGGAGUUGUGGGAUGACCCUAUACUGGGGCAUGGCCAUUUCAGAGGGCGUUUUUAUUGGAGAUACGGUCGCUCUACUCGAUACUCUGCAUUGGGACACACUCUACUCAUCGAUGGUUGGUUUUUGAGAUGACGAUUUUAUUUGAGGCGUAGCCCUCUCAUUGGUGAUGGACUUUAAUUGGUCAUUGGAGCAUAGUCACUUCAGUUGGUUUAUACUGGGGCAUAGCCACCGCAUUCACAUUCAUGGAGCCCGGGGAUUCUGAUUCAUAUGGAUUAUGUUGAGAUGUUUCCGUUUUGGCACCAGGAGUAGAGGUUGAUUGAUUUGUUGACUCGGAUACACUACUUUACAGUGGGGCAUAGCCGGGAUGGAGAGCAUUUUUCAUUGGAGCAUAGCCACCCUUUUGGAUCCUUUACACUGGGGCAUAUCCAUCUUUUGGAGGGAGAUCAGAUUGGUUCUUGACAUUGGAGCAUCUGACGAGCGAUAUGGAGAUUAUUGGAUUGUUUCAUGCUGUUCUCAUUGCACACUAUGGCAUAGCCACCUAGUUGGAUGUUUCGACAUCGAGAUUUGACUUCCUGUUUGUGAUUGCUGCUUACGAUGGGUUAUGGAAUUAUCGACACCUCGGGUUUAGUCUUCUCGGCAUACUUGGAUGAUCUCGGAUAUCUCCCUACCUUUCAUUUCAUACUCAGAUGUUUCACCAUGGAUACUUUCAUACCGUCUAUCAUACCGGAGCCUGACCAUCACCUUCUUUCAUCCUACACAUCUUACCAUGGCACAUGACCUUACCCCCUUUCUCGAUUAUGAGGAGAUGUAGAUCAGUCCUCGAUCACCUUGGUUGUGCUUUCAUAUAUCUUUUGGACUUUAGGUUCAACAUCUUCCAUGAUGACAGGGCCUAACAGAUUGUUGACUUAUCAGUGACGAUGCUUUCAUUUUGAUAGUUGGCAUGUUGAGUGUUGAUUUGCUUACUCUUUCCCUUUUGAGCACUGGUCAUCAUUAUUGUUAUUAUUCAUCAGUUAGCUUUGUUUUGUCAGCAUGGUGUCAUGACACAUGGUCCUGUUUGGCAUUACUUAUUUGAGGUUGGACAUUUUCAUUACAUGAUGGAUGAGCAUAUCUCAGAGUACAGUAGUUUUGAGGCAUUUUGCAUCUCUGUCUGUUCAUCAUUACAUACUGGGGCAUACCCCAUCUUCGAGAGCAUUGGACCUUCGACAGGUUUCAUUCACUUUUGAUCUAGUUGUCCACCCUGAAAGUUGCAUACUGGGGCAUACCCUCCUUCUCCGAGAUCAUCGGACCUUUCACAGGCUUCAUUAUCUUUCGACCUAGUUGUCGAUCCUCAUGAGUUGUCAUACUGGGGCAUAUCCCCUCUCGAGCUUACUUGCAUCAUUAUCUGGGUCAUCCUUUGGUUCUGGGUCACUUGAUCAGGUCAUUCAUCAUUAUCGUGUCAGUUUGAGUCGGGGUUGCACCUAUACGAUCGACCAUCUCUUUGUCAUGUCAGUUCAGUUUUUGGGACCGCACCUAUACGAUCGGUCAUUAUCGUGUCAGUUUGAGUCGGGACCGCACCUAUACGAUCGGUCAUUAUCGUGUUAGUUUGAGUCGGGACCGCACCUAUACGAUCGGUCAUCUCUUUGUCAUGUCAGUUCAGUUUCUGGGACCGCACCUAUACGAUCGGUCAUUAUCGUGUCAGUUUGAGUCGGGGCCGCACCUAUACGAUCGGCCAUCUCUUUGUCAUGUCAGUUCAGUUUCUGGGACCGCACCUAUACGAUCGGUCAUUAUAGUGUCAGUUUGAGUCGGGACCGCACCUAUACGAUCGAUCAUCUCUUUGUCAUGUCAGUUCAGUUUCUGGGACCGCACCUAUACGAUCGGUCAUUAUUGUGUCAGUUUGAGUCGGGGCCGCACCUAUACGAUCGACCAUCUCUUUGUCAUGUCAGUUCAGUUUCUGGGACCGCACCUAUACGAUCGGUCAUUAUCGUGUCAGUUUGAGUCGGGACCGCACCUAUACGAUCGGUCAUCUCUUUGUCAUGUCAGUUCAGUUUCUGGGACCGCACCUAUACGAUCGGUCAUUAUCGUGUCAGUUUGAGUCGGGGCCGCACCUAUACGAUCGGUCAUCUCUUUGUCAUGUCAGUUCAGUUUUUGGGACCGCACCUAUACGAUCGGUCAUUAUCGUGUCAGUUUGAGUUGGGACCGCACCUAUACGAUCGGUCAUCUCUUUGUCAUGUUAGUUCAGUUUCUGGGACCGCACCUAUACGAUCGGCCAUCUCUUUGUCAUGUCAGUUCAGUUUCUGGGACCGCACCUAUACGAUCGGUCAUUAUCGUGUCAGUUUGAGUCGGGGCCGCACCUAUACGAUCGACCAUCUCUUUGUCAUGUCAGUUCAGUUUCUAGGACCGCACCUAUAUGAUCGGUCAUCUCUUUGUCAUGUCAGUUCAGUUUCUAGGACCGCACCUAUACGAUCGGUCAUUAUCGUGUCAGUUUGAGUCGGGGCCGCACCUAUACGAUCGGCCAUCUCUUUGUCAUGACAGGUCAAUUUCUGGGACCGCACCUAUACGAUCGGUCAUCUCCUUGUCAGUUCAGUUCGAGUUUGGACCGCACCUAUAUUGAUCGGUCAUUCAUCGUGUCAGUCGAGUCGGGGUCGCACCUAUAUCGAUCGGCCAUCUUCCUAUCAGUUCAGUUCAAGUCGGGACCGCACCUAUAUCGAUCGGUCAUUGUCUUGUCAGUUUGAGUCGGGGCCGCACCCAUAUCGAUCGGCCAUUUCCCUAUCAGUUUGUGUUUAGUUCGAGUCGGGACCGCACCCAUAUAGAUCGGUCAUUCAUUCUUCCUAUCAGGCCAGUUCGGCAUCCAGGCCUUUGCUUCAGCAUGACAUUCAGGGUCACAGCUUCUAGCAUUCAUAUUCACUAGCAUUACACGUAUCACCUUCAUGGAUUUGCACUUAUUCUUGUUCUCCUCACCUUGUUACCUUAUGCUUAUCGUUUCAUCAUUGCUCUUCUAGGCUUCCCCUUCCACUACACAUGACAUAGUUCUUUGAGUCCGUGACGCAUAUUUCGAUCAUGUUGUUGGGCACCUUACACUUGGCAUUCUCGUAUAGUUCACAUAGAGCAGUCUCCUUCGGGCACAUUCUUUCUUGUACUCCAGGGUGGUUCGACCGUUACUCAUCGAUCUUUGAGUCACUUUUGGAGACAUCUUAGAGGGAGCCUGGAUCCUUAGUGUGGCUUUAGAGGCAUUUUGAGACAUCAUUUCCUUUUAGGAUUAGAACCUCGUUGUUCAUUUGUUAACCUGAGUGAGUUCGUGUUUUAUUAGUGUCCCUAUGGGGGUCUCCUUGAUUCUUCGGUAGAGUUCACUUCAUUCCACUCUCUAUUCACACUUCCUUUUCACUUCAGUGUUCAUGUUCUUUGCACUCGUGAACUUUACCGAAGAGGGGCAUAUUUGUAGACCCCCUCUUUGGCUUUGUUUUUAUAUAUAUAUAUAUAUAUAUAUAUAUAUAUAUGCAUUUAUAUUUAGCCUUCCUGCCACUUGGGAAGCGCCUGGAGGAUGACAUUUGAAGGGGGGACCGGGCUUCUUGGAGGAGCAGCUGCAUGGAGCACGUGACGAGGCAGGUGGCCCUCUCCAUGGUGGUGGUUGGAGCUUCUGAGGUUGCUGAGCAGGGAAUAGUGGAGUAGCUGAUGGCUUGCGAGUGAAGAUAGGAAAAAAGAGAAGAAGGAAAGAAAAAAACGGGUAGCAGUGGGGAGGAUUCUUUGAAGAAAAAAAAAAGCCUGGAGAAAAGAAGAGAGGAAACGCAAGAGAAGGAGAAGGGAGACCGCUCAGGUUAGAUUACUUUUGUACCCUAGGUUCUCCAUUUUUUUUAUUAUUCAUUUUGUUCUAUUUUCAGCCAUAUCUCACUCCUUCUUGAUAUUUAGAUGUUUCCGGAUUAUUUAACGCGUUAAAUUUGCUCCUCAUUUCAUGAAUUGCUUGGUCCAUGUUUUGGUUCCCAUGCGAAUUAUAUGAUAGCCAUGCAUGUUGCCACAUUUUCUCUCUCUUUCUCUUCCUCUUUCCCUUCCUCUUCCUUUUCCUCCUCCUCUCCAUGCAUCUUCUCUCCGGUGGCGCGAAGCAUGCAGCGUUUCCAGGUGGAGGGGCAAGUUGAAGGAGAUGAUGCCUUGGGCUUGCCUUGAUUUGGGCUUAAGUUAAAACACCCAGCCCAAGUUGAUGUUAAAAUGGUGCCUUGGGCUUGCCUUGAUUUGGGCUUAAGUUAAAACACCCAGCCCAGGUUGAUGUUAAGAGGAUGCCUUGGGUUUGCCUUGAUUUGGGCUUAAGUUGGAGCCCAGGCCCAAACUUUUAUAGUGAUGGUGCCUUGGGCUUAAGUUAGAGCCCAGACCUAAGCUCUUGGUGACGGGUUUGGGCUUGAGUUGGAGCCCAACCCAAGCAUGUUGAUGAAAGGCCCCAUGCCCCCUAUGCUAGCCACCCUCAUUGGCCCAUGCCCACAUCCAUUUAGCCCAUUAGGUUGCCCAAAUCCAAAUAAUCCUCUUAAAAACCUCUAAUAUCCAUAAUUAAUUAAUUCAAUCAUUCCCUCUUAUUUGUUAUCUUAUUCUAUUUCUACCAAUUUAUUUAAUUCAUCUUAAGGACAAUUAAAAGACAAAUUAUUAUUGUUAAUUAUAUUUUUUUUUUUUUUAUCUUGAAAUUCAUACUAUUCAAUUUCACUAGUUUAAAUAUUAGGAUUGUUAAUUAUUAUUAUUACUUCGUGCGCAUCUAUUUAUCAUUUUUUUAAAAUCCCACUCAUUAAAGUUAAAUUCUAAUCCUUCAAAACCCUAUAUCUUAAUUUAAUUUUUCAAUAAUUAGUUUAGAUCUCAUUUUCAUCAAUUAAGGUUAUUAUCUCAUAUUCAUCUAGUUAUUUAAAAUCUAAUCCUUCAAAAAAUUCAUAUUUUAAUUUAAUUUUUUAAUCCUAAAAAAAAAAUCCUACAAUUAAUUUAAAUUUCAUUUUCAUCAAUUAGAAUCAUCAUCCCAUAUUUAUUUAAAGUCCAAUCUUUCAAAAAUCUCAAUUUAACUUUCAACCUUAGAAAUUCUAUUAUUCGCCCAAACGUUAUUUUCGUUAACUAAUCCUCUAUCUUUUUAUUAAUUUAAGGUCCAACUCUUCAAAAAUUCAACGUCCUGAUUUAAUUUUUAAUCCUAAAAAUUCCUCCACUCACUUUCUAUUCGUUUAAAAUUUUGUUUCCAUUAAGUAGCAUUAUUAUUCCAUAUUAUCUAUUUAAUCUAAUCAUUAAAGUUCAAUUCAUCAGUACCCAACUUCCAAAUCUAAUUUCUAACCUCAAAAGCUCCGUCGUCCGUAUAUCACCGUUUAAUGAUUAUUCUCGUUAUUAACGCUAUCUCAUCCACUCGCUUAUUCAGUUAUUCAUAUAUCAAAAAUCUCAUCUCUAAAUAAAUUCUUAAGUUUUCAAUCUCUAAAUUCACAUCUUCAAAUCUCUAAAAUUUCAUAUUUCGCAAUUAUUUACCUAAACUUUGUUACUUCACCAUCGUUAUUAUUCCAUCCCUUUACUUAUCCGCUCAUCCACUCAUCCCCUCAUUUAAAAUCUCAAACUCUCAAAUCAUUUUCAAAGUUUCCAACCUCGUUCAAAUUUAAUUUUUAAAAAUUCUCAUUCCCGCAUUUAAUGCCUGAAAGUCCGAUCUUCAAAUAAACUCUAAAAUCCCAAUUUUCUUUAAAUAACUUUCGAGACUCCAAUUUUUCAAAUGAAUUUCAAAAAUCCAAUUUUCUCUCAAAUAGCUUAAUUCCAUUAUGGUUUUCAAACAAUCUUCUACUCCUCUUAUUUUUAAUAAGCAUGAACAAAUUUUUCGUAAUUCCAAACAAUGGAAUUUAUGAGAUGAAUUCAUGCUAAAAUAAAUGGGCUUUGGUGGGGGCCCUACAUAUGAGACUUCAUGAUUCAUUGAUUGAUUGAUUAAUUGAUUUAAUUGUCAUGCGUGUUUGAUUUAUUCUAUUCUUUGACAUGCGUACAAGUAUAUGUACAUAUUCAUUGUUCACUGAUCCUGCUUCAUGAUAGCGCAUUUGUUACUGGAGGUCCAGGUACGCACUCAUUCUCAUUUUGAUUAUUCUCUAUGCAUGCUCUUAUUUUCAUAUGUGCAAGUUUGAUUUGAGUAUCUGCUGAUUUCCUCAUUCAUUACCACACCAGCUUCAUUUUAUUAGUAGAGACCCGACUUUAGGGACUUAGAGGGGUGCUACGGUUUUUACCGUACCUUCCCGAUAAGUAACCUGACCCCCGAACCCGAUCCGGUUUUUCACAGACCGCCUUUUCCAAAAUAAGGAGUCACACUUAGGGUUUUUCUUUCUUAUUUUGUUUACCCCUUUUAAAAAUAAAACAAAAAUAAGUGGCGACUCCAAGUCAUUUUCUUAAUCAAUAUAAAUCAAAUUUUCAAAUUAAAAUUCGAGCUCGCCAUCGAGUGGGAAACGCAUCGCGCAAUCAAAAUGCGGGGUCCACACAUAGUUAUAGUGUUUUUUUGGAAGAAGCACGAGACAGAUGAUUCUACAAUAAAAAAACGUUUUUUUUUUUUAAAAAACACUCAAUGCUUUUAAAAAACAUUUAUAAUAUAAAAAACAUUUUUUGAAAAAAAAUAAAAAAUUGAUAAAAUCCAAAAUAUCAUUUUUAAAAAGAUUGAAAAGUUAUAUAUAUAUAUAUAAUAUUUCAUAAAAGAGUAUUUUAUAAAUGAUCAUUGUAAAAUAAUUUUUAAAAAAAAUAUUUUUAUUAACAACACUUUCAAUAGAAAUAUUAUUAAACAUAUUCUCAUUGAAAUUAAAAAUGUCUUUAUUUAAUUUUUUUUAUAAAUAUUUUUUUUUAGAAAAUCACAUAUAAGUGGUAACCACAUAUAAAUUAUUUCUAAAUUUUGUUAGGAGUAUAGUUUUUUUAAAUAUAUUUUUUAUAUUAUAUAGAGUAGAUACAACCCUAAUGUUUUAGGAUGUAUUUGAUAAUUUUUUUUUAAGAACGGUUUUUUAUUUUUUAAAAUAAAAAAUAUAUUUGAAAAUAAAAAUUUAUUUUCUAUUUUUUUUUGUUUUUAAAAACAAAAAAUAAGAUAUUUUCAAAAAAAUAUCUUUUAAUUAUUUUAUAUUAUUUUAACUUUUUUUCUAAGAGUUAUUUAAAAAAAAUAUUAUAUAAAUAUAUAAAAUAAUUAAAAAUAAAAUAUUAAACAUAAAAAUUAUUUUUAAAAUAUAUUAAAUUAUAUUAAAAAACAGAUUAAAAACAUUUUAAAUUUCUAAAUAUACUUUUGUUAUAUAAAAUAUUAAAAAAUAACUUUUAAAAAUUGGUUACUCAACCCUUCAUUUUUAAAAAAUAUUCUUUAAAUUUUAUUUAUUACGUUAUUUUUCUCUAAAAAUAUUUUUUUAUAUUAAAAUUAUUUUUUUUAAAAAUAUUAUCCAACAGGCUUUAAGUAUCUAUGAUAGAUUGAGAUGUUUCGCCAACUUGGCAACGGAUUAGGUUCGAGCAGGUUCAAAAGUACCACCAAGGCACCAACCAGGUGUUUGUUUUUCUAUUUAUAUUUUUACGAAUUCUAUAUUUUCAAAAACAAAUUAGGGUCAAUUAGAAACCAACCAAUUCUACAAAAGUUGAUUGGAAAAAAAGGGUAGAUGUGAAGUGGGAAGCAUUUUUCAAAACUAAGAAAGAAACCAGUAAAAGUGAAGUUUAAUCUGAAGGCUGAGGACUGAGGACUGAGGACCGAGGAGCAGAGUCAUAAGUCUGACAGAGAGUACAAGUGAACAACACUUUACCCACUUGAGAAUGAUUCUCACGAAUGAUGAGAACCCACCCACCCUUUUCUGCCUUCUGAGUUUGAUGCUUUGACCCAUACAUUUAAAAUUAAAAACAAAAAAGAAAGUUUGAUGCCCACAUCGCACCAACCCUAAACAGAAAGCAAAAUCAUAGACACCAAGCAAUCUUUCAAUAAGUACUGGGUAGACCCACAAGUUUCUAAUUGGGCAGCAAAUGGUUUGGGCGCCUUCCAUCAACAACCCUUUUACAUACUUUAGAUUUUUUGGCAUUUAAAAAAAAAUAAAAAAAUAUUUGUUCGAUUGUGAAAUGAGACGACUGACCAUCUGUUUGGUUAGUUCUCUUCAUGUAUCAUUUUCAUUUUUCCUGUCUAUGAAAAUAUCAAAGAGUGAUUGGUUUUGACUGGAGUAUUGAAAAUGCCUAGUUAGAUCUAUCACUUGAACAACAAAUCGACCUACCAUAUCAUCACAAAAAUUAAAGUAUUCCUAAAAAUGUUACUUACCCACACAAGAUAAGGAGUCUUGUAGAUGUAUCUUUAGUUUUAUUUAUUUAGAAAUUUUGUAUUCAUAUUUAUUUAAAUUAAGUUUUAUUACCUAUAACAUAUAAUUAAUCCUUUUAACCUAAAAAUAAUUAAACACAUAAGAGUUGAUCCUAAAGGACAUCAACUUGAAAUACUAUAAAAUUAUGGGAAUUCUAUUUUUGGUUUUUCUUAACCAAAAUUAUCAUAUAUUUAAGCUUUAGUUUCUUAAUUAUAAUAGAUAUUUUUUGCCAACGCACCCUAAUGAUAUAGGGCAUGGAAUGAAGUAUUCAAGAUAUUUCAACAGAUUUAUGGUAAAUUAUGACAUUAAUUAUCAAUUAGUUAUGAUUUCACUAAACUACUAUGCUACAUGGGCUCCCAACUUUGAGAGAAUAUUGAGAUAAUGUUAAAGUCUUUGAUGACUUUAACCUAUAAGCGAGACUUUAAGAUAAUUAUAUAUUUCCUACGAUAUUUUAUAGAGACACAUGUAUAUUUUAUAGUAUUGAGACAGUAUGUCCCAUCAAGUGAUUCUAAGGACUUGUGAACAUGAAAUCUAUAAUGUCAGAUUAAUUCUUUAAAUGAGAUUUGACAUAUGUCAUUUAUGGACUAAAGUAUGUUAAUUGAUCAUAAAAUAAGAGGUUAUGAGACUUAAGGAUGUUAAAGCUAAUCUUGAGAGGUUGAUAGUUUCUACUUUGUUACAUCAUGACACCCAUUCAUUGAAAGUCUGGUGGAUAGUAGAUUAUGAAUUGAUUGAAUUAGAUUUAAUCAAUUUUCAUUUCUACGUAAUAUCAUAGGGUACUAGAGUGGAGUUGGCUAUCUUUAAUGGAAUGUUGAGUGAACUUCAAAAUUGAAUUAUGAAAGAAUCAGUAUUUUCCUAUAACUACUAAUCGUCCUUAUUCAAGCUCAUAGUCUUUGUUGACAUUUAUGAAAAAUUGAUCAUUUAUAUGCAUAAGAGCGUUUUGUAAAAGUGAAGGUUGCACAAUAAUUUAUGAUUAAUUAUUUUGGGUUUUCUAUAUUAGACUAAUUAAUUAAUCAGAACUCAUUAUGACUAAUUAAUUAAUUAGAACCUAGUGAGUUAGAUUAAGUGACCUAAAUCUAAAUUGGGCCAAAAUCACUUAAGCCCACAUGAGAGUCUAUAUAAACCCUCUCGGGCUUUAGGGUUAGAAUUUAACUUUGGGUUAAUUGUUGUUGGUGCAUUAAAUUGUUUAGAUUAAGUUGAUAAUUUUGUUUCAUCCUUUAUGUUUUAAGACUUUGUGUAUUUCUUGUGGUUUAUGUGGGACCCCGCAUCUAUCUAAGCAUAAAUUCAUUUUCCAUCUAGGUGUCAAAUGGACAAAGAACAUCUGGCAUUGUGAUACGUUCACCAUCGUCUAACAUGAUCCUGACGCAUAGUUUAGAAUAAUGCAUAUUCUGCACAAGAGCCAUGUAAUCUUGUUUGUCUUACCCUAUGGUACUAGACAAACACAAAACCAACUAGGCAUUGCAUACACCGUCUGACAAACAUUAAUUGCGACAGGAAUUAAGUGUUUUGAUUGAUAACAUAAUUAUGAGGCUAAAACCCCAGUUUUUAAGGCUCAUCAAGUCGUAAUAGCCAUUAUGAGUUGACAAUCAUUGACAUUAAAGACGAUAACGUGCAAUCAAUGUCACUAUUAAAACACUUGAGAAGACGUUACAUUUGAGUAAAGAUAAAUAGCCGUUCUUGACCAUAAGAAAGGUAUGUUGUCACCUUUCAAACUACUCUUUUCUUGCCCAAGUCUUUUCUCUCUGACUUAAACUUUGGAGGGAUGUCUCCGGAUAACUUGUCCGAACAUCCUUUUGUGCAGGAAACAUAUUCAUCCGAGCCUUGAGUGAUCUAGAUGGAAAUACACUGUGAUGGUUUCAUUUAUAGCUUGGGAUUUAGAUGGACAUCUUUUUGUUGGUCGUGUACCAAUAAUGGUGUUGUUUGUGGGAAAGCAAACGCAAAAGCUCACAAAAACACAAUGGCUAAUACACCUCUUGCAACUCAAUUGGCUAACGUCGAUGAGCAAUUCCAAGCUUGGCAAGAAAACAUGGAGAAGAGGCAAGAAGAGAAUGAACAAUGAAUGUAAUCACUACUACGGCUGGCAAAACAAUUAAAGCAUGAAAACCAAGAGUCAUGUAGCUUUGUCUAUCUAGCCUUAGUUAAAGCAAGAAAACCAAUAGUUGUGUAGCCUUAUUUGUCUAGUCCUAACUAAAGCAAGAAAACAAAAGGUUAUGGGCUCAAAUGACCAUGGGGCGUCGUUAGCACAGCUUCGAGACGAGAUCGAAGCUAGACAGAGAGAGCUCAUCAUCACUACAUUGCGCUGUCUCUACAAGCAAAUGAGGAACUAUCUGUUAACAAUUCCCCAACUUUGCUAGAACCCUUGCAACAGACGGUUGACAUAACGCAAUGAGAAGAGGUUGUAAGUUUAGUCAAGGAGAAAUGAAAGAGGAGUUAUGAAUGGGGCUCAUGGCUCUUUGAUGCCUUGAAAGUUCGUCUUUGGCCUCAGAACAAAGUAGCACCGAGACUGUUGCGCAUGUUAGAGGCCCUGAAAGCACUAUCUGUCCACCCUAGGGUACCAAAUGAGCACAAAGGCAAAAUGCAACUCCAAACGACAAAGCCUGAACGACAUAAGCCACAAAGCCAAACGGCACAAAGCCACAAAUGGCUAAAAAUAAGCUAAAAGGCAACUCUAAAUGACAAAGGUUAAACAACAUAUUCCGUAAAGCCAAACGAUACAACUAGAAAUGGCUAAAAGUAAGCCAAAUGGCAACUCCAUACGACAAAACCUACAUGACAUAAGCCAUAAAGCCAAACGACACAAAGCCAUAAAUGGCUAAAAGUAAGCUAAAUGGUAACUCCAAACAGCAUGAGCCCCUAUCUCAUCGCUUAAAAGCAAUGUCAAAACAAUGCAAACAAGAAAAAGGCUCAAAACCUAACUUGACAGAACAAAACCGAAAUUUGAAAACUUUUCCAACACAAGUCAAUAGUAAAUUCUCUCCAACCACCCAUCUGGUUUCUAGAAUGAUCCAACUAAGAGAAUUGGGAGGCUUUGUGGGACCCCGCAUCUAUCUAGGCAUAAAUCCAUUUCCCGUUUAGGUAACAAAUGGAUAAAGGACAUCUAGCAUUCUGAUAUGCUCACCACCAUCUAGUAUGAUCCUGACGCGUAGUUUAGAGCAAUGCAUAUUCUAUACAAGAGCCAUGUAGCCUUGUCCGUUUGACCUUAUAGUACCAGAUGGACACAAAACCAACCAAGCAUUAUAUAUCCCGUCUGACAAGCAUUAAUCAUGACAAGAAUUAAGUGUCUUGAUUGAUACAAUUGUUAUGAGGCUAAAACGUCAGUUUUUAAGGCUCAUCAAGGUGUGAUAGCUAUUAUGAGUCGACAAUCAUUAACAUUAAAAAUGGUAACGUGCAAUCAAAGUCACUAUUAAGACACUUGAGAAGAUGUUACAUUUAAGUAAAGAUAAAUAACCAUUUUUUACCAUAAGAAAAAUAUGUUGUCACCUUCUAAAAUACUCAUUUCUUGCCCAAGUCUUUUUUCUCUAACUUAAGUUUUGGAGGGGUGUGCCCGAACAACUUAUUCGAACAUCUUUUUGUGUAGGAAACAUAUCCGUCUGCGUCUUGAGUGAUCUAGACGAAAAUACGCUGUGACGGUUUUGUCUAUAGCUUGGGAUCUAGACGGACACCUUCUUGUGGUUGUAUACCAACAGUUUAUACUCUUUUUGAAGAUUCAAAGUUGUGCAUAAUCAACUUAGAACUACAUAUGUAAGUAUAGUUAAGUUAAUUAAUAAUAAUGACAUAAAAAACAUAGAGUACCUUAAAUGAAAAUUAAUAAUAAAAAUAAUUUGAAAAAAAAUUAAAUUAAGAAUUUUAAAAAGAAAAUAUUUCCAAAAAUUUGAAGAAAUGUGACUGAAGGAUUUUAAAAAGGAAAAUGUUUCUAAACCUUUCUGAACUUUAAAAAAAAAAAAAUCUUUCCAGAUCUUUCCAAGUUUUUUUAGUUUCCUAAAUUGUUUUUUUGGUGAAAUAUGAAAUCUUUCCAAAUCAUUUUAAGAUUUGUAAGUUUUUUUUUUUUUGAUGAAAUAUGAUUUCAAAUUUAUUUGGUUUUCUCUAAUAUAUGCUUAUUGGGAGAGUUCUCUAAAGAAUUUAUGCAUUAAAUUUUUAAAUCAUUAUUCUUUGUGCUUAACUCACAAUUCUCAAAGGUGCUCAUUUUCAUUUUUUGGUUCAUAAGAGAGAUUUGCAUCUCCUUAAGGUGUAAAGGAGUCCACUAAGGAGCAUAGUGAUGGUACUGUUGAAAUAUCUAGAUUAUUCAAUUCCAAGCCCUAGAAUGUUGAGGUGCAUGCUACUAGAUAUAGGUGUAUGGAAAACAUACUAGUGAUUUGGAUAUUUCCAAAUCAAUUCUAGUUGGUGAAGAGAAUGGUGCAAAUCUCAAAUACCUUAUAAUUUUUCAUUCGAUGACUCUCUUUCCUAGAUCUUGACUCAUGAAGAUGAUGGAAUCCUCUCUAUGGGGAGAUUGGGGUUUCUCUCUCUAGAAAAUUGAAUGGCUGAAAAACUUUAAGCCUUAACAAUCUUAAGAAAGUCUAUAUAGACUUACUUUUAGGCUUUAGUGACUUGAGCUCACCUAGAGCUUAGGUCACUUAAUUUAACCUAUUAGAUUUUAAUUAAUUAAUUAGUCUCGUUAGGCUUUAAUUAAUCAACUAGUACAUUCAAACAAACCAUUCAUAAACUCUUGUGAGUAACUUUAUGCAUUUACUAAAACACCCUUAUGAACAUAUGAAUAAAGCAUCCAACUAUCCCUCUGUCACCAAUGAAUAUAAGUUCAAGUAGGGACCAUUGGGAUACAUAAGAAAAUACCGGUUCCCUUAAAAUCCAAUUCUAAAGUUAACUUAACACCCCAUUAUAAAAAGUCAAUCACAUUCUAGUAUCCUAUAAUAUUAGAUUGAGAUAGAAAACUUGGGUCAGUGACUAAUAACAAUUGCAUGCAAACUUCUCAUGUAUUAGUGUUUGUAAUUUAACGAGGUAAACACUAUCAACCUCUUAAGAUUACCUCUAUAAUCUUUAAGUCUCGCAUCAUUUUAUUAUAUGAUCAAUUGACAUACUCUGGUUCUCUAAGAGCAUAUGUCAAAUUCCACUAAAUAAAUUAUUAUCAUUACAAAUUUCAUGAUCACAUGUCUUUAAAAUUACUUAAGGAGACACAUUGUCUCAAACUCAUGAGAUGUCAUGGUGCCUAUCUUAAGAAUAUCUGUUGUUACCUGCCUUGAUCAACAAUAACUCAAUCCAUAUAGAAUAAAUGACCACUUUAGAGUUUUGCCCAUUGGUCAAAGCCACUAAAAACUUCAACACUAACUCAAUAUUCUCUUAAAGUUAAAAACUCUUGCAACAUAAUAGUUUGGUGAAGUCAUGACUAUCCGAUAGCUAAUAUCAUGACUUACUAUAGUACUUGUCCAAUGUAUUACCAUACACAUUAUUACACUCACUAUGAUAACCUUAUUUUGAUAACUAAAAUAAGUCAUCCCUCAAAUUAGGAGGUAACACAUUACAACCUCAUAUGGAUUGCCCAAGUUUAUAAAUUAGGUGUGAACUACUCAUCAAUUUGUAAGGAACUUAUGACUUGGAUCUUCCUCAUGACUCAUAAUAUAUCAAAGUCAUGUACAAUACUAGUGAUUUAGGCCCAAAUGUUCAUCAUACAUAAUACAUAAAAAUGAUAAUAAAAGGAGAACUGGAAUUAUAAUAUAAAUAUUAAUUAAAUUUAUUUAUUUAUUAUAUUAUGUUAUGAUUUUUAUUGCUUUGUCUUAACAAGACAUGCAGUCACUCUAUACAAGUGCAAAAGAUUAAAGAAAGAGUGAUUAGAUGGAAGAUCGCAAAGUUUUUUAGAUCCCCACAUUAGCUAGAAUAGGACCUAGGAACAUUAAAUCCAAGUGUAUGGUUUUUAACACCUAAAUUUAGGUUGUAUUGAAAAAUAUCUUUUUGCUUCUGCUAUUGAUAGAUCUAAUAGCCCUAGGAUCUCAAAGAGCAUGCACCCAUGAUCAUGUUCCUAAGUAGUUAUUAUGUCUAUAUUCCCUUAGUCCUCUCUAGUAUAUUAUGUAAGUGGCUAAGAAGGGUUUUGUUAGUGGCCUUUACUCACCGUUAACCUUAGAUAUAUUGAGGGGAGCAUGGGCAUUCUUGAUUCUUCACUCUACAUAUAAACCAUGAAAUGUCAUGCAAUCAAAAUAUGUCCCAUUAUUAGAGUCUUCGGAAUGCCAAAUUAAUAUAUUAUGUUUCAACACUAAUUUCUUAAGGUCUUAGUUGGUGAUAUGAGCAUAAAUAUCUAUUUCUACUCGUCUGGUAAAGUAAUCUAUGACUACCAAGAGGUAAAAUUUUGUGUCGUAUGGAAGGGUAGAAUCCCUAUAAUGUUGAACCCUCCGUUAGGCAAGCAACCAUGGGCUAGGCAUAGGUUGUGUAUAUGCUCAAGUAGCAUAAAAUGUGUUUAAAACAUAAGGUGGGUCGAAACAUUCAAGCUCUUACUCAAGUGCAUUGAGCUCCCAUUCCUUAGAAAGUGAAUUAAUCUUAGCCAAAGUAAAAGUGUUCUCAUAUGGGCUUGAUCUUAUCCUCAUCCACAACUGUCUGACUAUAAGGAUCAUGACAAUAGAGUAAACAUUUCUUAUUAUCCCAUCAAUGUUUAUUAAGAAGAUAGAUCAUGAAUAAGACCUACUCAUUAUAAAUAAAAAGUAUUAUUUUAUGAAGAGUCUAACUUAAGCAUGAGAGGGUCUUUCUUCCCCACGUCACCUUAAAAGAAUAUUCAAUUUUUAGUAUCAAAAAAUAAUAUUUUUCAUCAUGUUUUGUCAAUUAUUUUCACUUGAUUUAUUUUUCAUUCUUUGCCUUUUUUUUUUUCCUUAUUCAUCUUUAUUGAUGCUUAUUUAUUAUUUUCAUUUUAUUAUCUUUUGCUAAUUUGAGAACAAAAAAUUAAUUGAUAGUUUAUUAUAUUAAUAGGGUAAUAUAUGCUCUUGUGAACACUGUCCUUUUAAUAUUUGAAUUUAUGAGAUAUUCAGAGCAUGUGUGGUAAGUACUUUUAAAAUAAUUAUGCAAAAUAGUUUUUUAAAACAGUUUUUGAAAACCAUUCUUAAAAUUUUAUAGAAUAAAAGAUUGUUUGAAAACUUAAAAUGUUUUUAACUAUCUUUUAAUAUUUUUAAAUAUAUUUUAAAAAUAAUUUUUAUAUUUAGUAUUUUAUUUUUAAUCAUUUUACAUAUCUAUAUAAUUAUUUCUUAAAAUAAUCUGUAAAAAAACAAAUGAAGAUAAUAGAAAACAAUUAAAGAAAAUUAUCUAAAAUGUCUUAUUUUUUGUGUUUAUUAACAACAAAACACUCUGAAACAGUUUUGAAGCAGGUUCAUAAAACCCUUUUAAUUUUUCAUUUUUAUUACAAUUUUUUUUUAUAAUAAUUUUUUUUUAAUUCUCAUACACAUUACCGUAAAUAUAUAAAUAAUAUUUUGAAAACUUAUAUAUUAUAUGUAAUUAUGUUAAUUUUGACAAAGAAUAAAUUGGAAAAAUUAUUUUUAUUUUCAGAUUUUAAAUAAAAUUUUACUCUUAUAAAUAAUUAAAGAUUAUUUUUAAAAACUGUAAAAACUAUUUUUUUUUUUUUAAAAAAAAAAAUUCCCCUACGAAGAAACUUUUAGACAAGAAAAUAUUCCUAAAGCCCGCUUGAUCUCCAAAAGCAUAAACUACGAGGUACGAGUUGGCUUGUCAACAAAAUUCGAAGGACAAAAUCUUUGAGUGUGUGGUUUCAUCAGCCAAAAAAACAAAGGCCAACAAACUUUGCACAGUGGCCCAUGGGCCCCAACUAACCCCAAACCCAAGGUGAUAGACCAAACAGAUUGAAUGACGUCUGUAACAUGAAAUUUUUGUACCAGUUGAAGACGUGUCCAAUGCUGAUUGGAAGAGGCCAACCUAUCAUAGAUGGCAGUAUGGUAGUGGUACACCACCUAGCAUGAUUUUGAAACCUUUUCCUCGCAAAGAAAGCCCAUAAAGUGGGUAAAAAGAGGGAAGGCAGACUGGAAAAUUUUCAAUCAUGGCGAAGAAAAAAAAUACUUGGGGUCUUCAACUUUGAAACGAGAGGUCCAAAAGAAGCAAAUAAAGUGGGGGAAAAAAAGGUAUUCAAAACCAGGGAGGCAGAAGAGGAAUCGAGGGAGGUGUGUGUUUGCUUUAUUAGGUGGAGGAAACAAUGGUUAGAUUACUUGCUUUUUUUUCACUUGUGGAUUUGUCGUUUGGUCCCAUGAGCCAUUUAUGUGUUGGGCUAGUGGGAUCCUUUUAUGGGCAUGGUCCAUCUUUGUGGGUCCAAUGUCAAAGGGCAAUUUGGGUUGGUUCCAAUUCAAUCCUUUUCAUUUAUUUGCUUUUUGGAUCUUCCCAACUAAUCCAGGGAUAUGACGAUAUGAUGUGUCCCUCAUAAUAAUAACAAUAAUAAUAGUAAUAAUCCGAUGGGCCAGUGGCCGAAUAGGCACACGUGGUCGGCAGACGCUUGGAUCCCUUCCCGAAACUGGGCUACUCCACCAGUAAGAAGUAAAGCCCAAACUGAAAUAUUGAGACUUGACGACUAGUUUAGACCAGGCCCAGCUAGGAUUUUCUUUGGUCAGUAUAAGAUGACAAGAUAUCUAAAGAGAGCAAAAAAGGCAUAGUGUAGGGAACAACUAUGUAACAAUCUCUGAAGCUUGAUAAUGGCCAUCAGAGUCCUUUGGGCUAACUCUAGACCAUUUCGUGUUCACAAGAAAUACCAAGUAACAAUCUGUAAACCUUGACAAUGGCCAUCAGGAGUCGUAUGGGCUAGCUAGACCAUUCGUGUUCAUGAGAAACACGAAUUAUGGCCGGCCAAACCCCGACCUAAACCCAUGAUCAAAAUGAAUCCCACCCAACCCAAUGUCAAAGUUAUAGGCCCAAUAGAAGUUUACAAAUAAAUAAACCAAGUUUUUGGACGGCCACGUGCAUAAAUGUUACACAUGGAGUGGCCCAAAUAGAUGCCCCACAGACUGUAAAUAGUAAAUACUCACGAGUCCAAGUGAUCCACUAAUCAAUGUUUUAUUUAUCCUGAGCCUAAGAUACUCAAACUGGGUUCACGGAAAAGAGCUCAACCAUAGUUUAAGCCAUCCAACAACGCUUACAAUGAUCUAAGCAUUUGAAGUGGGGAAAGCCAAGGAAACAUCAUGCUCCAUGACGGUGGUCAUGCAAUUCCAUUUACAAUAGGAAAUGGGAAAUGAAUAUUGAGUAGGUUUGGCUAAAGUUGUAUUGGCUUUCUUACGUACGCAGACCUAUUGUGACAGCAUGCACCCCCUGAAGUGAGACACGUGCUGCGGCCUCAUCCCAAUCCCCAACAGCCCCAUACGCUCUCUUCCAUUUCCAAAAUUAGGCCAUCUACUUCUUACUUCUUGUACCACCAAACCGGAGUGGGUGGGUUGGGUAGAACAAUUACUAGAAAAGAUGGUCUCUUCUAAUAAUUAUUGGGGAGGACUUUAAUAAGUCGAAUAUACUAAAACUGCCCUUUAACUAAAACUUUUAAAAUUCAAAGCAUUUAAAGCACUUCAUUUGAUUUGUUAAUACAUUUAUGACACAUGGGUCCCAUAUUUAUUAUAAUGAUUGAUAUUCAAAAUUUUGGGUUUAACCCUUACAAUCAUAUAUAAUUUGUAAUUUAAAUUUACUAUUUAAAUCAAAAAUACUUUUAAAAAAUAUUUUCAAAAUAUCAUGUAUUGUUUUUUUUUACAUUUUUUAUUUUUAUUCUAAUUUUUAAUUUUAUUAAGAAAAAAAUAAGUUCCAUAAUUAUAUAAUAAAAAUGAUGAUUUUUUCAUAUAUAUAUAUAUUAAUUUUAAAUUGAUAAAUUAUGUUUUUGUAUUAAAUUCAAGAAAGACAAAAUGUUUAAUUUUUCAUUCAGAUUCUCUAAAAAGAAUAAAAAAAUAAUAGAGAAUGUUUAAUCAUUUUUAUUUUUAUAAUAAAAUAAUUUAAAAAAUUAUAUGAUUUUUUUCCUUUGCAUAGUGCUUUUUUUUUUAAAAAAAAAAUUUUCAUAUAUUUUUUUUUCUCAAUGCAUCGAGUGGAUGAUGUUAAUAUAUUUGAUAUGUUAAAUAUUAAUAAGGUAUAAAAGGUGAUCCUCAAUAUUAUUACUUUUAUUAUAAAAUACAGGUACAACAAAAAUAUGUUAUAAUUACAAUAAAACGUAAUUAGGAAAUCUAUGAAAUUUUUUAUAAAAAUUAUAAUUUUGUAUAAUCAUAAUAUAUUUCACAAUAUACCUAUAUUAUAAAUAAUUUCUGAAACCAAAUGAACUACAAAUUUGAAUUCACAAGACUUAUAGUUAUAUAUAUAUAUAUAUACAAAAAUUAUUAAAUAAUUUCAAAACACUAAAUAAAUAUUGUUAAUAUAUUGAUAUGAUAUAUUAAUACCAAUAAGAUAUGAAUAAACAUUUUUAGAAUUAUUAUUUUUAUAAUGAAAUAUAAGUACAAUAUAAAUGCAUUAUACUUACAAUAUCAAUACACUAUUAUUACAAUAUAUUACAACAUGAUUUAAUUUAUUUUUAUUUAAUUUUUUCACGUACUAUAUUACCCCAUGAAUAAUUGUGAGUUAUUCCAUUUAAUAGGUGUGUGUUAAUCAAUUGAAUAAUUAUAUAUUAUUCAAUUGAUGAGUACUCGUAAAAAAUAAUUAUUCAUUAUAUUUUGAUAACAAAGUUUUAAUUGUAUGUUUUAUAUAUAAAACGAUAUAAUAACUUUAGGAUAUUUUUUUUAUUUAUGAGAUAUUAAAAAUUAUUUUUUUUACAAGAUUUUUUUAAAAAUCUCAAUUUUUUUUAAAAGAAGAAUGCAAAAUUUUAAAACAGUCACUUGAUUGUUUAAAAGUGAACGACAAUUUUUUCAAGCUAAGAAAUGUACUAUUGAUUAGCUAUCAAUCUGUACUUAUCAUCAUAUAGGGGUCCCGUAUCAUUGACAAUCUCAAUUUAUUUAUAAAUAAUAUAGAAAACAUAUUUAAGAGUAAAAUUGUCCUUUAAAAGAAUGAGCCUUCAUAGUAAUUAUUUUUUACACCUGUCCUUUUCAGUAAUUCUCCCGUGCCAAUUACAAAAAAUAUAGUUUAAAUUUUUUUUUCUUUUUUUUGAGAAUUAAAUACUUAAUAAGUUGUGUCUGACAAUUGAAAAUUUUUCAAGUGACAUGCAGUUGGUGCAAUAGAGACACAAACAAAUUCAGCAUCUGCAGGUGUAGAAUGUAGUGUGUACAGGUCAACAGUAUUCACCCAAAAUGUGACGUCGUUUCAACACCAACGAAGUCAAUUAAUGGAGCCCAGAAACUCCACUCACUGAGUCGGUGAGUCAUUCUACAGACUGGACAGCAAAUCGUCGAUUAUCAGAGCGCAACGCCUUGUGGACAUCAUGAAUCCCUACAUCAGAGCAGGUAAACACCAACCUCCCAAGCCGAGUCCGAUCGCUCACGAUUACAUUCUCUAUAACACUCCACCCUAUCUCACCAUUACUCCUGAAUUCGCAGCACAACAAUGCUUCUGACCCCAACGUAUUAUGUAUAUAAAUGAAAUCUCCCUUCAUCGUCACGCCUAUCGAAACAAGAGUCGAAUUCCCAUUCCUCAGCUUCUCCAGAAGCAACUGUGGCAUCUCCCCUACUACCUCACAUUUCAUUGUUUCUUCAUUGAUUUUCCACACUUUCACGUUUUUCACGUUAUCGGCGUCCCCAAUCAGCCCAACCAGAAUCAUCCGGUCGCCGGCGAAGCCUAUAGCAGAGAAGAACACGGAAGGAUCCGGGCGCAGAUCGUACGGACCGUGCCACGUCUUAGUUGCCGGAUCGAACGAGUAAGUCGCGCCGGAGGUCUUCUCCGUCACGAACAUUUGACGAUCAUUUACUGCUAUUGAGAGCCAGGUGGAGGCAGCAGAGUCCUUGAGGGUGGCAGGCAUGGACUGGCACGAGUCCCACGACCGGGACUCGAUGUCGUAGAUCUCCACGGCGAGAGGAUCGUCCUCAAAGUCGCAGCUUCCGCCGGCGAUGAUGAUGCGAGAACCGACCACGGAGACGAUGGGGUCGGUGCGCCACACAAGCGGGGGUUGGGCGUGGUGCCAGGCGAGGUGGAGAGGAUCGUAGGAGAAGGAAAGCUUGGAGGGUGAAAGCAUGUAGAGGAGGGUCGAGUGGGAGGAGCGGAGGGCCGAUACGUACCUGAUAGGCGGUUGCUUGAGGUGGAGCCAGAGUUGGGAACGAGGGUCAUAGGCGUGGGUAGUGGUGACAUAGGGAGAGCGAGUGGUCUGAGUGUGAACCACCAGCCAGGGCUUCAACCUGUUGAAAUGAGAGAGAGAAGAGGAAACGGCAUGCUUCCAUGGAUUGGAGACGAGGCAGGCGUGCGCCAGAUCAACCAGAGGCACGUGAGAGAGUAUGAGCUCCAGUACGUCUCCAUAGAUGGGAGCUUCUUCUACUUCUUCUUCUUCUUCCACCUUUGUCUUUCUAGCCAUUCCCUGUCGCUCCAGUUCCCCCAAGUCCUGCCCCAUUUGGUUUCGGGCGAGGCUGUUGGGGUUAGGGGAUAUAUUUAUAGAGGGCAAGGAAUAAUAAUUAAAAUAGGGAAUUUCUUUUUCUUCCUUCAAUUUUUGAAAAGGUAGUGCCGAUCAUGUUAACUGCCGCGACUUGAAAUUCAUGCAUCAGUCUAUCCUGGGGGAGGCCAUGGCAGAUGGCACCCUCAUUGACUUCCUUUUUAAUUAAUUAUUUUUAUAACCCAUUUUCCUUUAGAAAUUUUCAAAAGAAUAACAAAAAUAAUUAAAUAAUAUAUGAUCUAAUAUAAUUAUAGUUUAAUCAUAAAUAAUAUAUUAUUUAAUUAAAUCUCAAAAAUUUUCAAAUUGGAAGUAAUGAGAACACCCUAUCAAAAAAAUUAUUUAGUAAAUUUUGAAAUACAAAAUUGAAAAUUAAUAAAAAAUUUAAAUUUAUUAGAAAUCCUAUAAUAUAUAGAAAAUUUUUACAUACAUGGAAAGACUGAAAAACAAAUUAAGAUUAUAUAUAUAUUAAGAAAAAAAUGAUGAACCUAAAAUAAAAAGAAAAAAUAAUUAGGAAUGUUAAAUAGAUUUUAUAAAAAAAAAAAUGUUUUAAAAAUCUUAUUUAACAUUUAUAAUUUUGGCCUAUUUAAGUCCUGAAGACUUAUUACUAUUUUUUUUCUAUUAAUAAAAUGUAAAUGAAAUUAUCUUUUUAUCUUUUGAAAUUAAAAAUUAAAUUUGAAUGAAAUUAUUAAAAAAAAUUAUUCAAAACUCAUGGUAGGACUAUAGAAGUUUUGGGUUUAUUUGGAAACUAAUUUCGAUAAUAAUUUUCUGUUAUUUAGAACAAAAAAAAAAAUAUACAAACGUAUAAAAUAAUUAAAAAUAAAAUAUUAAAUAUAAAAAUUAUUUUUAAAAUAUAUUAAAAAAAAGUUUAAAACCUUUCAUAUUUUCAAACAUAUUUUUAUUCUAUAAAAAUUAGGAAUAAAAUUUUAAAAAUUAUUUUUUAAAAUUAUUUUUAAAAAUAGUUAUCAACUAAAACUUUUAUUUCCAAACUUAUCCAUAAGAAAAAGUCAAUUAUAUUAAUUAAUGUUGUUUGUAUAACGUCAUUCGUAAUAUUGGGUGAUGUUUAAAAUAUGUAAAGCAUUAAAUGGGACGAAUAAAAUAUUAAUUUUUUAAUUUAAUAACAAUAAAAAUUGAAAUAAGAUAAGCAGGCCCCGCCCCCAUGUUUUCUCCUUGAGGCAAGUCUCUGGUCAACCCUCCUUACAGCCUCGUGUCUAAUAGAUAAAUAUAAAUGAAACAAAUUAAUAAAAUUAUAGUUAAAAUAAAAAUAAAUAAGAAAAUAUUUAAUUAAGAAGAUUCAAGAGCAGGGUCUGUGUUUGCCUUCGAAGUUUGAACAACGUCGAAAGUCACAAAAGGUGGGGAGGCCCGCCGAAUUUGAAUGUCUGAAAUCCACGGGCGCUAUUUUGGGAGUAUUAUAUAUCAGAUGGGUGCCAUUUGAUAAUUAACUUAUUUUUAUUGGAAUGUAAAUUAUUUUUUAAAUGUGAUGGUCAAAAUAUUGGAUUGAUUUUAAGGAAUUAAAAGAAAAGAAAUUUGGCCAAUCAAUAAUUUCAGAUCGCCAUACAAAUGAUUUCUACCCAAGAAAUGAACAUGGUAGUGACGUGGCACUUUUGGAGAUAAGCACCAUUGCAGUUGUUGUUUGGGUUACAAUCUAAUCAAAUUAAUAUUUUCUUAGGAAAUGGAGUCCAUGGAUUCACCCGUACCAAAAAGACAACUUUCCGCACUUUGAAGCUGCUUUGUGAUAUGGAUAGAAUUGGCCCACUUGGGCAGGCGAGAAGGUGUUGGGUCUCUCUAUUUUAUAUUUUUCUUUAAAUUACUACCUUAUAUUAUACACCAACGUUGGCAUUUGGACCUUAUUUUUUUGUGGACCGGUGGAAAGGCAAGAAUUAUGAUAACCUCAUACAGUCAUACCCACCGCUAGUUGGUUUUGUAAGUUACCUAUGAUUUCCCUUCAAUCAACAAAAAAUUGUCACCGACUAGAGUAAGAGAUUGCCCACCUGUCACCAACCCCCAACCCCCUAACAACCCACUAAGCCACCAUUAAUUCCAAAGCGUAAACUCGGCUGUUUCUUUUUUUUUUUUUUUGUGUACAAAAACCGCUUCCUAAUUUCUCCGUCAACAAAAGGGGACGGUUGAUCCACGAUUCUACUGUGGAAGAAAUGACUCUACCUAACACGUUUCAAACGCUGGAAGACGUGAAGCCCUUGUUCUUCCUUUUAAAUGGCUAGUAACAGAGCUUUCCACUGAUGGGAUGUCUUGACGUUUUUUCAAGAGAAACAUAUUGAAUCAUGGUUCAUGGGUUUGACGCAUCAAAUGCACGAAAGAUCUUACUCGACUGUAAACUCAAAUCACCUCACGAUUCAUCCCCACCCCAUCCUCUACGUUUCAAUUUUUAUAUUGAAUGAUAGAUUUUGAUUUUUGGAAGUUGGUCUAUAUUAUAAGUUGAAGUUUGGUGUUAUCGUUAUCCAUUAGGCCACAUUGGACACCCACCAAGUGUUUGAUUUAUGGGGUGCUGCAGCGUCAAGAUGCCCUCAACAAGCAGGCAGAACAAGGAUGAUGGGCCUUAAAAAACCAAGGGACUUAUAAAAAGGGGAGAGUGGAUGAGUGGUAGUUAGUAAUGGAAAAUGACAUAGAAAUUCGGGGUUGGUGAUUGGAGGAAACGUUACGUGGAAUCAACCGUGUGUUCGAUGGGAAGAGCCUGAGAGGAGUAUCUAUCACAUGUAUUUAGGCUGAGCAAGAAGGGGGAUUUGGACGCGCAAGGUAAAGGUAGAUUAAUAGAUAGAUGAAUGCUAUUUUUAAACAGAAACUUAUUAAAAGAAAAAAAAUAAAAUAAAAUACAAAUAAAUCCAUACCUACCCCAUGGCAGACUUGUAAAUUUUUUUUUAUUUGACACCUAAAUGGAUAAGGAUGAUGCUUCUUUUUAAUGUAUAUAAUAUAGAAAUAAAGUUUUUCUACCAAAAAAAAUAUAUAUUUUAUUUGGGAACUUUUCUUUGUCAUCCAUUCUCCGUCUAUUCCUGAAUAAGCCCAUAUUCCUUUCCUUUGAAAUUAGCAAUCCGCCGUGGUAAACGAGACUUCAUUUUUGACGGUCAAAGUGUUCAUUAUGCGUCAACAAAGCCUAGCCAUUCUGAAUUCUGAACUCUGAACCUUUAAUUUUUUCUUUUUAGAAAAAAGAAUCAGUUCAAAAUACCAAUUUCGUCUUUUAUACUGUUGGGGAAACACAUUCACAGGCCGAGCCCACCAUACAUGAGCAAACAUCUGGCCCAACGAAGAGGCAGGUGAGUGGUUGGUAGUGCGCACAUCACAACCUCGGAUGGGAUGAUGUAUGUGUCUAAAUUUGGUGCUGCUCCUGUUUCCUUCAAAUUUGACCCCCUCCUAUUCUAUUGGUCCUUCCUGUAAAACGUCUGCUACUUUUUUAUUUGUCCUUUUUUCUUUUCUACCGGAUUUGCUGCGUUUUCAAGCAUUCAAAUCUGGUUUUCAAACAUUUUUCUUAUUCAAGAAUUGUGCCACAUGCACAACGGUAUUUAUAUUACCUAUUUAUAUGAUCAACCUUAUUUAGUAAAUACAAAAGUCUUUUAAAAUUUAAUCACCAUAUACUCACGCCUAGGCUUGGGCUUUGGGUUUGUUAGAUUUUUUUAUGGACCGAGCCUGAGGAAAGACAAAUGAAUUAAAAAGUGGGCCUCGUAAAAUCCACAUCGGUUCUUGACAGCCUAUAAAUUGAAUAAACCAGACAUCCAGUCCAAAACAAAUUAGAGGCCUGACCCCCUUCCCAAAGAGAACGAGUGUAUUUGCAGAGGAACCAAAAUGUAGGUUCAGACGGAUACAGAAAAAUAGGAGAGUUUAAUGACAAAAAACAAAUACAAAAGCAGGUCGACAGAUUAAGAUGGACAUCAAUGUAAGCUGUUUUAUCAUUGUGCUAAGGUGUCAUCAGUCUCAAGCUCACUAACCUGAUACUCAAAGACCAUUAUUAGUGGCCCAUUUAUAUGAAAGUACAAUUUAACGUCCUACGGUUUCUGGAACAAUUGAACUGGUAAGAACACUUAAUGGAACACCCUGAGUUUGCCAUAGACAUGAAAAGACGAGAACAGAGAUUUUUAUCAAGAUUUGGUACACUUAUGCAGCAGCACCGAUGCACUCAAUUGCCUGUUUGCAUAUGCCAGUCAUGGUUGCCUCAGGUCCAUAAACCUGUAAAAGAACAUAUAAACAGAAACGAUUUUCAGAGAAGUAAUUUGAUGGAAUUAUCCCACAUCAUGAGGGUUGUUUUAACCCUAACAGAUGAUUCUGAGAUUUUAGAUAAAUAAAGAUAUACCUCAAGAGGGAUUCCAAUUUCCUCUCCAAGAGUCCGCAUUUUUGCAAGACCCCUCUGGUAAUUUGGACCUCCUCUCCUAACGUAUAUGUGCAUUCUUGAAGCUUUAAGCUUUGAUUCCUGCUUACACAAUAAUACAUAAAUUCAGUGUUAUUUUUUAAAGUAAAAUGGCAACAUGGGAAUUUUGCAAAGCUCGAAUAGGAAUAAGAUCACCUUCUCUUUCAAAGCGCGAAUUAUGCCAUUAAAAGUAGCAGCAACAUCAGUAAAGUUAGCUAUUCCUCCUCCAAUUACAAGAGCUCUCUUAAGGCCAUCAGGGUUUGCAGUUGCACACUGUAGACAAUUCAUGUAAUUAGUGACAGCUGAAUGACAAAAACAAAAACAAAAUUGGUUUGUGAAUGAGCACUUUACAGUAAACCAUAAUGUUUUGAAAUAUUGGCAGUGAAAGUGAAGCAAUAUGUAAAUGAAGUAUGCGAUAUAUUGAAUAAGGAAAAAAACUACUUAAAAUAAACAAAUUAGCAUAUCAAUUAAAAUAAUGUUUCAUCUCUAGCAUGGUACAGAUGAGUCCUUACAUCAAUUACAACUCUAGCAUACUGCAAUACUUCCUCUUCAUUUGGUGCUCCACUAUACUCUGCAUAGUUCCCAAGCUCAGAAGCAUAACCGAGAUCACCAACCUGAUAAGACGAAAUAUUUAUUAACAGUAAAAAUAGCAUGAGCUGAAAGUAAAUUAAAACCUUGAAGUCCUAAUCCCUAAAUUUAAAUGAUGAGAACCGCACCGUAUCUGCAUAGAUGACACUUGCACCUCCUCCUGCUACCAUAGUCCAAAUCCGUCCCUUGGGGUUCAGAACUGUGAACUUCAAAGAGGCACUUGUCUGCAAGAAUAUGACAACUUGUAAAGUUUAAUAACAUCCUCAUGAAUGAGGAUACCCACUGAAAAGACAUGUGAUCCUUUUUGGGGAAUCUCAAAAAUGUUACAAGAUUAUACCUAAAAAAAUCCCAGAUAGAGAGAGAGAGAAAGAGCAAGCUUUAAUUUAUCUACAGCAAAGGGAUGACUACUAGUGGCUUGCUAUGUUGAAAUAUUUUCCUACUGGCAUGAUUUGAAUUGGUUGUGCAAGCUACAAUCCUGGGUUUUGCACUAGAUGAUAACAUGAAGAUUCAAAUGAAAAAAAUGACAACAGAAAAUUGUCAUUUGUAGGCAGUGAUUGGUGGGUGAAAACAGAUUUCGGGUACAAGUAGUAAGCAAUUAAGCAUCCAUAUGUACCUUUUCAUCUAGCCCAUGAAUAAAGGUUUCUGUAGGACUCAUAACUCUUCCAAAUGGCAUUGGAAAUUCAAUAUUGCCCCACCUGUGAAAGCAAAGCCAUGUUAGAGGUGAAAACACAUAAAUUAGUGUUAUCAAAUCAUCUAGUUUAUACUACUAAAACAAGAGAAAAAAGUGCAACUAAAAAUGGGAAUGUACUUCUUGAAGUUCUUGAAAGCAGCAGUAUCGUCCAGCUCGCCUCUCAUAUCCAAAGGAUAAGGCUUUCCAUCAACCAAUGUAAAAGGAUUCAUCUCUAGGAAAGUGAAGUCCAGAUCUGGCAAAUGAAAAAUUUAGAGUUGAUGGCAAAUUAUAACAGAUCAUAAAGUUGUUUAGCAACUAUAAAAUAAUAUGAAUUUCUUGAAGAUUAUAGAUAUACCUAAAAAUAAAGCAAAAACCACUUUGAUAAACUCCUCAAUUUUCCCCUUGAUCUGAAUCAACAAACAAUAUGUUAGUGAUUUCAAAUCCACAGCAGAACAGCUUCCCACAGACAAUAAGAAUGAAAAGAGAAUACACGAUUGCACUGAAUAUGCAGUAUUUGUUCUGGCCUUGCUUUAAGCAAGAUAAAGUAGCACAAUCUGAUAAAACAAGGGUAAAUGGCCCUAAUUCUGGAUUUUUAUUUUUUUUUCAUCUAACAACAGCCAAUGAAGGAACAGAACAGUGGUUGACUAGGUUAUUGAUUAACUAUAAAUUACCUCCAAGGGAAGGGUGGCAACUAGUGGAGAACAAAUUUCUGAGGUAAAAGUGGCCCCGGUUGGGAUAAAUAUAGUUUUAACCUGUAAAAAACAGAUCCCGUCAUAAAUUAAGGGGCAAUAAAGAAAGAUAAUAAACGAGUGUAAAGAACAAUGGUUUCAAUCAUAAAGGGUCUUUCAUGGACUAAUAGUAACAAAAAAUGAAUUUAUGUUUAGAAGUACCUUAUCCCAGUUCUCUUCAAUUUCAAUACCUCCACAUUCGGAAAAGCUUAUGCUACUCCCAAGUCGCUCUGAAACCAUGUUUAGGUAAAACUCUUCAUUGUGUGGGAUGAAGGGUUCAACAAUGAAUGUUGUGAUAGGCCCUCUGCAUCCCCCCAUCUCUACCUAGAAACCCAAAUGGAUAAUAGAAGCAUAAGAAAUCCACUUCAUCAAGGGAUGGAAUUCAAUGAUAAAAAUAUAACAUACUCAUAUUAACAUACUCAUCAAAGGAUUAAAAAUGAGUCACAUGGUGAAAGAGUUUAAAUACCUCUUUGCCAAGACGUUCUUUCACGAAAGUACCAACUUGAGCCAAAUCUAAAUUCAGGGCAACUAAACCACUCUUCCCACGCUUGCCAAAUAACAUGUCAGGUUUCACGACCAGUUUCCCUGAUAAGAGCCAAGGUUCCUUCUCUGCUAGCUCAUUGAAGUCAGUUGACUCUGUGAUCUGAGGCAUAACAAAAGGAAAACAAUACAUCAUUGAAGUUCAAUCAAAACUGGAAAUAUAUAAAUCCAAAAAAAUCUUCAUGUCUUGAAUUUUUACACAAAAUCUGAAACAUUAAAAAAAGAAAAAAAGAAAAAAAGAAAAAAAAAAAAACAACAACACAACAAAACAAAACAAAUUCCAUCAUCCUGAACAUUCCUUGCUGAUCAGGAAGUCUCCGUCUCUGUUAAGGAUGUGCAAAAACACCGAUUAAACCAACUGAACCAAACCAAUCAAUUUUUACAUUUUGGUUUCCUAAAUAUAAAACUGAACUAGAUUGGUCCAGUAUAUGGUUUCCAUUUAAAAAAUCGAUAAUAAUUGAACUGAACCAAAAGGACAAAAUAUUUGUUGAUUAUAUUAUUAGUCUAGUGCACACUUUUCACAUCAAUAGGAUCCCCAACUACACUUGCAUAGCUUUUUUUUCUGUCAUUAGGCUACUUAAUUAAAUUAACCAUAGUUGUUAAAAACUUACGAUACACAAUACGAUACAUUUUUUUAUGAAAAUUGAUACAUAGUACAAUGCACAUCUUAUUUUAAAACAUAUCUUACGAUAGAUAUAUGAUAUGAUAUGUAAUAUUACAAUACAACGAUAUAUAUAUAUUUAACUAUUUUCUAUAAAAAAAAUUUAAAUCAAAUUAAUUUUUUUUAUUAAAAGAAUUUAUUAUAUUAAUUGUUUAAAAUAUAUUAAAAGAUUAAAAAUUGAUCAUAAAAAAAAGAAAUAGGUAAAUAAUCUUAUAUGAAAAGUUAUGUUCUUGUUGUUUGUUAUAUUAAAAUUCAAUCAAGUUUAUUUUUACAAUGUAUAUUGGAAAAUUUCUAUUUGAAUCAUUGUUAAAAAUUGAAGAAGUUUUUUUUUAUGGAUUAUAUGAUGAAUCUAUAUAUUACAGUCACAUUUUGUUAAUUUGAACUUGUCAAAACUUUUAACAUUCAAUAUUUUCUUUUGAUAUGAUAUAGAUUAACUCUUUAGAACCUACUAUCUUCCAUAAAAUUAGUUAUAUAUUACUCUAUACUUCAUACUUUCAAUAGAUAUACAAACAUAUUUUUCUUAUUUAUUUUUCACUAUAUAAAAAAACUUAUAAUACACGAUAUAAUAUGAUACAUGAUAAAAAAAAUAGAAAAACAAUACACGAUACUUUUUAUGAGCUAACAACUAUGUAACUGAAAUGUGCUAUAACAUGAAUUAUUCGUGUCAUUGGUUAUUGAUGUAAUGAUUUGAUUUCAACCAUCCAUAAGACAAUUGAAUAUAAUAGCAUUAUUUGACCUUUUUAGUCCACAAUGUCCAAUUAUGGGCUUUUUUAUUUUUGUCCAAAUUAACCCAAAAAAUUCAUUUCUGCUGUUAAACUGAACCAAACCAAAACAAAGUAAACUGACUUAAAUCGGUUGUUGUUAUUAAACAGAACUGAACCAAUUAGUUUCUUCCUUAAGUUCGAUUAGUUUGGUUCUUAAUGCAUAAAAACUAAUAAAAUGGUUCAAUUUGAUUUUACUGCUCAAAAUCAAAGUAACUGAAGAGUGCACACCCCUAGUCUCUGUGAAAAUACAGAUAGUUUCAUAUUAAUUCUCAUAUUUCAGUUUCACACAAAAAAUUGAUCAUUUUGGACAUUGAAUUCUGGUUCAGACAGCUAAAAUCACAGUGUUAACCAAAACUGCCAAUUGAGAAUUACAGAUUUCUAAUCCUAGACCUUUUUAGACAUUGUUAGAGUUUUUCAAGAAUCCUUCUGAUAGUAAUAAAUAAGAUAGCACCCAUCAUAUAAUUAUGUGCAAAUUAAUCUUUCUUACCGAACAAAGCUCUCUUAACAAUGAUGAUAAAUGUAUACUACUAUAAUAAAGAUAAAGAAUCCUUCUUGUAGAACUUUAUUCACAAAAUUAAAGCUCAAAUCUAGAAACUAUACUCACUUGAGCUGAUUUAAUUGGAAGGUCGGUACCAGAGAGCCUCUUAAAAUGCUCCUUCAACAGCCUCUUGGAAUCGUACUCUCUGAUCUUCUUGCGCGCCAUUUUUGACCUGUUUUUCAAAAGUUCAACCAUCAGAGUUCAAUUUGAGCUUAGAUCUACUUACCAGGUCACAAGAAUCCAACAAAACUUGCAGUUGAUAUAAAAAAUAAAACAAAAACAUUAAAUUCAAUUUAAAAAACCAAGGAAAACAUAAUAAAAACUGAAAACUUACGGGGAAAAUGCAUCCAAUUGAUGACUUUAAAACAGAUGCAUAAAAAUUAAUGAUGGACGAAAAUAACAGAAAUACCAAUAACACAAUGCUCCGUUUGGCCGAUGAGAAAACAUCGAAGAAAAACAACUAACUCGGAAUUUUUUCAUUUUAGGACUCCUAAUUCGACGAUUUGGCCGCACUGAGGUUAAUUUCCAAAACCAAAACAACAAAAAGCCACAAGAUUCAAACUUUUGAUUUUAUUUUUGUCCUCCAAUUUCUCGGCAACCAAAAGGAGCGCAAAUGUAGAAAUUUCAGGAAACGAAACAGAUCAGAAAAUGUAAACAGAGUAAAAUCAAGCAAAGGAGGGUAGAGACGAUCGAAGGUAGAGAAUGUUGAAAUUUGAGAAGAAUUGCAAUACCGUUGAGGGAGACGUAAGAAAGGUAGGCGUACGGGCUUCUGAUGGACAAGUUCCCACACAGUAAUGCAAUACACCUUCGCUUCCUCUAUUUUGUAUUUAUAGUUGAGAAAUAAUAUGCAUUUAUUUUAUUUUCCAAAAAAGAAAAUUGAUUUGGCUGAUUUCUUACUUUUGUGGCAAAUUGGAUUAUUUGGACACGCGCGGCAGCUACCCACGAUUACCAACGGUUCAACCAUUUUUCAAUUGGGGAUGCAAUCUGGUGGGUCGCGUGAUGGAGGAUUAGGUAUUGCAGCGGUCCCCGCUGCCAUUGAUCCUGAAUACAUUUUUUCUGGGAUUAUGUGUAGUACCGUAGGGCCAUUGCAUCGGUCCAAAAGUUGGAACUUAAUGUGCAGACUUCGCUGGUAAAUUUAUUAAUUAAAUUAAAAUAGGGUUAGGUGCUGCCACUUGAGAUGUUCAUUUUGGACAACCAGUAACCAACACCCACCUUCAUAUGCUGGCCUUUUUUGGUACUCUAAUCAAUCAAAAUUUAAAUGGUGUUAGGUGUAUAUAAUAUAUACUCUUAUUUUUUGAAAUAAAAAAAUCAAAAUUUAUUUAAUACCUUAAUUUUUUUAAUCAAUUUUUAAAAUCAUUAAGCCUUCAAGAUGUGAAAGUUAUUAUUAUUUUUUAACCUAUACUUUAAAUGCAAAGUUGAGUCAAAAAACAACUAAAUUGAGUGCACUUUAGGGGGAAAAAAAAAGCUUAAAUUGGGCAUUGAUAGAAUCAUUUUCCUUGGUUUUAGUAGGUAGUGGAUUUUGGUGUUUAGUGGAGAUAUAGAAUUUGAAUUUUUAUUCUCCCCCAACAAGCUGAUCAAGUUGUGGAAAUUAGGGUAUGAGUUCAUGGUGUACGGGUCAAGCCACUAGUUCUCUCAUCACAUUGUUCCCAUUAUAAUUCAUUUUAUUGCGGGGAGGACACCAAGGGUUGGUGGAGUGAAAUUAAUUACAGCGCAGCUGAGCUCCCACCCCAAAGCAUGAGGUGAUCUCACCAAACAAUAGUAAGAGAAAUUCUCAGCCACCCUAAUGAGUCAAAACUACACAGCUGCCUCUUCCUCUGCCAUUCCAGUUGCUCCAGUGAGAACGUGAUAUCGUAAUAGAAUAAGAUCAUUUGGAUUUGAAGUGCAUCACCAUCAUAUUGAAAAUAGAAAUAAAGAGUCCAGUCAAUUGCGUAAAAUGUGGGACGCCUUUAAAGCCCACUUGGGUGUGAUCCAGAGGCGGGCAUCAAAAUUGACCCGCUGACUGAUAAAAUCAAGUCGUAGUGUGAUGAUCGUUCGAUUAUCGACGAUACGUAUUGAAAUGGCUAUUUUCAUUUCAUUUUCAUCCACACGGCAAGGGUCACGGCCCUCCCACUGUGACACAUGACGUUGAGCCAGCCAACAAACAGGUGCACCGUUGUCAUUCCAACCACCAACUACUACUAAAAUAUUGAAGUCCUUGGUUGUUUUGCACGUGCCUAUGGAGAUUUAACACACCCAAAUCUACAAGUAAUUUUGCACAUUGAAAAUUCCAAUUAAUGUCCUUUGACAAUGGACAUUGAAAAGAUCUUUUUCGUUUUAAUUUCAAACAUUUUAUGCCAGAGCGACUUGGUGUAGUAGGUGUGGGACAUCUCUCCCGUGACUCACAAGAAUGCCAACUUGCUGGGCUAUGUAUUAAAUUAGAGACCACACAAAGUAUCUCUUUUACGUACCAUAAUGGAGAUUAUUCAUAUUUUAAAAUGUUUUAAAUAAUUCUGAAAAAUAUACUUUCUAAUCGUUUUGCAUUCCAAUUGGAAAUGAUUUCCUUCCAUUCAAAUUGAUUGGAUAAUUUCCGUGACUGAACGCAAGGUGGAGACCGGUUGUUGCAGUCACAUUGUUACCACUGGCAUGGCUUUUAAUCAACCAACAUCACAAGGCCUUGGCAAUGAGUGGGGGGACCCAAAUCGACCUUCCCAUGAUUUAAUAUUUCUUUUUAUGCCAACAUAAUGUAUAAAAUAGCAUUAAUUUUAGUGGAUAUUAAGAAUGUUUUCAAAAUUGAAUCAAUUAUUAAACCAAAAAAUAAAAAAAUAAAUUACUAGAUUACAUUUUACUCGAUCAACCAAUAAUUCAAGCAUGGUCUAACCAUUAGUAUAAUAUUAUGAAUAUUUAUUAUGGAAGCAAAAUAAUAGCAAGUUAAAGAGAUAAAAAAAAAUACAAAUAUUAUAUAUUUGUCUGCUACAUCUACUUUUCUCAAGUUCUUAACCAAGUAAAGGUUUCAAUACCUUCAAAACUUUUCAAAUCAAAAUUUUCAAAUUUUUUACACUUGGAUUCCAAAAUUCAAAUAAACCUUCAUAAUUACUUCAAGCACUUAAUCUACUUGAAGACUUUUCUCUCACAA